UUUUUUUUUCUUUAACCUUUAGGAUGAUCUUUCAUUCAAGCUUGAGUAUGUCCAUCCUUAUUUGGAUGGUGUGGACGAUCGUAGUAAGAACCGCACAUUCAAAACUAGCUGCUUCAACACCAGGAAACUGAGUCCUGUCUUUGUUGCUGGUCCCAACAUGGAUGAAGCUCCACCUGUUUGGAUUGAUAGAGUUGGAUUUAAAGCCAACAUAACUGAGGUUUGCACAACAUUAUGUUUGCUUAAUUUUAUGAACAGUCCUAUUCAAGAAAUAUUUGUAACAUAAUUAAAAUACUAUUUGGAUUCUCAGAGCUUCACGAGGCAAAGCAAAUUCACAUAUGGCCUUGUGGUUGAAGAGAUUACAACACGCGAUGAAACUAAUAGUAUCUGUACCCAUGGUUCUCGAGCAAUGCCUAGUGGUGGUUUGAGCAUGGAUGGGCCUCCCACAACCCUUAGUGGUACUGGAGUUGAUCGAAUGGCAUUCCUACAGGCCAAUAUAACUCGAGACAAUACUGAGUUUGUAAAUGGUGCAGUUAUUGGAGACAGAUACAUUUUCCAGGUAAGCUAUCUGUACCCUCGUGGUUUCAAGGACACACAUUAAAGUAAGCCUUUGAGGCUCAAGCGUUUUCCUUGUGGCUCUAAAUAAGACUCUUUAAGAUAAGACUCAUUUCUAUUUAAUUACUUGAAAAGGGACAUGGCAGACCCUCUUUGUUAGUCCCUCCAUCCCAAAUUGUAGGUCAUUUUAGGCUUUUCUAGAUACAUAGUUUUUGCUAUGCAUCUAGAUAUAGGUCAUGUCUAGAUACAUAGCAAAAACUAUGUAUUUAGAAAAUCCAAAACGACCUAUAAUUUGAAACGGGGGAGUAUAAUCUUUUGAUUAAGUAUUGUUUUCAGUUCAAGGCUUGGCACAGUGCACCAAACCAUUCAGUAAAACUUAUGAUUAUAUGUUGUUUAUCUUCAUUUUUUUUUUGGCUCAGUGGUCUAAUUGUUUUCAAACUUCUAUGUUGAACUUGCACUGGUUCUUAUUUAAUGGCUCCAUGCUGUUAUACUAGAGUUUCCUAUGGUAAAAUACAUAGACUGAAUAAAGUUUCCUUGGUUGCAGUUGGACCAAGGUCUUGGCAUCGGAAGCAAAAACCCAUUCUUCAACCGUCAUCAGCUUACUAUGACAAAGUUCAUCAAUUUAAAUAAUCAAGAGAAAGGUGCUGGCAAGCCACUACCAGCUGUUUUGGUUCUUCAUGGUCAUUAUGCUGGUUGUGUGGGAGAUUUGCCAAGCUAUGAUGCAUUUGCACUCGGAGGUCCUUACUCUGUUAGGGGCUUUAGUAACGGUGAACUAGGUGCUUCUAGGAAUAUUCUUGAGGUAUGCAUUAUCAUGGAAUUCUCAGAUUUCAAUAUCAUGCAUCAUUCUCAUCACCAAUAAAUAUAUUGUUGCCGUACAUAUGUACUGAUUCACUGCUUCUGAACUUGUACCUGUAAUUGACACCAUGGCAUCACAGUGUUAUAUGGUAACUAAAGUUUAUGUGUCUGUUAUCUAUGCAGCUUGCUACUGAGUUGCGCAUCCCUGUAAGGAACACCCAUGUGUAUGCAUUUGCUGAACAUGGCACUGACCUUGGGAGUUCUAAGGAUGUGAAAGGGAACCCUACAGAAUUCUUCAGACGUGUUGGUCAUGGAUCUUCAUAUGGUGUUGGCGUCAAGCUUGGGUUGGUAAGAGGAGAGUACAUUGUAGAUCACAAUGCUGGUACAGGGACCAUUUUCUUCAGAUUUGGUGAGAGAUUUUGAGUGCACUUCAUUCCACCACUUGGGAAGGCACAUAUUUUCGACGCGGCGCUGUUUUAACACAGCUGAAACCUGAAGAGUGAUGCUUGUGGGCUGUGGUAGGAUUCAAAUGGCAUUAAAGCUCUGCUGAAAUAAUGAAGCUUUGUUAUUCCCUGAGGAAGAGUGAUAACUAGUGUGAGUUGAGUUUUUUAUUUUAAUGUAGGAUGUAAGGUCAGGUCUUUCGGGGCUUGGAGCUCAUAAAGGAAUAUGAAUGUUCACAAAUUUGGCCAUGUCUCCUGUUUUGACCGUCAAUUGUGUUGGCAUCGCUUCUGUUAAAAAUUGUCAAGUCGUUUCACCAUCUACCAUUUGUUCAGUUGGUUAGUAUUACAGUUUUGUUCCAUUCUCAUAUUGUGUAUUGUAGCGAAGCUCUAACUUGUCAUGAGUCAUGACGAUGCCUUGGAUCUGAAUGUUGUCAUUCGUCUGCGGCUUGUUUUUUCCCCCUAAACCAGACUUGAAUACUGGCUUCAAAUUCAAAUUCAAAACGGACAAGAUUUGUGUUGCAUAGUUUUAAGUAUGAUUAUUUUGUAGAGCUUUUGAUAGUGUAUUUUAGAUAAUCUCGGAAAUAAGUUUAUAUGUUGAUUUGGUUGCUAAUUAAAGUUUACCUGUGAAAGUUCUUAAAGCUGCGGGGCGAAUUCAAGAAAUUACAGCAGAUAUCAAUAUUACUGGAACAUUAGAGUCGUCACCUGUUUACGAAGUUAAUUACUUAUCUUAUAGUACCAUUAACAAGAGGGACGUCACUUCGAUCGGCUUGCAUUUUCCCGUUCGAAUUCCAUGGAUGAGAACCUGAACGGACGUAGAGCUCAUGAACGCAGGCGCAACAUCCAGCAGCUCAUGGAUGAAGCAGCUGACGAGUGCUUCCUGGCAAGGCCACCACAGCCGCGUCCUCCACCUCUUCUUCACCAGCCUCCAAUCCGGCGACCGCGGCGCGGUGGAUCCGCACCCCGCGGCCGUUCCCACGGCGCUCCGCGCCUGCGCGCGCCUCGGGAAUGCCUCCUCCGGUCGCCUCAUCCACGCGCUCCUCCUCACCCGGUUCCCGUCCCUCUCCUCCGACGCCGUCGUCUCCACAGCGCUCCUCGACAUGUACGCCAAGUGCGGCCUCGUCGCCAGCGCCCGCAGGGUGUUCGACGAAAUGCCUCGCAGAGACGACCUCGUCGCCUGGAACGCGCUGCUCGCGGGAUACGCGCGCCACGGCCUCCCGGAGCGCGCGCUGGCCCUGACCAUCAAGAUGAGAGGCCAGGGCCUGCGCCCCGACCUGGUUACAUGGAACGCCGUCAUGUCCGGUUUCGCUCUGGCCGGCGACGACCACAUGGCCGAGGACUUGGUCCGGGCCAUGCAAGACGACGGGUUCCGGCCCGACGUGGUCACCUGGACAUCACUUGUCUCCGGGUCGGUGCUGAACUUCCAUUACGACAGGGCGCGCACACUGUUCCGGAGAAUGGUGUCCACCGGCACCCGCGUCCUGCCAGGCUCGGCCACGAUUGCCAGCAUCCUGCCUGCCUUCGCCAAUGUCGCCGACGUGAAGCGUGGUAAGGAAGUCCACGCCUACGCCAUCGUGGCCGGCAUCGAGCAAGACCUCACAGUAAGUAGCGCUCUGGUCGACAUGUACGCUAAGUGCGGGCUCGUGCUCGAGGCGCACCGGCUGUUCGACAAUAUGACGGAGAGAAGCACGGUGACAUGGAACUCCAUGAUUUUCGGCCUCGCGAAUUCCGGCCACUGCCAAGAAGCCAUCGGCCUCUUCGACCGGAUGCUGCGUGACGGAGCAAGGCCGGUCCACCUGACGUUCACCGCCGUUCUAACGGCUUGCAGCUAUUGCGGCAUGGUGGAGCUCGGGAAGGGCCUGUACCGCGCCAUGAAGGAAGAGCAUGACAUUGAGCCGAGGCUGGAGCACUACGCCUGCAUGGUGCAUCUGCUUGGCCGAGCCGGCAAGCUCGCCGAGGCGUAUGAUUUCAUCAAAGCCAUGCCCCUGGAGCCCGACUGCUUCGUCUGGGGGGCGUUGCUGGGGGCAUGUCGGAGCCAUGGCGACGUCAAGCUUGCCGAGCUGGCAGCGUCCCGCCUGCUGACCGUCGAACCGGCUAAUGCAGCUAAUUGCCUGCUUUACUCAGACGCGCUGGCGAGCGCAGGCAGACAGGAUGAUGUCCUGAAGACGAAGAGGUUGGCAAAGAGACGGCGAAUGAAGAAGCUCGACGGCUGCAGCUGGCUAGAGCCUCCAUAGGCGAGGGCGUAAUCAUUCCUCUGGCAUCAGAAAAGAACAGAAUUGAUUGAUCAUGGAUCCACUGUUGAUUAUUCGCGGUUCCUCAGGAUUGCAGAAGACGGGCAUGAGGGUUAACACCAUCUAGUUAACCAUCUAAUCUCCCUUCCUACAGAAUUGAUUGAUCAUGGAUUCACGGUUCCCCAGAAUUGCAGAAGCAAAUGCGCAGGAAGGUAACAUUCAUGUUAACCUCAUCUAAUCCCCCUUCCUACAUAUGGAUGUAUUGGAUGCUACCACGAGUAUAAAAAAAAUGCUUGUGCAGACUACUGAAAUUAGCAGAAAUGUUUAUCAUUCACACUAUUUACUCAACGUUUAGACACGGAAUAUUUAUAACUACUUAAUCACAGCGUAACUGGGAGUUACUAUACAAGCAUAAGCAGCAUUAUGGUAUUUAGUUAUUUCAGAACAGGAUAUUAUUUACGUACCAAUCCCUAGUUACAUAACACCCGAAGCACUUAUAAGUACAAGGCAGUAGCACGAUCCCACAGCUUCCUCUCUCAUGGUGUCAUGCAUGGUCUACCUCCAGAACGAUCAAUGACUCUGGAAGUUUGAUCCACCAUCUGGUGCUGGGCCUAAAAGCAAAAUCAUUCCACCCCCAGCUUCAUCUCCUGAGCCUGUUCUCUCAACAGGGGGUGCCCUCCUUGCAGAAGCUUGGCGCAUUGGCUCGAAGAAUCUACCAGCCACAUCAGGAGGUUGCUCGAAAGAUUCCUCCCCAGGCAGAACAAGGAGCCCUUCAUUCCGGAGCAUGGACGGUUCAUUGUAGCAGGCGAUCCACAAUGAGUCAACGAGCUGCCUCUCUUCCCGUGCAGCAUCCAGAUCUUCAGGAGUCAUCCUCCUUAUGCUUUCUACGCGUCCCCGGAGAAGCCGUCGUAACCUGUCAUGCUCUGCUAGUAGACUCCUAUUUCCCAGUGUCAUGUCCCUUGCAAGCUCAAGCAAGCCCCCUAAUGCUGCUUCUCUAACACCAGAGUCAUUACUGGAUGCCAAGCGCAUCAUAAGGUGGGGGAAACCUAGCUGCGCAAAUACUGAGCAAUCUGAAUGGCUUUCGCUGAGCAGAUAGUGAGUCAGACUCAAUGCUUUCCUGCCAAAUAGGGAAAAACAUCUUAGAAAGAACAUUUAGCAAGGCAUUUACCCAAAAAACAGCACUAACAAUCUCAUAUCAAUUAUGUUACCUCUGAAAUCUUGCACUCUCUGAAUUCAAUGCAUCUCUUAGUCCUGUAUAUCCAUUGGCUAAACGAAAUGCAGCAACUCCUGGUCUGUUGUUUCGUAUCAAGGCUGAAUAAUAAAUAAGAACACCAUCAGACAAGGCAAUUUAUGAUAAAAUAUACCCUUACCAUCUAAAAAUGCGGACAAAAUACUUACAAGAUAGAGCACCAAGAGCUUUUAUGCGGGCAGUAAGGUCAGGAUCUGAUCUGAAAUUGGACAAGAGGGGCUCAAAACCACUAGCUUCCAUGACCAACUGCUGGCUGGUUGGAUUGUUCUGAACAACUGUUGUCACCACAUCAGCUGCUUUUGCUCGGAUACGGGCGUCAGAAUUUCUGAGGAACUUGAUAACUGGAACCAACCCACCAACAGAGUGCAAAUCUAUAACACAGCAGAGAGGAAAAACAAAAUAACCGUGUAAAUAACAAAUAAAUUAGCAUAAAAAUCCACAGUUUCACAUAAAGAACAUUUUCAAUUAGGUCAAUGGAUAUUAUUGCUUCAUUGUAAACAGUUAGUUCAACAUCCAGUCAACUUUUUUUUCCUAACGGAUCAGCUCCCCUUGAAAUUUUGUAUGCUAGCAUAUUGAAAGGGGAAGCUGAGAAUUCACCUGAACAGCAAUAUUCUAUUGCCAAAAAAACCACUAUAGUUGCCUCCAUCCAUUUGUUUAGCCACCUCAACAGAAACUACUAAUGCCAUUGAAUCAUCCAAUGAUGUGAAUGUAUUCAGUUUGACACCAGUAAUGCAUGCCUCCAAGUGCUACCAUGGUCUCCUACAGAUGGAAUUGUAGAUUUCACUUAAAAGCAGAUAAAUUUGAGUUAUGUGUGAAUAAGUGCAACAUUCAUAAACCUUAUAACAUGCAGCAAUUACCAACUGACACAUUAAAUAUCAGACAGCUCCCGAGGAAUUUUGGGUCAAAUGAUGGGUAGAAUAAUGUGCAAAGAUAUGGUCACAAUGAGCCAUCCACAUCAAGGGCCCUCAAGAAUCCCACAAAGGAGGCACCAUGUUAUAUACCACAAUUGGAGCCAUAUUUAAGUCAGGGUGGGGCUAUACAAAGAUUAUUACCAUAAAAACAGAAGCUAGUUGCAAAAUAAGAUACAAAACAUGUGAUUUUGUGAACACCUGAAACGAUAACAAGACAUGGAAAAAAUUAAACAUGAACCUGGGACAUACCAUUUGCCAUGUCGAUAGACUCAACAUGUACCUGCAGCUCACUCAACAGACCUGCGAUUUUCAAAGCACAUGGAUUAGUAUCAAUGAGGUAUGAGAAAUGCCAUGAGAUACUAAAUCAGUCAUUCUAUUAAAACAUGCCUAUAAAGGGAGAAAUGCUAUCAGAUACUAAGUCAGACAUGCGAUUCUAUUAAAACAUAAUAUUAGAAGUACAUCAUAAAGGCGCAUAGGAACAUAUCUCUACCGACCUAAAAAUGGUGGAACUGGGAAUAGCAGAGGUAUUUGGUAUCUAAUCGAACCACAGAAUAUUCAAAGUCGAACAACAGAAAGACAUUGUAAACUUUUUUUUUUCUUUUGUUUUCUUUUCAGAGGGGGAAUCAUUCCUUAAUAUAUGCUCCCUAAAGUAAAAUUACCUAUUCGUUACAGUGUGCUCCAAUUUAGGAUCUGAAUUGCCUAUCUAAGCUGCAAGCUGCCUAAAGAAAAAAAAGGCUGACUGAUUCCAUUCCAUAUCUAUCACCCUUUAACAGAAACGCAUCAUCCAACCUAAAAUUUGACCGCUGAAAUCGACACCAACCAACACUAGCAUACGUGCUCAGCGAAUCCCAGCAGGAGAUAAGGGAAAUGCAGCGUGCAAUGCCGCAACUGGUAAUUGGAGCCCAUACCUUCGAUAUCGUCGUGGGUGAUGCCCUGCGCCUCCAGGACGGCAGGCGGCGUGCUCAUGAGCAGCGCGAUCUCCCGCAUCCGGCUCACCACGUCCACCAUCAUGUGCCGCUCCACCGCCUCCGCCAGCCACCGCCGCUCCUCCUCGCUGUUGAUCGGCGCCACCAAAAACCAACACGCGCUUCAGCCACAGGCCACAUCCGGAAGAAAGACACAAGCCGCCUUCCCACCAGCAAUCGAACAUCCCCCUUACCUGAUGGUGCGGGACGGCCCGGCCCCGUCGACGUAGGAGAGGCUCCAUUUCAGCAGCCCCGCCCAGCUCAGCCUAUCCCCCGCCAUCCCGUCCUCCUCUUUCAAUCCUCCCUGAUCCCACGGCGCUGCCGGCGAAACCAAACCACCGCGCGUCCGGUGCGGUUGCUCUCUGCGGUUCCCGAAGCCGGUGAUGCGUGCGUGCGUCUCCCUCGUGUCGUGUGCGUUCGUUCGCGGCGAUGCGAGAUAUUUCCGGUUCUGGAUAGAACAGGCAGGUCAGGGAUGACGAGCCAAAACGCCAAACAAACGCCGAAUGCGUCACAUCACGGUGGUGUUGGAGGAGGAAGGUUGGGGAUAGGGACGGAUCUCUCUGGAAUUCACUCGGCUGUUCGGACCCAGGCGCGGAAGCUCAGUGGGCCGAAACGGCCCUUAUUGUGCUGCCCCGGGGUUGGCCCGCCUAGGUUUUCUGAUACGGCCCAGGCCUUUUUUCCAUCUCUCCCUUUCGGCCGUUCGUUUCGACCGUUCAUUCGCUUCACGGGCGCGAGGGACGGGAUAAUGGCGGCAGCGGCAGCGAGCUCGCUCUCAGUUCUGCCCCUCGCGCCGCGGAGGCCGCUCCCGCUGAGGCGCGCUGCUAGGAAUGCGGAGGGUGGAGGGGCUUCGAGGCCUCUGCGCCUCGCGAGGUUGCGGCUGCGGCGCGGGCGCCCAGCUGCUGCGGCCGUGGCCGGCGACGCGGAGUUGCCCCUGGAGGAGGCGGAGGCCGCGAUGAGGGUGGCGGCCGACGACGACAGCGUCACCGCCACGGUGGUGUCCGUGCUGCUGACGGUCGCGUUCGUCGGCCUCUCCAUCCUCACCCUCGGUGUGCGUGCCUGGGCCUCCAUGAGUGGCGAAUAAUUGUUGGUCGUUUUGCGAGCCGGUGUGGUGUUGGAUCAUGGGAUGGUCGAUGCUGAUCUCGCCAGGCUGUGUUUUUGGCUGGCUCUCGAUUCUUUGUGCAAUGCAGGUGAUCUACCUGGCGGUGCAGGACUUCUUACAGAAGAGGGAAAAGGAGAAGUUUGAGAAGGAGGAGGCCGAGAAGCAGAAAGAGGAGGCCAGGCAGAAGAGGGCCAAGUCCAGGAAGAAGAGGAGAAAUUAUUGAUUCCUGCCUCUCGUUUGUCUGCCACCCCAAUGUGAGCAAUUGCUCUUCUCUUCCGCCUUAGCUUCUUGUAAUAGCUGUGACAGUGUAUGCAACAUUGCAUAUUUAGUAUCGCGUGAGGUUUUGCUUCCCUCUGCAGUUUGCACUUAGGUUAGAUGUGAUCAGUUCAGCUGCGGGACAUGCUAAACAAAAUUACCGUACAACUAGUUCUAGGAAUGUUCCAUUUAUAAAAGUGUGGAAUGCUUCCAACAUAUUAUAUCAAGUGUGAAUUGCGCCACACUUAAAAUAAAUUGCAAGUGAAAGUGAUAAAGACUUGAAUUUGGAAAGGCGAAUGCCUUAAGGACACGACUCAAUUGGUCCUGUAGAAUAUGCUUGGAUGGGACUAUAGAAGGUAAUCUGAAGAAGAUAGCGCAGGUAUGCUCAUGUCACUCGGAGGAAGUGAUGAUUCCUGUAGAGAUAUGCAUAUUCUAGUUGAAUUCACCUUGCUGGUACUUCAUAGAUAUUCUACCACAUGGCUACCAUUUCGAACCUCAUGAAGAGUCUUUGCAUACCUCUGCUGAAGUUCUUCUCGCAAUGCCCCAGGCAGACAGCUUUCAUGUACUACUAUCAUAGAGACUAAUCCAAGAUAGUUUGAUAGCUAGUCAUCCAGGGUGUGUUCAUAUUUAGUUUUGCCUUCUGUCAGACAACAUCUUAGUUAGCGGCUCAUGUGUGUUGAGGUGUGAGACUAUAGAAAUUAGACCUAGAACACACCACUUAAACUAGAUCAAUGGCCUAAAUAAGUGAUUCUCAAGUUCAAUUGACUAAUUGCACCCACCUUGGAAGUUUAAAUCAAACAAUUCCAGUUUUACAUAAAUGAGACUAUGAUGCAGUUUACUCUCGAGUCAAAUUUUUAGCCACUUCAUACAGAUGUCUAGCUGUACUCCUGACAUGAACACUUCCUUUUCUACAUUUUCUCUUCUCUCGUUUCUUUCUGUCUUUCACUAUGCAGGAGGAUAGGCUGACAGAAUAUUUCAAAUUUUUAGGCCUUCCACAUCGAGCUGAUGAGUCAAGAAUUUUUGUAGAUUUUUCAUGAAUAGUUGUUGCCUUAAUUAGUAGUUAGAGCAAUUGGCUCCUCCCUUUGUUAGUGAACCAUACUCCCUCUACAAUGGUCGACAUUGUCAUGUUGCUGUUCCUUAUCUGAAGCCUGACCAUACAGCCGAUCACCUUUACUAUGUAUCUACCACAUAGAUCAUACUGCAUACUUAAGUCUUGACUCCUCUGUCCAUUGCAUUUACUUUUAUACAGGUUAUGCUCUUCGGAUGCAGAUGAGUCUUCAGUGUGUGCUUUUCUCAGAUAUUUUGUCAUUGGAAGACUGGUUAGCUGCUUGCUUCUGUUAGCUCUGUUCAAGUUAACCCCAUUUCUUCUCAUUUAUUCUGGUUUGUGUAAAAGUUAUUGUACAACAGAUGCUUCAUAAAUUUUAUAUGUCACCUCAAUUGCAUUUGCCAACAUGUUGUACUUCAAUACAAAUCAAGAAGUACUAACAUGUUUUACUCAGUUUGUGUUUUCCUGGGGUGUACACGAUUCCUUUCAUGCCAAAAUUUGCUAGUGUGUGUUACCGGUGUUGGGGUGUAUCAACAGUUUGUGAUUUUCUCAAACCCUGUGCCGCUUUGGUUGAAUUUAAGAUUGAAGUAUGAAGCAUCAAAUCCGCCUGAAUUGUUGAAUUAUGCACUUUCAACUUUGAAACUGAAAUCUUAUAUUUUCUUUGUUGCUUCAUGCUGAAGUAGGUUGGAUUUGGACUGGUUAGGCAUUGACUUUUGGAAGCUACAUCUGUUGGUGUUUAGACCCGGCAACCUACCGAGGGGAGUGCUCGAGGUAGUGCUUUGGUUAAUGGGGCUCGUCGAGAUCAGGAACUCGAAGGUAAACGCAGACAUACGAUUUAGACAGGUUCUGGUCGCUGAAUAGCAUAAUACCCUACGUCCUUUGCGUUGGUUGGAUUGAAUUGCUUUGGAGGGGGUCUCUGUCUCACCUUAUAUUGCCGAGGGCAGGGUUACAGGUCGGUUGGUUACAAGAAAACUAGUUAGAUUCGACUAAAUGAGUUCUACUCUUAUUACUACGAGUAUUUUUCCUAAUCCUCGACUAGGUCCUGUCUUUCCACAUAGACUACGUCGUCUUGCGCUAUAAUCUCCAUGUCAGAUAUGUUUUGGUGUCCAACCCCAUAUUUAGGAUUGUCCAAACCUUCUCGUGGGCUUAUAGAUGUAUGUACGACAAGCCCUUGAGUACUUUUUAGUUAAAUGCAAUAGUUUCGAGUUUUUUUUAACUUCAUCGACUAGUUCUUGGUGCUCUUCGAGUACUUCGUCUGGCUAAAUCUUCAAAUGUAAAAAAAAUUGUCAUGCUGCUAGAAUGUACUCAAGCCUCAUUUAACUGAGUCCCGUGUCCUUCAAUCUUGAAUUUUAUGUGGAAGUGCGACAAAAGUCGCACUCCAUAUGGAGUAGCCCCCGAGGCUUAGUUUGAAUCAAAGAAUCAGGCUAAGGGUCGAUCUGUAAUUUGCAUCACUUUUCCUUAAAACCCAGAGAAAUUUUUUUUUAUGAUGCACACAUGACACACAACCCCGAGCCUUUUACCAACUAGUUUGGCAACCUCUGGUCAACGUGACUAUCUCUGAAAGGAAAUCUCAUCUCUUCUGAGAAUAGAGGUAACGACUAAUCAGGUGCCGUGAAAUCUGCGGAUCUGUUAAACCUGAAUAUUCCUUUAUUCACGUCGUUGUUACUGUGCCACGGUGAUAAAUAGCGGAGGAAGUUAUCCCUUUUCGUUUCACCUUUGCCAUUUGCUUUUCCGACCUCCAUACUGUAGCCCUAGUGCUGCUGCUGCCCAAUCUCCGAGCGCUAGCGCCGCCGCCCCCCACCACUGAGGCCCCGAGCGUAUGCGACAGAAGAAGCUCGUGACAUUAAGGAUGGUGAGGAAGGCUGAUGCAUCCAAAGAAGUCGAGGGUGAGAAGAAGAAGAGGUCCGACAAGAAGGAGCCACAAUUGCCGGCACCCAAGUACGGGAAGACGGAUUAGACUGCGCCGCCAACUCCUAGUUGCGCUUGGAAGCGGUCAUUCUUAAAAGAGGAGGAGAUUAAGGUGUCUGUGGCCGCCAAGCUGCUCCAAGAUCAAGACUUCAUCAAUUGGAGAUCCUCCUACGGCAAUCCGUGACCAUUGGAGGAAUACCUGAUGAAACAGUAAUUUUCGCUCACUUCAUCGAGCGCGGUCUUGCACUUACAGACUUCUGAUUUUUCCGGGGUCUUCUGGAUUAUUAUAAGUUGGAGCUGGUUCCUCUGAACCCCAAUGGAAUCCUCCAUACUGCUAUUUUUGUGCACUUCUGCGAAGCUUUUCUGGGAAUCCGCCCCAACUUUCAGUUAUUCCGAAAAUUUUUCUAUGUAAAGCCGCAACCGAUGAGGGAUCAUACUCAAGUAGUCAGAGGUGCCGGUAUCCAGAUGCGGGAGAAACUCAGUAGCCUGUAUCUAGAGUAUGAAUUGAUAGACUUCAAUGCCGAGUGGAAGGAGAAGUAGUGCUACAUUGGCAACCACGAUCCCAAACUACCCAAACUGACAAGGCAUCGUCCCACCUGGAACAACCGGUGGCUGGAUGAGCCAACUCAUGGGGAUUGCCUCCAACUACCCGAACUCCUUGAUAGAAUAGCCAAGCUAAAGCAAGAAGGUCUCACUGGAGUUGGAGUAGCCUUCAGCUUUAUGAAGCGAAGAAUCCAGCCCUUACAAUAGAGAUGCCACUGGGGCUAUGAGUAUACUGGAGUCAAUGAUCCAUCCAGACUUUCACCUGAUGAGCUCAAUAUAGAUGAGAUUAUGGUGAGCUUGAAGCGGAUGUUCAAAAAUGUGGGCGAGAUCCCCACCAUUGUGCGGGAAUUCAACGCUGCCAACCCGCCAAAGCCUGUAAGUACCCGUAGCCAUAGCCUCCAAAUACUUAUUUUUGUAGUUGUUGGGUGUGCUAACUUGACUUUCUUUGCAGGAAGAUGUCAGCUUGUACUUCUCUGCUUCUCCUCCUCCCGGAUCGGAAGAUAUUUGUGAAGCUGCUCCUCGCGUGCAUAUGGCGGAGAGCACUGAGAGUGAUGACGAGGAAGAGGAAGUACUCGAGACCUUCAGCAGCACCAGUUCGGAUGCUGCGGAGAAUUUUGAAGUCAAGGCCCAGCCAUUUGCUAAGGUCGGGUCAUCCUCUGAAUCGAAGAAGCGCACAGCUGAUGAGGAGCUCGAAGCUGCAAUUCCUCCGCCACCAAAGAAGAAGCGGUCCAUUGUUGCGAAAUGGGUCGUGAAGAAAUCCGUCACCGCAGAAGAUGUGCCUCCCGCGUCCGGUAGGCGAUUCCAAUAUCACCACUGUGUCUACUCAAGAUGACAUUGAUGGUUUGCAGAUACUAGAGCCGGUGAUGGAUGCUGAAAAGGCGGCUGCUCUCGCUGUGCAAGACAGGUUGCCAGUCAUUGAGGAGGUGAUCAAUAUUGAAGAUGAUCCGGAGCCUCAUGUUGCUGUGAUGGACCCUGCCGGCGCAAGAACAACUCGAAGAGCAGAGGCGGCGGCUAAGGCUGGCGAUGAUCAUGCUGCGACAUUCAAGCCGUGCCAAAGAGACUGUUUCCGACCAUUAAGCCGCUGCGCUUUACAGGAGAACUCUCUUUGUAGUUGAGGAGAUCUAUAAGGUAUGUCUUGUUGCUCCUUCUUUGAGUACUAAUUGUAGCUCAUGAUCGACUUGUUGUGUCUCUGAAGUUUUGUCUUAUGCAGGAAAUCCUCUAAUAUGAACCUUGGAGAGCCUAGUUUGAGGCCCGUGACAGAGUACAUUUCCUAAUCUUUGACUAGUUCCUGUCUUUCUACGUAGACUACGCCGUCCUGCGCCAUAGUCUACAUGUCAGAUAUGUUUCGGUGUCCAGCCUCAUAUUUAGAAUUGUUCAAACCUUCUGGUAGGUCCAUAGAUGCUAUAUUUUUACGUUCAAUAUUCUUCUUGAUGAGCAAAAUAACUUGACCGUUCCUUUGUGAAACGUGCCAAGUGAGUUGUGAGCCCUGUAUUGCAAAGCGCUGUCUGUUGCUGGAAUAUGGACCGUUCCUUUGUGAAAAGGGAUUGCAUUAUAUGGUGAUUGGUAAUGGCUAAUGGAUAUGUUGUGUACAGUACAGGACAACCUCCCAUGUUUGAUAUACAAAAACAACCCUUUAGACUGUAAGGAUAAUGUCUUAUAUCAUUUGUUUUUUUUAUAAACGAAGGUUAUACAAAAAUAACCGGUGUGUGAUUUUUUUUUGUUGGUGUUGAAUUGCUCUGUUCAUAGACUUUAGAAUAGCAGAAAGGCCGUGGCAAGACCACAAGGGAUGGGCCGGAAGCUUCUCAUCAGCUCUCUUUCAUUACUCAGCAGACAAGGGGUGAUGUAGCGUGUCUGAUUGAGCAUGACAGCAUAUGAAGUUUCUUUGUUGGUUCUGUAGAUCUGAUCUACUCCCCUGACAUGGACUCCAGCACAUGUCAAACAUUACUGACUUUUGGCAUCUGUCUAUUUUGUGCCUGUACAUGUGGCCUGUAGGCACACGUGAAGGUCAAUUUGUCUGCGGUUAUUUGUUUAUUAACCCGGCAAAAGCGCUGUAAUAAUUCAGAAAGUGAUUGAGGUGGUAACGGCAGGAGACCUUUGACCCCUGUAGUCACCGACGAGCCUCUAGUGGUGAUUCGAAAGUGACUGAAAGUGAAGUUGUUGGAAGAACGGCGACCAUUCACGGAGCCAUCUAUAACUGGGAAUCGUUUCACCCAGAUGCAAAAGUGAAGUACAUGUACAACAAUAUAUUGAAAAGUAAGAUAGGAAUUUUCGAAAAGUGUUGAGAAAAUGAAACAACGAGAAUCCAUGUACGCUUCUUUUUUUAACUAACGGUAAAUUCACACGCAAAGAAAAUUCAAUAGUGCCAUGAUAGUGUUCAUCUUUGUUGUUUGUGCCAUGUUUAGAUGGGUUGCGUCAACAAGUUUGCCAAAUUUAUUUACUCUAUAAAUUCAUACUCCGCAAUAUGACAAAUUUAUUUACUGUGCCAUGUUUAGUAGGAGCAUGCAGCUGCAGAACUCAGAAGUGCUGUUUCCAAACUGGUGGCCAGCGUCAAACCAAAACCUCAAUCAAUUUAAACCUGUCGCCUUUUACCGCGCAAGUCAAAACCGCCCACCCUUCUUCCAUCCACGCGGCGGUUUGCUAAACCCGCCCGGGCGCCGCCGAUCCAUCCAUCCCGGGCGGCCUUCCCCUUUGACCUUCCACGGCCGGCUGACCGGUCAACGUCACCCCCGGCCGCUAGCUAACGGCGUGUGCCUUUCCCAAUCGCCACGCUCCACGUGCAGUCGCCGUCACCCGGGACGUCACCGCCCCGCCGGACGGCGUCCCACAUAAAACCGCCCCACCCACUCACCCACCCCGCAAUUCCCCUCCCCACCUCCUCGUCUCCGCUCCCCGAAAGCCCCCGAAUCGAAUCCGGCGGAGUUCGAUUUGGGGAUUUCGGCGCCUCGCCCCCGGAAAUUUCUUGGAUCUGAGGCCGGCCGUCGUCUUCGAUCUGCGGCUGGAGUGAGUCUGCAAGUUUUCCGGCUCGAUUUUGGUCGGAGGGUCGGGGGGCUUCGAUUGCGGGGAUGGAGUCGUCCCCGGUGUCGUACUGGUGCUACCGCUGCAGCCGCUUCGUGAGGGUGUCUCCGGCCACCGUCGUCUGCCCGGAGUGCGACGGCGGCUUCCUGGAGCAGUUCCCGCAGCCGCCGCCGCGGGGCGGCGGCGGGAGCGGCCGGCGCGGGACGAUGAACCCGGUCAUCGUGCUCCGGGGCGGAUCGCUGUCCGGGUUCGAGCUCUACUAUGACGACGGCGCGGGCGACGGGCUGCGGCCGCUGCCCGGCGACGUCCAGCACCUCCUCAUGGGGUCCGGCUUCCACCGCCUGCUGGACCAGUUCUCGCGGGAGGCGGCGGCGCCGCGGCCCCCGGCGUCGAAGGCUGCGGUGGAGUCCAUGCCAUCUGUGACGAUCGCCGGAGGCGGGGCCCACUGCGCGGUCUGCCAGGAGGCCUUUGAGCCCGGCGCCGCCGGGCGGGAGAUGCCGUGCAAGCAUGUCUACCACCAAGACUGCAUCUUGCCCUGGCUCUCCCUCCGCAACUCGUGCCCCGUUUGCCGCCAAGAGCUUCCGGCCGCGGCCACCCCAGAUGCGGAGGCGGAUGCGGGGCUCACUAUCUGGCGACUUCCACGCGGUGGAUUUGCCGUAGGGAGGUUCGCCGGCGGGCCCAGAGAGCAGCUCCCGGUCGUCUACACCGAGCUGGAUGGGGGCUUCAGUAACGGGGUCGGCCCGAGGAGGGUGACAUGGCCAGAGGGAGAGAGGCAAGUGGAUGGCGGUGAAGGUCGGAUUCGCCGUGUAUUUAGGAAUCUGUUUGGCUGUUUCGGUCAUGGCAGCCGGCAAGCGAGUUCGUCGCAAUCUCUUAGUGGCUGAGCACAGUUUUCCUUGGUAACUCGUUUUCAAUUGAUAGUGCUGAAGAACUAGGGUUAGUGUAAGAAGGGAAUCCAGAUUAUAAUUUCUUGGGACUUUUGAUGUAAAUGAAGGUCUUGCAUUAUCCCCUCUUUUGUCUCAUUUAAGAAUUAUCGAGAGAUGGGUAUGAGCAAACAUCUUGGAGUGAACAUGGCAACCAAAUUAGUUUGAGCAUGGCAAGCAAAUUCGGUCAAACAAGUGCUUCAAGGAAGUAAUAGCAAUGAAUGUUGGGGAAAUCAAUCCUUUGCAAGAUUGUAGUUAGAGAGAACAUUGGCUGUAUUUACAUCCCUACCAUUUGUGUACAUACUGGAUCAAGAUGAAUUUCCAUUUUGCUAUAUCAUAUAUUUUAUAUUAAAAAUUGAAAAAUUCUCUGAUGUUACUUUUGUGCAGCAGGCCAAACCCCGUCAUUGUUUGAAUCCAAAAAAAUAUGUGCAUCAUGGAUUAGUCACAACAAUGGUCGCCCCAGCACUAGCUAAUAAUGUUUAAUGGUCAAAACUUAGCCUAGCUGUGCUCAUGUUUCUAAGUAGCAACCUGCCAUUUUUAUUCUCUUAAUUUCUCUGGUUGUUUUCCCCUGCAGGUUUGAUGCCUUUGUUUCCUCUGCUAAAUAAGGAAACCUCAAGUCCCCACACUCUUUGUAUGCACUGAGAAAAAUAUAUUGGCUAUAUCUAGAUAUCAUGAUUUUAAAUUGUAUUUCUAGUGUGUUCAACUAGUGUGGGUGCUAGUUUGGGUUGGUGCACAAUGAGUAAAGGUGAUUAAAAAGAGCAUCUAAAUCUAGCAUUGUCGUGUUAUAUGAAAACUGUUUAAAUUACCACAUGCCCAAUUAUGGAUGGUUAGAUGAAUUUUCUUUGAAUACAACACACGUCCAGAUGGAUCCUACAAAUCAUGGAUCUAACUUCGCUCUUAGUAGUAAAGGUCCCUACUAUUUAUUUUCAGCUAUUUGUAUAUGAUGAGUAAGAUAGCGGGGGUGCUAUCUUGUAGCAGACAUUCUUUGUCUUUGUCCAUCCAUGUAGCUCUCCAUCUUGUUUGCAAGUCAUAUGGGUCAUAAUAGUGGUUGGCCUAACCAUGAAAUUGAUCCUUGUUAUUUCACCUGCAUGUCCUUUCAAAUAGUAACAUACUGAAUUUUCAAUGAUGAUAUGAGCUGUACACUGACAAAUUGCCAUAGCUAUUGUGAUUUUCAUCUAUUUGGAUUUUUGUAAUCUUGCAUAUCUAUUGUGUUUGCUCCAGUUUGUUGUUUAGAGCACCUCAUCCAUGCCUUAUUAUUCUGUAUUGCCUUUAAUCUGAUAUAAAUGUGUGGCUACUUUUAGGAGUUUCUUAAAAGCAGAAGGGUACCUGAGAAACUGCAUACAAUUCUCCAUAUCCUGAUCUUUACUUUGCUCACUUAAGUACUGUAUGUACCAUUUGACCUAGGAAAAACCAGCUGUAUGGUGCAGUUGCAUGCCUUUGUUGUCCUCUUCUUUUACAUCUUUUCUGUUUACAAAAUUAAUGCUGAAACAGCAUGCUUGCAAGGGCUCUGCUAUCUGCAGGUGGAAAAAUAAACUGACAUCAAUUGAAUAUCUUUACAGUAAGGGCAAGAAAUCAGUCUCAUUUCUUCAUGUCUAAGUCCAUGCAACAAUUCAACUGCUGCUAGUGAAGCUUGUUGAUGUUUAGUUCAUGUCAUUUUCCUUUACCUCUCGUUUGGGCUGUUAUGUACUAUUUAUGGAUAUAGCUGUAAUCCUUUUAUUGCUCUCGCACCAAUUAUUUUUUCCAUUAUAUGUUGUGGAAGAUUCUGUAUAUUAGCUAAUCAGUAAUAACUCACAGCGGAUCCUAACUAGUUACUUUUCCUGCUAUCCUCUGAGUACUCGUCCAGUGACUGUAUAUUGUUUUAUGUUUUUAGUUAUUUGCUUUGCCCUUUACACUGGUUCUUUGUCUUGCUACCCUUUGUAGCUAAAUUGUUAUAAAAAUGUUGGUCUAUGUAACUAUGUUAUGCAUCUCUGUUGCUAAUGUUAUCUUUUGUGGAUUCCGGAUGUAAAUGCUGUAUACUUUUCAUGAUAAUUAUCCUUCAUGCUUCUUAUAGUUGCAGGUUGACAUGAAGAAUUUCAGUGGUCCAUGUGACUGCUUACCUUUCACAAGGUUCUCCAGCUGACAGCGGCGAUGGUCAUUUAUUUGUGAGGCUCUCACAGUACAACAGUACAGUAUGAGUCUGCUUCUUCUUGUAUCAUUACUGGCGAUGUGGGGGCAUGGGUGAGUACCCUAUCCGAUUCUAUGUAUGCAUCAUUAUAGAAUUGCCAAUUGCUGAGCAGUGAGCAGUUUUGUUAUGUGUCAAGAUGAAUGUAUUAUCUGGGUUGUUGAGCAAUCAACAUCUCUGAAUGUCGGUUGAUUCUUUAGCCUGUUUGUGCAACCUUGCAUGUAUACUGCAUAGGCCAUGGUGAUGAUCAAGCAUUGGGUCCAUUCGUGACAAAGAUUGGAAGGCAGCUGUCAGGUCAAGCAGGACUGGACCCAUUUCAAGCCAUCUAUAGUCAGCAAAUCAUGGGGGCUCGUCUUCACUCAAGGUAAGGUAAGCACCUUCUGUUAGGUAACCUGAGCUUGAGGCUAGCUUAAUAGCAUUCAGGGAAAUGUUUGGCAUGGCAGGAUGGCUCAGUGCACUGGAAUCUACUGGUGGUGGUUUGGUGGACCUGGUCCUGGAGAGCUUUCGGCAUUCUGGGCAUCACUGUGAGUGCUCGAGGAAAAGGACUCCUGCCGAAUGAGCACCCGAACUGCUCACUGCUCAAUGCUUUAUGCCCAUUCCUGACUUUCAAGAGGCCUUGGGAAAGAUUGACAGCUUUUCAUCUAUGUGCCAAUUCUGUACCGCAGGAAGUGCUAAACGAUGUGGAUGUUCUGCAUACCUUCCUGCAAUAAGGAGAAUAUUUUUUGGUAUCGAAAGAGGUGAACCUUCUUCCAGCUCCAUGUUUCAGUGCAAUGAACUCGGUUCUUUGCAGCACGGCAGAAGUUGGGUGUGGAACUGUGGGAUCAUCCAGUGCUUCUUUCAGGAAUUCGACGGCUGUUAGCACGCAUAAUGUAGCCGCACCUUCCUGUGGCAUGCAUUAUAAUGGUUGCUUCAGAAGGAAUGGUCCUGCAGCGUCCUUGCAACGCUUUGGUGAGGCACUGAGGCUCCAUGUUUUCUGAAAGCCUUCUCCACUUUGUUUGGUUCCAAGAUUUGAGUACUCCAUUGUGUGGUUGUCCCCGAACUUGAGCAAUCAGAACGUAAAGAAUGCGUGGUCGCACGCAGGAUACGAGCGUUCCUGCCGUGCAGAUCCAUGAGUGCUUUGUAGAGCAGAAGUGGAUUGGAUGGUUUGCACAAGCGGUGGUAUCUUAUUCGCCCCCGGCAGUCUGGCACCAGCCUUCAGUUGCGCAUGAUUGGUGCGCCAUGUGUGUGUAUGAUGAUCGCUUCUAUUUGAAAAGAACCGGAGUGGUGAUUCGUGUCGGGUCAACACAUGUGUAUCCAGCGGCAGAAGCUAAUCAUUUGCCAAAAAACGGAACUGAAUACGACGAGCUCGACGUCUCGUGUGUAGAUUCUGGUGAUCAUAGCAGCGCUUUGACCGAGUGCGAGCAACGUAUGUCUGAUGCUGUGAUGCAUGAACAUUGAACAACUCACCUGGCCAAAUUUCAGAAGCAACGGCGAUGAAACCGUAUGAAACGUCUGCUCAUUUCUCUUUGCACCGCUUUCCUGCGCUAUCUUUCCAUCAUGUUGCCAAUGCCACACGACAGGUCUCUCAAGUGGCCCACACGUUGAGGACGUACUGGGUGGCACUGUCACUGACUCACUGUGUGCCUUUUAUUUUCUGGUGCGCCGAUGCCGUAGCCCGUGGUGCCCGUUGCUUUCCCUUCACGUAUCGGAAUGUGGUAAAGGUUAAAGGCGCCUGCAGGUUCGUUCGUAAGAAAUGUCGCGUCAUUCUCGCAUGAUGCCGGCAGCGGUGAGGCAGAGGCAGAGCGGGGCAGAUCACAGGAGCCGGCCGUCAGCCCGUCACCAUCAUCGUCUCGUGCCGCCGUGUCCUCGGAGUCGGAGGCUCGGAGCCACUCGGCACUGUCGGCAGAGCCACGGCUGCCGUGAAAAAACUGGAACGGGCAAUCUUGGGGUUUCCUGACUUCCAUGUAGAUUUGCUCAGCAACGGAACGGGGGCAAGGAAGCACGGAAGCACGGGAAGAUGACGGGCCUGUGGAUGUGGUUGCGUUGCACUGGCAGGUCUCCAGCUGUCGACCACGGGUUGCCCAACCGCAGGCAGCAUGAACUGGCGCGCGCUACACCGAACGCCAAGGGCCCUUUUCGGCAAAUCUAGCGAGAGAUCGUUGGCGAGGCAGCUGCGCUGAAAGCCACUCGCCUCCGGCGGGAGUCCUCGCUGAUGGACGCCAAAUCUGUAGCCUCAGCCCUCAGGUCCUGAGGUCCAGGAGCAUGUCUCGCUUUAACUAAGCUCCAGUGGCGCCACCUGGCCGGACAACCCGAGCGGUGACCAGUCACAGUCAGUACGCGUAUUGAUGAGGUCGCCGACCACUGCUUCGCCGGGGAUCGGAGAAGAAGAAGAGUCGAGCCUUGGAUGGGAGGGACGCAACCUGACGCAGUGUAACCUACUGUUGCUGCAAAAAGGCCUGACACGUGCCCUCGUACGAUUGCCGCUGGGCGGUGGAAAGAGGCGGACGCUGGGUCGCUGGCAUUAGUAGGGAGGAGUGUGACGCAGCAGUCAGCGGGGAGCGAGAUUCACUUUGGUGGAGCUUCCAUGGGCUCCGGCUCUACCUCAUACGUACUGUACAUGUGCUGUAGCUAUACUAUUUACAAGAGUUAUUUUUCUCUCUUCCUCUCGCAGACCGGCAACGAGCUGAUGGAGCCACAAAUUUUGGUUCCACCGGUCCAGCUCACUCCUGCCACACACAGUGCGGGAGCCGGAGCCGGAGCCGGAUGGAGCGGGAAAAAAAAGCCGCGACCGCGCGACGCGGGCAGUUUAGAAACAGAGAGUGACCGCAUGCCAUGCAGCAAAUCCUUCUCCUCUGCCUCUCUCUCCUCGCCCACGCGGUGGCGGCGGUGGCGGCGGCGGCGGACGGAGAGGCUCGCUUCGGAGGGAGAGUGCUGCUUCCGCUGCGGGUGCAGGGGGCGCCGCCGCCCCCGCAGGCGCCGGCGAACAAGCUCCGGUUCCGCCACGAUGUGAGCCUGACCGUGUCGGUGGCCGUGGGCACGCCGCCGCAGAACGUGACCAUGGUGCUCGACACCGGCAGCGAGCUCUCCUGGCUGCUCUGCAACGGGACCGGGACGCGGGCGCCGGCCCCGCCGCCACCGGGCCCCGCGGCGGCGUUCAAUGCGUCCGCCUCGUCAACGUACGGCGCCGUCCGCUGCCCGUCGCCGGAGUGCCAGUGGCGUGGGCGCGACCUCCCCGUCCCGCCCUUCUGCGCCGCGCCGCCGUCCAACUCCUGCCGCGUCUCGCUCUCCUACGCGGACGCCUCGUCCGCCGACGGCGUACUGGCAGCCGACACGUUCCUCCUCGGUGGCGCGCCGCCCGUGCCCGCGCUCUUCGGCUGCGUCACCUCGUACUACUCCGCCACGGGCGGCCGCGGCAGCAGCGGCAACGCCACCAGCUCGUCCCAGGAGGCCGCGACGGGGCUCCUCGGCAUGAACCGGGGCUCCCUGUCCUUCGUGACGCAGACGGCCACCCGCCGCUUCGCCUACUGCAUUGGCCCGGGCUACGGGCCCGGCCUCCUCGUCCUCGGCGGCGACGGCGCCGCCCUGGCGCCGCCGCUGAACUACACGCCGCUCAUCGAGAUCUCGCAGCCGCUGCCGUACUUCGACCGCGUGGCCUACUCCGUGCAGCUGGAGGGCAUCCGCGUCGGCGCCGCGCUGCUGCCAAUCCCCAAGUCCGUGCUCGCGCCGGACCACACGGGCGCGGGGCAGACCAUGGUGGACUCCGGCACGCAGUUCACCUUCCUCCUCGCCGACGCCUACGGGGUGCUCAAGGGCGAGUUCCUGAACCAGACGCGCCCGCUCCUGGCCCCGCUCGGCGAGCCGGGCUUCGUGUUCCAGGGCGCGUUCGACGCGUGCUUCCGCGCGCCGGAGGCCCGGGUGGCCGCGGCGAGCCGGCUGCUCCCGGAGGUGGGCCUCGUCCUGCGCGGCGCGGAGGUGGCGGUUGCCGGGGAGAAGCUGCUGUACAGGGUGCCCGGUGAGCGGCGCGGGGAGGGCGGCGCCGAGGCGGUGUGGUGCCUGACCUUCGGGAACUCGGACAUGGCGGGCAUGUCGGCGUACGUGAUCGGGCACCACCACCAGCAGAACGUGUGGGUUGAGUACGACCUCCUGAACGGCCGCGUCGGCUUCGCGCCGGCGCGCUGCGACCUCGCCACCCAGCGCCUCGGCAGCGGAGCAUAAGCCUUCCACGCGUGCGCCGUGGCAUCUGUACUCGUUGACGUUGUGGGUCUCGCCAUGGAUGGCACACAGCAGCAGGGCGCGAAAUCGUUUGUAGAGAAGAUGGUCUCUCCGAUCACCUGCUGCUGUGUCAACUUUGUAUUAUGCGAACAAAUAUACGAGCCAAUGACAAACUGCUAUACUAGUAAUUUAGUUGUUUACACAUGCCAGCCCUCUGCUCGAAUUUGGGACAGUGUCUACACCAUAUUUUGAGAGAGAGUUGACCAAUGUCUGCACUUGGCUAGCGUGCGAGCUGCCGAGCAGAACGUCGUGGUCUCACUUUGCGUUGGUUGCGGAGUGGUGGACCAAAGUUAGCUCUAUGCCUGACUUCUCAGAGGUCACUAUGUCAGAUCUUAUUACAGUUCAAUUUGAGAAGUGGCAGGGGGAAUUGAAAAUACAUAACACAAAACUUAAUUUACGACGAAAUUUCAUCAGCGAAAAGUAGUGAAAAUAAAUUAUGCUUGUUAUCUAACAACUAUAACUUUCAAAUCACAGUCGCAAUCAACCUUUUGGACAGAAUCUGAGUUAGAGCUUGUUCCCAUAGACUACAUGGUCGCCGCAUAUGAGAAAUCGACCUACCUGGCGCGGGGAAACCUCCGUGGAAGCGCAGGAGCGUCGGUCGUUGGUACCGUCGCCGGAUGAGAGCUCAGGAGAGGGCAUCCCAUGAGUGAGAGUCAAGAGGGGGAGAAUGAGGUCGCCUCAUUGCUCGGGGCGGAUGAGAGACCGGCCGGAGAGGUUUUCUUGCGUUUUAGCCCUCAUAGAUGAGGCAAGGGAUCAAGAAGGGUCUCGGUUGGAGUUGCCCUAAAUCUCUGCAGAGGCCUUUUUAUUUCUUUGUGAUGUUCUGCAAUAGAAUAGUAUGAGAAUUGUUCUGAAGAAGUACAAAAUCAACCAUGUAACAAGCUGACAGCACUAAAUGGAGGAACUCGUGCAACUUCGGAGUGCUCAUCUUAUCCCUCUCUGUAGUCUACAAGGUUAAGAUUAUUAAUUUAGGUCAAAGGCUGCAAUAAGAAAAUUAAUCCCUGUGACUAAUGGAAUACAUAACAGGGAGACAUCUUACAACAGAAUGUCCAUUUACAUGCAUCAAAUAGAAUUUGCAAAUGUUUCACUAAAACAUAUAUAGGAACUAUAAAAAAGAAUCCAACUACUCAUUUUCUUGUCUCUCUUGAUUUUUUUAUUUGAAUUAGCAAAAGCCGAAGGAACAAGUGGGUUCUUCCUUUUUCUAAAACAAGAGUUAAAGGAGCUCAGGUGCAUAAUAAUGUAGCCAUUUUCGAUUAUAAUGGAAGCUCAACUUCACAUGUCCUGGAAGAACAAACAAUGUAUAAUCUGAAACAUUUUGAUAGAAGAUGCAACCACCAGCAAUUCAGGUAAACCAUGAGGCGACAACAUGCCCGAUGAUCCAUAGGGUUAGUGUUGGACUAAUUAGCCUAAUAGAUACAUAGACGAUGCAAUGGUCAAUUUUUUACGAAACACUUUGUUUUCUUUAUGUAUAUGGAUGAAACAUACAUAAAUAUUUAGCACGUCAUGAGGACAUAAGUAAGCUACAAGUGAAAACACAUGCAUUACUUCCACGAGUAAACAGAGUAACACCUAGAUUGAUUCGCCGUUGCCAUCAGAAUUGUUUCUUGCUUGCAAUAAUAAUAAUGUGUGUCAAGAGAAGGAUAAAAAGAUCAGUAACCAAGCCUGCUUGGCCAUAAACAGAACCGUGAACACUAUCACUCAGGUCAAGAAGGAUCAGGGUACUUCAUCUAAACAAAGAAGUACAAACACAAAUCCUUAAUAAUUGAUAUGCGUUGUUCCUCUGCACUUGUAGUCUCCAGUGUUACCACACUGACAUACUAAGUACGAGAUUCAUCCAAACAGAUAGCAUGGUUAUGAUUUAUAAAUUUAUAACACGUGCAUGCAUGCCCAAAGGAAAAAGAACCGGUACGGAGCAUAGGAGUCCAAUCUUACAGUGGGAAAAAAAUCCAUAUGCUCUCCACACUUCUGAACCAAAUGGUGCGAGAGGAAGCAUUGUGAUAAAACCCAUGGUACCAAGUGUAGGCUAAUAUCUGACCAACGUACUCUCAUCUUGCUCUUUAGUCUUUACCAUCACCAUCACCUAGCAUAAGCCUUGUCGUAGCUAUGCAAUGAAAUUAAUUUCAGAUAAUAUUAGGUCAGGUGUCGAGGAUUUGGUCCUCUGUUGUGAUUCUAUGAAGUCUUCACCUACCAAUUUAGAGACCCCUGCCCUUCUUUAUAUACUCCAGGGGACGGGAUUACUAGUCGGUUAUAAGGAGAAGUCCUAGUAGGAUUACAGAGUAAUCCUAGUAGGACUCUAUCUUCUUCCUUCCUUGCGGGUAUUGGGAAUCUAUCCCCGACAAGCUCCCUAUCGCUUCAUAGUCAAAUGCAGCAGUCUUCGAGUACUUUUUAGAUCCCUCGCUGAGUAGUUUAGUGCUUCUCGAGUACUUUGUCUGGCUGAAUCUUUAAAAUUCCUCAAAGCUGCUAUGAGGCUAUGGUGUGCUCAAGCUCUUGAUUGUCUUGAUUUUGUAAUCUUCAUCUUUGAAAUGUGAUAUGGAGAGCGGCGGAAGUCGCACUCUAUAUGGAGUAGCCCCCGAGCCUUAGGUUGAAUCGAAGAAUUAGGCGUCUUGAAAAAAAACAACUGCUGGAUGUAGCUAAUUAGCCCCCAAGCCUUGGAAUGAUUAAUUAAUCAAUCCGAGGGUCUUUAGUCUUCACGCCAGUUGUCUUUCGAGUAGUCAUUUGGCGUCCAGCCCCGAGCUUAUGCACCAGGUGAGCCGUAGGAGCCACAUCAAGUAGUUAUUUGGCACUUAGCCCCCAAGCUUGGAAGCUAGCUGAGCCACUGGAGAUAUUCCAAGUAGUACUUGGCGCUUAACCCCCAAGCCUGGGAGCUAGCGGAGCCAUUGUUAGUACGCUAAGCGUCCUAGAGAAUCGUCGCCGAAGCUUGACCUGCAAAAAGAGAUGUAUACAUUAUGUAGCAUAUUGAAACUACUGAAAUUUAUAAAUUUCAGUGAUGAAUGUAAUGUAAAUGUUAUGUGUCAUGCUCUUAUUUCGGCCACAUUUUUUCUGAGUAGUUAGCCUAUUAUGUUUACGCUCCAAGUCCAUGUUUAGCCAUUGCCACUACGUGUGAGAUCUUUAUCUCAUGUACGCGUACUGGCACUGCCGCUACAGAGAUCUUUGUCUCACGUUCUAACGUUUAGCCAUGAUAGAAGAUCCGAGACUUUCACGAAUUGAGGUGUGUUCUGCUCGAGUAGAUUAACAACCGCUAAGAGAAGACAUUUAAAAUAAGUAGUCGGCAUUGCAACAAAAAAUACUGCGCGAUUGUCGGCCAUACAUCUAUGGGCCCACCGGGAGGUCUGGACAGCCCUACAAUACAUGGUUGUUCACCGAGACGUGUCAGGCAUGGAGACUAUGGUGCAGGACGGCGUGGUCUACGUGAAGGAUAAAAACUAGUCGAGGAUUAGGAAACUACUCGUAGCAAUUAGAGUAGGACUCUCUAGUCGAAUCCGACUAGUAUUCAUGUAAACAACCGACCUGUAACCCUGCCUCCGGCAAUAUAAAGCGAGGCAGGGAUCCCUCCAAACAAGUUCAAUCAAUACAACACAACCAACAUACAGGACGUAGGGUAUUAUGCGACAUAAGCAGCCCGAAUCUAUCUAAAUUGUGUGUUUGAGUUCGCCAUCGAGUUCCUGAUCUCGGCGAGCCCCACGCAUAAAAUACUACCUCGGGUACCCCUAGGUAGGUUGCCAGGUCUAAACACCGACAACUAGUGCACCAGGUAGGGACUCUCGCCAAAGAUCCACCGGCGAACUCGAUGGCUCAAGUCAUCAUCAAGCCCACCGUCACGUUCGAAGCGGGCGCGACGUUCGUCUUUGGGUCCUGAGUCCGCGUCACAGAAGGCGCUGGAAACUUCCACCACCAUAUCGCGCUGGCCCCGGAGGAGAAGCAAUACGACAUCAACCUUCAUCGCUAAGCUUUGGAGGAUUUUGUUGAAAAAUUCAAAUUUUCGACCUCUUCCGAGGAUCGAGGGACGAGUCCGAGUACAACUCGACUCUCCCACCAAUCGGACUAGUUCCCAUGAGUUAAGUCAUCGUGUGAAUCAGUCUACAAUACAAGUCAGUUCCCGUUCAGACUCCGAAAAUCGGGGGCCGUCUAUCAAGACACCCUGUCCAGAUCACAAUUCAACUCGGAUUUGAUCGAGGACCCCGAGUAGUAGACUACUACUCGGAUCCGGAUGAUGGGACUCCUUUAUCGGGUCCACAACAAGGUCAGGUAAUCACAUCUACUCCGCAAGGCAGAUACGUCUAUUGGCUCAACAUGAAGCUACCUACUCUCGCCAAGCAUGACGAGUCACGCCUUGUUGCCUAUCUUGACAACCUCACAUACCAGAAGGGGACCCCUCUAUCGCCUAUCUACGAAGAAGAUAGUUCCACAGAGGUCAUCACGUCAAGUUUGGGUAAUUUCUCCUCAGAGCGAGAACUACUCGCCAUCGUCGCUGCUCAAGAUGGCAACAAAGAACAGCCCCCAGAAAGGAAUCCGUGACACAAACGUCACCCAGAUGAUGUCUCACAGGAUGAACUCAUCGCCAACAUGCAAGGAGAAGAGGCUGAAAGUCAAAGGAAUUGUCGGCGGGCAAGAAACGCUACAUAGGCAGAGUGUCGACGUCGCCUUGCAAACGAACUAUCCAUCAUGAACCUGAAUCACGCGGUUGAAGCAGUUCAAUCGCGUCAGCACCAUGCCCCUCUCGCCACCAUUGCAUGUUUCGACCUGAGUACUCGGGCAAUGCCAUAAACCAAGUACACCAGGCAACUGGCUCUAUUGGUAGAGCAUGCGUACGAGCAACUCGAUCGGCAGAGCCUAAUCUACUCGGUUCGACGCACUUCUUUUCAUCACGGCAGUAGCGCCAGACCUAGUCGCAACGAGAAUGCCAAACCUAGUCAAAACGAGGUUCCCAGAAUUGAGAACCCCAGACCAAGUCAGCACAGGGCAGAAGGUAGUUGGGUGGGACCCUCGAGAGGCUGUGGCCACCGUGGGCCCUAUCGAGAGCUUCAACAACCAACGCACGACCUCCAUUAGAAGCUCAACAAGAAUCGCAACGCUCGUGACAUCAUCGAAGGGCGCCGCUGCAAACAGAGCAGGAAGUCGACUACUCUGAAGAAGACUCUGACGGGUUUCCCGCCUUCUCCAAAUGAGUACGAAAGAUGGUUCUACCCGACAAGUUUAAACCUCUAGGUAUUACCAAGUACGACGGCAAGCAAGACCCAGUCCAAUGGCUGAGGUACUACUCGUUGUUAGUUCAGGCGGCAGGAGGAAACGAUGACACCAAAAUCAUCUACUUCCCUAUCUACAUGGAGGUAGGGCCACUCGCAUGGCUCGAAUCUCUAGAAGGCAACUCCAUUGACACGUGGAGUCAACUCAAGGCGGCAUUCACAAACAACUUCGCAGGGGCAAUGCAAUGUCCUAGCAACAGGAUCGACUUAUCUCAAAUCAAACAGCAACAAGGCGAGACCCUGCGUAGUUAUCUAUGAUGUUUCUUUGACAAGAAGGCCACCAUUAUGGACAUCACGGAGUGGGACACUAUAGGUUGCUUUCAGAACAGUCUCAAUGACCGCCGGAUGUUCCAAGAUUUUGGCAGCAGAUGCCCAGAAGAUAUCAAGUCUUUCAAGAUUAUGAUACAAGCCUGGGCGGACGAAGAAGAUAAAGAUAUCGAGCAGUUUGAGUCUAGUCAUAACAGAGGCCUAAACAACAACAACCAAAGCAAUGGCCAACGUAACAACAAGAACCGCAAUGAUCGCCCCAAUGACAAUCGAGGCAACUACUCGGGUGGUCAAAAUUGCAAGAGAAAGCUAGACAAUACUAUCGCAGUGAUGUCUCAGUUCUCCAAGAAAAGUGGCAAAAAUCAAGGACUCCGUUCAAGGAGCUCCUAAAAAAGCAGUGCCCAUAGCACUCACACUCCAAGUACUCUACGAUGGACUGCUAUAGUCUUCGCAGAGUCAUGAAAAAUCUAUCAGAACUCUCUGGAGCAAAGGAUAAGGGCAAAGCCAAAGAAGACGAAGACGACGACGACAAGUUCCAGAACCCAUCCAAUACCGUCAACGUCAUCUUCGGCGGCACACCAGGUACUCAUCGGGUACUGCUACCAAGCGGUCCCAGAAACUAGCCCUCUAAGAGAUCAUGUCCAUUAAACCAGCAACACCUACAUUCCUCAAGUGGUUCGAGAUGCCAAUCACCUUCUCAAGGAAGGAUCAGUGGACUAGUUUAUCAGAUCCAGGAUGUUAUCUUCUCGUCCUGGACCCAGUAGUCACGGGUUCUCGACUCACCAAAGUACUCAUUGAUGGUGGUAGUAGUCUCAACGUACUCUUCGACAAAACUUUAAGGAAAAUGAGCCUCGACAUUACGGAUAUGCUUACCCUGAUGAACUCUCCAUUCUACGAGAUCGUCCUAGGCAAUGCAGCUAUACCCCUAGGUCAGAUAGUCUUGCCAGUUACCUUCGGGACCAAGGAACACUACCGGACAAAAUACAUCCAAUUCGAGGUAGCCGACUUCGAAACUUCGUAUCACGCUAUCCUCGAAAGACCUGCACUGGUCAAGUUUAUGGCCAUCCCACAUUACGUGUACCUAGUACCUAAAAUGUCGGGACCAAAGGGAGUAUUUUUCCUGCGUGAAGACUUGAAAAGAUCCUAUAACUGCAACACAGAAGCCAUGGAGUUGGCAGCGACUACUCAAGUUCCAAAUUCCAUGAUGCAAGUCUUCGCUGCCUCCAAAAAACUGUCCCAGACAGAACUCGAACCAAAGAAAAAGUCGGGGGCAACCAAGGUCCAGCCGGCAAGUGAAGUCGAUAUCAAAGACAUUGACCUUGAAACUAGCGAUAGCUCCAAAACUGCUCUGAUUGGCUCAGGGCUGCAUCCCAAAUAGGAAGAUGCGCUCGUCAGCUUCCUCCGGGCCAACUGAGACAUAUUUGCAUGGAAGUCAUCAACUAUGGUGGGGGUGCCCAGGGAGUUGAUCGAGCAUGCACAAACGACAACGACUACGUUGAUUCGCCCAAGAUAGAAGAGAUGCAAUAAAAAAAGAGUUGGCCAAACUACUCGCGGCUGGUUUUAUAAAAGAAGUCUAUUAUCCAGACCGGCUGGCCUAUCCCGUCUUGGUGCGCAAAAAGAACAACAACGAGCGGUGGAUGUAUGUCGACUACACGGACCUCAACAAGCACUAUCCAAAGGAUCCCUUCAAGCUCCCUAGGAUUGAUCAAGUCAUCGACUCGAUGGCUAGAUGCGUUCUACUCUAUUUCCUUGAUUGCUACUCGGGAUAUCACCAGAUAGCUCUCAAGGAAGAAUACUAGAUUAAGACCAUAUUCAUCACCCCUUACGGAGCUUUCUGCUAUACCACAUGUCCUUCGGGUUGAAGAACGUAGGUGCCACAUAUCAAAGAGCUAUCCAGAAGUGUUUCAAGAAAUAAUUAUACCGCAACGUAGAGGCGUACGUGGAUGAUGUGGUCGUAAAGACCAGAAAUCCCGACGAUUUGAUUGCGGAUCUAGAUGAAAUCUUUGCAAGCUUGCGAAGCUUUCGGUGCAAGCGGAACUCAGCAAAAUGCGUGUUCGGUGUACCCUCCGGAAAACUACUCGGGUUCAUUAUUAGCCAUCAAGGAAUCAAGGCUAACCUUGAGAAGAUCACCGCCAUCACAAAUUUACAUGCCCCAUCGUGCAUCAACAACAUCCAGAAGCUGACUGGAUGCAUGGCGGCACUCAACAGAUUUAUCUGAAGACUUGAAGAACGGGACUACCCUUCUUCAAACUACUCAAGCGACAAGAUAAAUUCCAGUGGACCGAGGAGGCAGAACAAGCCCUUCAACAAUUGAAGGACUUCUUAUCAAAGCCACCGGUCCUCACGGCACCUACUCCUAACGAAGACUUGUUGCUCUACAUCGCCACAACUACUAAUUUUGUCAGCACUACGAUCGUGGUCGAAAGACCAGAACCAAGCCAUGUAUACAAAGUACAGAGGCCCAUCUAUUUCAUUAGUGAGGUGUUGUCAGAUUCCAAAACUAGGUACCCACCAGUUCAAAAAUUGCUAUACGCAAUACUACUCACCUCGCGGAAGCUACAACACUACUUCCAGGAACACAACAUCUCCGUCAUCACAGAAUUCCCCGUGGGAGACAUCCUCCACAAUAGAGAUGCAACAGGAAGAAUCUCCAAGUGGGCAGUAGAACUCGUUGCCUUGUCCCUGAAAUUCAAGUCAAAGAUUGCCAUCAAGUCGCAAGCACUAGUCGAUUUCAUAGCAGAGUGGCGGGAAAAUCAAGAACCCACAUCGGCAGAACGCCCAAAGAAUUGGGUCAUGUACUUUGAUGGAUCGCUCAAGCUCGAGGGCCCAACGCAGGAGUACUCCUAAUCUCAAAGGCGAACAACUCAAAUAUGUGUUGCAAAUCUUCUCAGAGGUCUCCAACAAUGAAGUUGAAUACGAAACGCUUCUGCACGGGCUUCGCCUGGCAGUCUCACUGGGAAUCAAGCGAUUUUUGGUCUACGGUGACUCACUAGUACUAUCAAUCAAGUCAAUGACGAGUGGGAUCGCCACAAGGACAACAUGGAUGCGUACUGCAUUGAAGUACGCAAGUUGGAAAACAAGUUCUCUGAUCUGGAGUUCCAUCACGUGGCUCAUAACAACCACGUGGCCGUAGACGUCUUGUCCAAGCUUAGAUCUACUCGUGCUCAAGUCCCAGAUGGGGUCUUCAUCCAUGAGCCACACAAGCCAUCCUAGUGGACCCAACACCAUCUAAAACCACCGAUCGAGGCAACAAUGUGCCAGACCGAGAGCUUAUAAUGGUCGAUGUAGACUAGAGAAUCCCCUUCAUCGACUAUAUUAAGGAGCACAAGUUGCCUCCCGACAAGAUAGAAGCAGAGCAAGUCUCACGAUGAGGCAAGAACUACGUUCUAGUCGGAGACAAGCUCUACAGAUAAGGUGCAUCAUCAGGAGUACUCAUGAAGUGCGUCUCACGGUAAGAUGUCAAGGACAUAUUGGAGGAGAUCCACAAGGGCAUCUGCGGCAACCACGCAUCAUCAAGAACGAUCGCGGGCAAAGCUUUCAAAGUAGGAUUUGAUUGGCCUACAGCUCUCACUGACGUCGAAGAACUAGUCCGCCACUGCCAAGGUUGUCAAUUCUUCACCAAGCGGUAACACAUGCCUACCUACAAGUUGAUCACCAUAAAACCCUCUUGGCCCUUUGCAUGCUGGGGGCUAGACAUGAUAGGCAUGUUGCCUACGGUGCCUGGAGGGUACAACCGAGUACUCGUGGCGAUCGACAAGUUCACCAAGUGGAUCGAGGUGAAGCGGCUAACCUGCCCCAAGGCAGACAAGGUACUCGACUUCCUCGAUGAGAUUCCCAAUCGCUACGGCUUCCCCGAUCGCAUCAUUACAGACCUGGACUCAAAUUUCAACAACCACGAGUUCUGAAAGUACUAUAAGAACAGCAGGAUUGACGUCUGGUACGUCUCUGCCGCUCAUCCGCGGGCCAACGGCCAGGUUGAGCGCACCAAUGGGAUGUUACUGGAAGCUCUAAAGAAAAGACUACACAAAAUUGGCAACACCAAAGGGGGCAAGUGGCUCAAGGAGCUACCCAUUGUCCUUUGAGGGCUUCGCACACAGCCGUGCAAGCCUAUAGGGUACUCACCCUACUUCCUGGUCUACGGAUUAGAAGCGGUCCUCCCCGCCGACAUCAUUUGGAAAUCUCCAGUAGUCGAGCAAUAUGAGGAGGGUGUGGUAGAAGAAAUAAGGCAUCUUGACUUACACAGCCUUGAAAAAGCUCGUUGUGCAGCACUCAUCCGGAUAGCAAGAUACCUUGAAGGGAUUCACCACUGUCAUAAUCGCAACAUCAAAGAAUGUUCGUUCAACACAGGCGACAUGGUCCUUAAGCGUAUUCAAGACACCAAGGGGCUGCACAAGCUAAAUUCACCAUGGGACGGCCGUUCAUCGUCUUGAAGGUCACUGGACCUAGGUCGUAUAGGCUCCAAACUCUCACUGGUGAAGAAGUCGACAACUCGUGGAACAUCGAACACUUAUGUCGAUUCUACCCAUAGUUUACAUAUUCAUGUAAAUCGGCCAUCGGCCUCAGUUGCAUAAUUACAACUCAAUAAAGUAGAGUUAUUUUUUGUCGUAAAAAACUAGUCUCUACCUAAUCGCGACAUGCAAAAGCAAAGUCCGCUGAGCUAUUCAGCUCCCCGGGUACUAUCACCCAACUUGCAGCUUGUAUUUACAAGUCUGCACAAAUAUUAUUCUAAAGUUAUUCAACUCGUUGGACAAAAAUUGUCCAUAUGCGGCUUGUAGUAGCAAGUCUGCACACAUAUCUAUCGGGUUAUUCAACUCGUUAGACAAAGCAGCAACUUGCAAAAAAAAGCAGGCUUGCACACAAAAUUCUUGAGCUAUUCAGCUUUUUUGGACAAGCUUGUCCGUCGAUGGUCUUCAUAAAAGAAACUGUCAGCAAACUUGGGAGUUACCUAUACUACCCGAGAUCUUAUCUAAACAAUUCUGUCUAGUCACAGCUUGUAAUAACAAGUCUGUAGUUCCAGACCUUCGGAGCACAACACCCAAACAACCCGGAGAGGUUGCAAAGGUAGGCUCCAGUUCACGAAAUCCUGAAGAGUCUACUCGCCCAAAGAGUUUGACUACCUAGAUACUAGAGUACUUGCACUCCGCAAAAGGAGAUGUAUCCUAAGUGUACUCAACAUCGUCUAUCUGAAGAGGCUUACAAGAGUAGCCUUGUGCGCAGGCACUCACGACUACCGCACGAGCAACUAUCAAGGUAGUUUGGGAGAUGCACUAAAAUCAAAAUUUAAAUAGGUCGACAAGAAACAAAAAUUGCGACAAGACUUCAAAAUAAUUUACAUUUCAUUUCAUGACUUAUUUAUAUUACAAUAACCUAAUGUUUUUUACAUUACAGCUAUUCAAGGUCUAUUUGAUCGGCUACUUACAUGGCAAUAGGAGCCAUCUCCUACAGGUACUGUUGGAACUGCUCAUCAGAGCAGUCUUCUGUGAUGCCUUCCACGACAGGAGCCAAGUCGGCUUGCGGGUAGAAAGACUUCACCAUCGUCAGCAGCUGCUUGGAGACGGACUCUACCAUCUUCUGAAUGUAGCCAGUGAUCUUCACGGGUACUUCCUUGAGUAUCUCCGUCAAAGAACGGGCCUCCACGCCUUCUACUGGGGGCUCUACCAUGUCGGCGACAGGCUGAGUGGCUUCUGUUAGCUCCUUCAGAGCAAGUUUGGUUGCCGCUAACUUAGUCUCCUGCGCUCGGAGUUUCAUCAUCAGAUCCACCAAUUGGAAUUCUCCAUCCACGUGCAACUUCUUCUCUUUCUCAAGCUUGUGUUCCAGAGUCUCGUAAUCGACGGACAACUUGUCGUGUUGAUCCGUGACUCGGUAGUACGAGUUCUGCCAAUCCAUGAUGCGACCCUGGAGAUCCUUAUUCUCUUUGGUGAGCUCUGCAAGAACAAAGGCAAGGAACAACUCAGCAUCGCCAGGGCCAAACUAGUACUCAAAGACAACGGAGGAUAAUAGGUUACCUUCCACCCGAUGGUUCAAGUUCUUAUUGCACUUUCGGAGCCGGUCCUUCUCCUCCGCAGCUCUCUGAAUGAGAUUCCGGUACUCACGGCUUGCCCGUCAUACUUCAUAUACUCCGCUUCUUGGCUAACUCCUGCUCGAGCGCUUCCGCUCGCAUGAUGGUGUCCCCGUAACCUUGGAUCAUCUACGACUUUCGGCGGCAGCGCUCACUCAGUUUCUACAGAAAUAGAGCAGGUACUUGUAUAAGUAACGAAUACAAAGUUCAAGUCAAGACAAAUGCAGUAGGCAAACUUACCGUUGUAUACUCACCUACACGAAUGCAUCUCCAUAAACGUGGCCUCCAUCUGAAUGGUAACCAGAGGGUCAACUAUCAGCUGGAUCUUCUCCAGGUCUACCCCAAGAGCAAUCUAGUCUUCCUCAAGCUCUUCGUGCUCCUCGGCAUUCGGCGCACCGAGAGGGACCAACACCCGACUAGUUGAUGGACCAACCACUGAAGGCAAGAGGGAGGCAGCGCCAUGACUAGUCGAUGGCCCCACCUCGGACGGUGGGACAACGGCUAGCACUUGGAGUGCCCCGGCAGCCUCAACGUCAGCCUCCGGCUUGGGGGCUACAAGUGUAGCCUCAACUUCACCAGUAGAUGCCACCUCCACCUCGGCUUCUGGAUCUAGCAUAAGCUCUACCAACUCCUCCACCACCGCGGAAGUACUCGCCACAAUAGGCUCGACCACUGGCAGCUCGGGGGUUGGCACUACAACAAUGUUAAGCGAUGCUAUGACAUCAUGCAUAAGGGCUACGACAAGGGAUACUGCACCUGGAGCAAUUUCGGGCGCGGGUUGCUCCUCCAGCGGUGGAAUUGUGGACUCUGGGAUGAUUUCCUGGGCUGAGCAGCUACUACCAUCCGCUCUAGACUUCGGACUUGGGCCCCCAAUAUCCACACUGGCGGAUUUCUUGAAACAAGACAAGUGUCAGAGACACACUACACAGCGAUAUCAAGUUAAAAUCAGUACUUGUUACUUACUUGGUGGACAACUUAAUCUUAAUGGAGGGCCCGGCUCCCAGACGAAGGGACUUAAUGGUGGGCGAUGACUUUUUCGGCGUGGCACGUCAGGGCAUAGCUGGAUCUUGGCCAGCCUUAGUUGUCGUCUUCACCCAUUGAGUGGUCUGCGCCGGGAUGGGGUUGGCCCUGCUCUCAACAGCUUCUUCUAUUCCCGGCAGCUUCUGCUGCACAACUAUCAUAGUCGUUUUUGCCGCCUCUGUCUCCUCCUCGACUACCUACAAUUCGCUAUUGUCAGAAUUAAAGUUAGGCAUGGUGAUAAAGCAAACAUCUUACGGGUACUCGAUCCUCAAGAUCUUGUCCUCCUUCAAAUAUGAUUACCGAAGGGGGACUUCAUCAGUGAACGAGUUCUUCACUGCCUGCUUGACGACGCCAGUACGCGCCUUCUUUGGGGGUGGUGCCAAUCCAGAUUCCAGGAUGUCUUCAGCUUCACGCUUGGCCGUCCCGGAAGAAGACCCUGCCUUGUCUAAAAGACGAGGCUUCACGACAAACUUGUCAACAGCUUCUAACUCAGAGCUGCUGAAGGAGGACCAAUCCUCUGAUUCCUCCUCCUCCUCUUCCUCUAUCGCCUCCUGUACGGCCGCGAGGGUCUGUACAUGCGGAGCAGCGUCAGAGCCAUCCAGUCCAGGAAGAGGAGGGUUGGAGCAGUACAGGUGAACUUCUUGCUACCAACAGAAGACAAGUCAGCAAUUACCAAGUGCAAAAUUAGUACUCGGGGGCUGUCGUCCACGGGCACUUACUUGGUUCGGCGGAUUGGAGAUGCAGUGUUCUCGUAAGACCGUCAGAAUCACCCUGACGUGCUUGAAAAAGUGCGUCAACUGCGCCAUCACUUGUCCACGGACAAGGCUUCCGACGACAUCUGGGACGGGUCAUUGGGACCCGAGUAGUCGUACACCCACGUGCAAUGCAGCUGCAGGGGUUAGACUCGCCUCCGCAUGAAGCUGAAAUCCACACUGGCGCCAGUCAAUCCAUCCAUCUUGAGCGUGGUGAUCUUCGCUAUCAGCUCCGGCAGUUGGAAGCUAUCCGCAGUACUCAGCUCAUCCAACCAAUGGUUGUUCCAUACUGGACGAUGGGCGGUCACCUUGGGAAGACGGGGCUCAUGGUUUCCAAUAUAAAACCACCAUUGCUCCCAGCCAGAAUGGGAGUCUAUGAGUUCAUAAUCCAAGUAUUGUCCCUUAAUCUGCUUCCACAGUUAGAUUCCUACCCCCCCUGACUACUUCAGUAUGAUCCAUUCGUGGCUGGGGCUUAACUCUGAAGAACUUCCUAAAUAACUGGAAGUGUGGUUGAAUGCUAAGGAAUGCUUCGCAGAGAUGCAAGAAGAUGGCAACGUGCAGGAUGGAAUUGGGGUUGAGGUGGAUUAGCUCCAGAUUGUAAUACCUCAACAAACCCCAAAAGAAGUCGGAUGAAGGCAGCGCUAAACCUCGCUCAAUGAAAUGCGCGAAGAUGAUUGUCUCGUUACUGAAGCUCUCCAUGGACCAUGGGUUGCCGUGGACCUCCCUCCAGUAGAUGAAAUCUUGCUAUUGGAGAAGAUCAGCAUCCACCAACACCUAGAUGUCCACCUCCUUCAUCAAGGACUUCUUCCAAGCGCAGGCCUGAUUCGGUGGUGCCCUCUGAUCGGUCUUGUCGUACUUCGGGGUCGGCAGCUGGAUCUCCUUCUCCUUCUUGGUUGCCUUUCGCUUCUUGCUCUCCGCCACCUUACUGGAGGAUGCUUUCUUUGGUGCCAUUGUCACAAGAAUCUUCUUGCGCAUAAGCACGGGGGCUAGGCGGUGGGGAAGGAUGGCACUCGAGCUCAAGAAUGGCAAGCGGCAAUGUUAAGGCUACAGUGUGGAAGACGAACAGGCAAAAUGGCUCGAGUGAAAAUGGAAGGAAUGCGUUCCUCCGUUAUUUAUAACCGCAGUACAGUUAACUAAGAGGCGAAAAUUACAGGAAAUAUUCCAUUUUUAAAAGCCAUCAGUUAUCGCUGGAACGGUUUCCAAUUUUUUUUGGAAGAGAUAAGGUUACUGUUGGCAAACGGUCACGUUGACCAAUGGUUGACCCUUAUGCCCAAACUAGUCGUGUAACAGCUCGGGGGCUGUGUGCCACGUGCCCAUCGGCUAGAAAAUUUUUUCUUUGGAUUUCAAGGCAAAAGAGAUGUGAAAUUACAAGAUUGACCCUCAGCCUGAUUCUUCGAUUCAACCUAAGGCUCGGAGGAUACUCCAUAUGAAGUGCGAUUUUCAUUACACUUCCAUAUAAAAUUGAAGGUUGAAGAUUCAAGACCAAAUUAAAUGAGGUUUGAGCACAUUCUAGCCGCAUUGCAGUACUCGAGAGUGUUUGAAGACUCAGGUCCGAUGGAGUACUUGAAGAGCACCACAAACUAGUCAGAGAAGCCUACAAAACUACUCGGGGCUGCUACAUUUGACUAAAAAGUACUCUGGGACUUGUCGGCAUACAUCUAUGGGCCCAUCGAGAGGUCUGGACAGUCCUACAAUAUAGGGCUGUUCACUGAGACGUGUCAGACAUGAAGACUACGAUGCAGGAUGGCGUGAUCUACGUGGAGGACAAGAAUUAGUCAAGGAUUAGGAAAAUACUCAUGGCAAUUAGAGUAGCACUCUCUAGUCGAAUCCGACUAGUAUUCUUAUAAAUAACCAACCUAUAACCCUGCCCCCGGCAAUAUAAGGCGAGGCAAGGACUCCUCCAAACAAGUUCAAUCGAUACAACACAACCAACAUACAGGACGUAGGGUAUUACGUGACAUAAGCGACCUGAACCUGUCUAAAUCGUGUGUUCGAGUUCACCAUCGAGUUCCUAAUCUCGGCGAGCCCCACACAUAAAACACUACCUCGGGUACCCCCUCAGUAGGUUGCCGGGUCUAAACACCGACAACGAUUGCGCUUAAAGUAGUCGUUGAGAAUUUUCUGCCUUUUGGCGAGAAGAGCGUGUGUAGCCGCGCAUAGGAUUUGUGCCUCCUUAGGGUGUAGCCGCCGCGAGCCUCCAGCACUUAGUGUACCAAACUUCAUGGCAGAGCCUCCUAAUUCGGUUUACCAAGCUUGUGGCAGAGCUUCUCGAACUCAGUGCACCAAAACCGUGACAAUAGCCUCCGUAAUUUGGUGUACCACAUUCAUGGCUGUCGGUCAACAUGCCCCAAGAAUAGUUGACGAAGUGUAGCUCUAGAGGGUAAUUACCAUCAAGAGGCGUACACAAAUAAGUACUCAGCGUGUUGCCCUGCAUGUGGAAAACAAGCCAAAAAAAUUAUAUAAAUAAAUAAAAAAGUGACUUAGAUUGAUUCGUGGACGAUUGUCGACGAAGCCGUAUCGAUUGUUGAUGAAGCCAACUAGUCGGAGUCGAUUCCGACUUGUUGUUGAUCACGUGGAACCCGUCCUUGAGUAGUUUUCUAGUCGAGACGAGUAGUCAAAGUAGAUCAUUUUCGACUAGUUUUCUAGUCGAGACGAAUAGUCGAAGUAGUCGUCGGCGACUUGAUGCGGUUGGAUGUCAGGGUAGCAGUGCUCGCGUACAUCUUCUAUGUACGUUAGGCUAUGAUUUUGAGGUCUUGUGGUAACCUUCCAUGUGCGUGUAGCACAAAUCUCUCAAAAUUGCUUUUCACGGAGAGUAGUCGGAGCUGAUUAUUUGCCUCAAUCCGCGCGUGACUGUAACAGAUCUUUGUCAUCUUGGGAAUUAUGGUAUGGGUCCCUCGGUCUGCCUGAUCUCUCAACUCAAAUCGGAUUUGCCUCGAUCUUGAUCGAUGAGCCGUAUGUAGCAGCCUACGGCGAAAUCGACUCAAUCUUCUACUUGCAUCGAUUUUAUCUUGACGUAGAUUUGUCUGCUCGGAACUCCGACUCGACUCCUUGCUUCUUGUCUAGUAGAUUGAUCUUGAUGAUGAGGUCCCUCAAGCUCGCCCGAUGAUCUCGACGAUCACCCCUACCUGGCGCGUCAGAUGUCGGUGUUUUUAUACCCGGCAACCUACCGAGGGGUAUUCCGAGGUAGUAGAUUGAUUGGUGGGGGAUCGUCGAACUUGGAACUCGAAGGUAAAAGCAAGGACACAAGACACGGAUUUAUACAGGUUCGGGCCGCCAGAGUAGCGUAAUACCCUACAUCCUGUUUGGGGUGUUGUAUAUUGCGCCCUGCGGUUGGAUGUUGUUUGAUGUUGAGGAUUUAGUCCUCUAUUGUAGUUCUAUGAGGUCUUCACCUACCGAUCUAGGGACCCCUGCCCUCCUUCAUAUGCUCCAGAGGGCGGGAUUAUAAGUCGGUUACAAGAAGGAGUCCUAGUAGGAUUACAAGGUAUGAGUCCUAGUAGGAUUACAGAGGAAUUGUAGUAGGAGUCCGUCUUCUUUCUUCCUUGUGAGUAAUGGGGAUCUAUCCCAACACAAAGAAGCUGUAGAAACACAUCAAAUGAAAAAUCUGGUACAAAUUAACUUUAGCUAGGCAACUUCAACAAUAUUACUUGCUGCUUGCUCAUGCCAUCUAUUCCUACAUCAUCGAAAACUCUUAAGUAUUGAAUAUGCAUAAUAUAUGGUUUGGAGUGAGUUACAGAAUAGUUACUUUAAGAAAUUAACCAACAGUGUUAAGUAAGACAAUUUGCAUGAGCUUUGAUUAACAGCGGGAAGUUUAAAGCCAAAAGAUUAUCGAAUUUUAAAAAAUAUAUAUAUAAUUAGUCAUUGAUGUAAAAAAACAAACCAUUUAUGCAAGGUUUAUCCGCUUCUAUUUUUAUGAAAGAUGUACUUCAAAUAUUUGGGGAUUAAGGAGUCAAGGCCUCAAUUGAGAGGCAAUAAGAUGUUUCAAAAGACUUAAAAACUGGAUUGAAUUUGAACAAAAGAGGGUUCAUCGCAAACCCCAGAAGUUGAGCACAAGAUAAUUGUAUUUGACGUAACACAACACAAAAAUUCCAAAUAGGAGAUGGAGGGAGAGGGAGGGAGUGCUGAGUUCGUGCUUACUGGAUAGUUUACUGCAAAAUUAUCACCUUAACGUCGAAAUGACCUCUAACAAAGUCUUCGUGAUGCUAAGACAAUGACCUCUAACAAAGUCUUCGUGACGCUAAGACAUUAGCUCAGCCAUAUGGUCGUUUUCCUCUCUUGGCCAACGAUGAGUCAUGGCAUUGCCUGAAUCCUCCUAUACCUCCUUGUCACGUCAUCAACGGUAAGCGAUGGUGGAUCCAGCGUGGAGGCUGUAGCCCCCCUCCCCAACAAGAUAUUUCAAAAUAUGAUAUUUCUAAAUAUGGGUCUCAAUUCGUAGACCCUUUCAAUACUUAUCAUUCAAUUGGUAAGUUUUUCAAUAUUUGACAUCGGACACGCGAAUUGUUUCAUGUUUGGUGUUUCUCUCCCAUUUUCUCAUUUUGUUUCUUUUCUUUCUUUCUUUCAGACCUAGUGAAAUGACAAUUCUACCCCCAGCCUUAUCCUCUUCUUCCUCCUGCGGCCUCUGUUUUCUUCCUCCCGUCCUUGCGACCGUAAACGUCGUCGGUGAGCAUGGCCUUGAGCUCCGGCGGCAUGUGCAGCCCCCAUUGGAACCACAUGCUCUCGCUGCUCAGCAUCAUUGCAGGGCAAAGGCGCUCGUCCAGGCGCUCGCCAUCCUACUCGCUAGCACCGGCGCAUGCCCUUCCCCUGCUCGCUGCAGUGUUGCGUGUGGGCCGGAGUUGGCCACUUGCCCGUACGCCCGCGUGAGGAUGCGAUGCUUAAAGUGCAGCUGCUUGGGUGUUGCUUUGCUAAUCGAAUGAGGAUGGAUGGAGCAAGAAAAGUAUUAAUUGGGAUUGAGCUUGGAUUUUGGUGCUAGAUCGGUGAAGAAAGGAGCAGCAGGUAGCGGGGAGAGGCUUUGGAUUUUCGUAGGCCAACACACGCACCACUGGGCUGCUUUGCCGUUGAGAGCUCGCGGCGAGGCGCAGGCAAAGCAGUCCUUCACGCGCAGCCGCGGCGACGCAAUGGACCUUUGCCGGCGGCGCAGAACGAAGGAGCAGAAGCGUAUGAGAAUAAGCAGGCAAAAUCGACUUUUCAUCUGGGCUGGAAAUUGAAAAAAAAAAGAAUAGAAGGGAAAUAAAGAAAAGAGAAGAAAACACCUGAAAUGAAAAAGAAUUCGCGCCCACGAUGUCAAAUUUUGCAAGGCAUGCGAAUCAAAUAUUGGAAGGCUCGUGAAUUGAGACCCAAAUACUGAAAUCUUCUCCUCCCCAAAACACACAAAGUUCCCCUACAAGUUUUUUAAACGCUUUUACGGGAUAAAAUUUGAACGGAUCCCCUACACUAGUGCCCCUACAUUCAGCGUGCUGUCCAUCACCCAUCGAACGGCACCGAUUGCCACGCCCAGUCGCCCACGCAUCCUCCACGGCCUGUGCCUGUGCCCGGUGCUGCGGCGCACGCGGCACGCCGUUCUGGUUCCUCUCCAGCUCUCCCCUUCUCUUUUCCAGUUUUCCCCAUUCGCAGCUGCUGCUCUCGUUCUCCGCCAGCAAGCGAAUCACCGCCGCGGCGGGAGGCACCUCGCCUUCGAUCCGGUGCGCGCCCUUCUCGAAACCAUCCUCGCCCUCCUCUUCCGGCUCCCGAUUCGGUCCGGUCGGCCCCCAAGCCGUGUGCUAGGCGAAGCUUCUGGAAGCUUCAGGGUUUAUCCCGGCAUUUCAUUUCCGCGCCCGGAUCGCUUCGGACUGCCGGAGUUUCUAGCUGUGGUUCGGUUGGGGCGUCGCUCUCCGGCUCUUCUUCCAUAUAUAUUGUCGGUGACCUCCUCUGCUUCUGGUCCAGGGGCAGUUUCCUUGCUGCGAGUGCGAGGGGCAGAAGGGGGACGGCGGCUUUGGAGCCAACUUUCCGCGUUGCGGUGGCGGUGGCUGGUCGGCGCCAUGAGCUUCGUGUUCCGGGGGAGCAGGGCGGACAUCGAGGCCGGUGGUUUCCCGGGGUUCGCUCCCGACCGCCGCGCCAUGGUGAGUUUCUGUCUGCGCACCUCUUGGUGCAUUUUGCUAAAAUGCUAGUGCUGGAAGUGUAUCUUAACCGGAUUCCUUGUCCUGGAUCUCUGACUCCAUUCAUAUGUAUGCUUGUGCGCAGCGAAUUCAUGCAGGGGGCAGGCCAGUGCAUAGCAAUUCCUUGGCUUUUCUUGUCACAGGUAAUGUGGGCACGCCCUGUCUAUUGCUAAUUCUGCUGAGCCCUGAGCUGUUAAAAGGUUAGGUUUCUCUUAGCUAACAUUGUGGUGUUUAUUGGGCAGUACUUCUUUUGUUCAUGGUACUGAACUCGCACCAGAUGUCUCCCAAUUUUUUGGUAAGUUAAUCAUGUUGCAUGCAUGGUGUCUGCGAGCCUUUUAUAAUUGGGCUCUAAUGUGUUGAAAUGUGCAAGUAUGUAACAGUUUGAUUACCAUAUAUUUGUCGGAUUGCGCGAUAUUGUCUUUUUCUUGUAGCUUUGGCUUGUCUUGGGAGUCUUCCUAAUGGCCACGAGCCUUAGAAUGUACGCCACAUGCCAGCAGCUCCAAGCGCAGGCGCAAGCUCAUGCUGCCGCUGCCAAUGGUUUUCUUGGACACACUGAGCUGCGUGUGCAUGUACCACCAACAAUAGCCCUUGCGACAAGAGGCCGGUUGCAGAGCCUUAGACUUCAACUGGCACUUCUUGAUCGCGAAUUUGAUGAUUUAGGUGUGCUAAUAUGCUCCAUUCAAUUCGUUUGAUGGUUUGUAGUGUUUCCUGCAAACUUAGCUCCUUGGAAAAUCUUUAUGUUCAGACUAUGAUGCUCUGAGAGCUUUGGAUGCUGACAAUAGCCCGCAUGCUCCUUCUAUGAGUGAAGAAGAAAUAAAUUCUCUUCCUGUCUUCAAAUACAAAGUUCAGGCACAAAAGGGGAAUGCCUCUGCCCGAAAAAGGUAAGAUGAAUUAUCCUUAGGGUUGCAUUGUUUAGAUGGCCCUAUCAAAUUGGUUGCAAUGUCUCCCAUCAUCAACAUGUGGCCAAGCAUUUAAUUCUGAAACGGAGUAAAUUGUCUCUGUGAUGUGUUUCUAACCAUUUCUUUUGUCAAUAGUGAUGGGCCAUCUCAGCUAUCAACUUCCUCCACUGGGUCUGGCAAUGAGGUAAUUGAUAAACACUGACCUGUUUCUCAAGGUGUCAUUACUUGAAAGUGCAUUACUAACAUCAAUUAUGCAGGCUGUUAAAAUCAUGUUAUCUGUGAUGUGAUAUUUGUCAGUCAGAUAUAUAUUGCAAUAUAUUGUUAUCCUAUUCCUUUAUAAAGCUAACAUAUAUGUAUUUUACGUUUUGGUAUAACUUGGUAAUGCAUUUUUAGGUUUUUUAUUCAGUCUUUAUUUAUUGAAGUAAUUGGUUGCUGCCUGGCUAGCUUUGGGAUUGAUAUGCUGUGUUAAUAGUUUUCCAGUUUACACUUUCCUAUCCGAUGUAAUAGCUAUUGUUAAGAAUUUGUGUGGUAGCAGAUACACGGUUCAGACUUAAGACUUUGGGCCAUGAUUCAUCUCUUCUGUGCAGAAAAAGCAGGAUGGUUUCAAAGCAGCAGAUGGAACCAGCAAAACAUCAGAGGAUGAACUAACAUGCAGUGUUUGCUUGGAGCAAGUCGCUGUGGGUGAUCUGUUGAGAAGCCUACCAUGUUUGCAUCAGGUGACCAUGUUCAUUAUCCAACCAUUGGUUUUCCUUGGAUGGCACCUGCAGAUGACUUGAUUUUGUUUCCCGUUAUGAAAUGAUCCUGGUAACACCUGUUAGCUCUAGCAUGGUAUGGUAACUUGGCAUGUUGUUUGCCAACAUCCUAAAAUCAUGUUGUGAAACCAAAACAAUAUUUUGGUGUACCAACAGGGUUGACUGGUGCAUUUAAUGCAUUUUGUGGAUGGAUAUAGUGACAUAGUGAUAAUGAAAGGUUUUUUAACAGUUACUACUGUUGUUAUGCAUGUGUCAUUAAAUUCCAGGGCAAAACCCCUGGUCCAUAUGCAUUGCAACAGGACCCAAGCCAGCGUUAAGCACAUAAUCUGUGUCAGUUUUGUAUGUCCCCUGUUUUAAAUUUUUACAUCAUCCGCGCCACUAGCCAAAAAACACUAAAACAGCACAUCACUUCACUCGUUACUAAUUAGACUUGCUAAACGCUCCUCACUGCAUGUCAUCUUCUAGAAAAAGACUUGGCACAAGCGGCAGCUAGGAGCCCUUGUCCUGCAGGACCAGACUCACUGUGAUAUGCAUAUAUCACACCUUACCUUACUGUGUACAUCUCACACUUGGUUGGCCACUUGCUUUAUACUCCUUUCAGUCACUCAUAAGUGAAGCUUUGGAGAUGAGACGGUCUCCAAAACACAACUUUGGCUAGUGCUUCUUGUUACAAAAUAUUUAUAAAACAUAGAAAAAGUAUAGUUCUAUGAAACUAUGUUUCGGGACAAAUCUGCUCAUAUCAUUUUAAAUAUCCAAAUUUAACAUAUAAAAGUAUUUUUAACCGAAGUUUGAAUUUGUUUACUUAAAACAGCCCCAAAAUGUCACUUAUCUGUGACUGUAGGAGUAUGUACCAGUCUGAGUUGCUGUGCUGUUUAUUAUUCAGAACAGAAAGUAGUGAACCCGAACUAUGUCAUUGUAAUUACUCUACUCAGAUCUGGAAUGCUUUUCAAAGCGACCUUGAAUUUGAUUGGCUAGUUGACACAUCAAUGGCUUACUCUUUUGCUUUGUCACGCUUUUCCCCCAUAGAGCUCUGAUUUGUCAUACUUUUGGCCUACACUCAAAGCCAGAAUAUUAGGUAUCAGAUGUCUCAAAACAACGAUGUAUGUUAGGAAUCACAAAUGAAAUAGGACAAAUGGCCAAAAGGUGUGAAUCCCAAUCCCCUACUCCAUGUCGCCGCACCACUGGAUUCCUACAUGUGAUGUUUGGUAAGAACCUAAGAGGUUAUUGUACACGUCCUAUGUUAGCCUUGUCCCUGAGCACGCCUUAGAUUUUGAUCCUGGUAUGCCAGUGCAGGUACUUGUCAGCUUGUGUUGCAUGCACAUAGGCUUGUCUAUGGAGGGUUGAUGUUGCUGCGUGUGCAUAAAUGAAAACGCACUGUUUUGAAAUAUAUACACCCAACAUAUUGCUAAUGUUGAUGUGCCUAAGGCAUCACCACAAGAUUUCUUACUUAACCCCUUGUUUUUUACAGUUCCACGUAAACUGCAUCGACCCAUGGCUGCGCCAACAGGGUACAUGCCCAAUCUGCAAGCACCAGGUCAGUGAUGGGUGGCAUGGCACAGGAAAUGGCGAAGAGGAUGCUUCUUACAUGGUGUAAGUAGCUGCCUGUGAGCAGGACUUAGCUAAUGCUAGUAGCUACUAACAAAACCCGUGAAAGCUGUUUCGGGAGGUGGAGGUGAAAGCUGUUAGACCGAUCCCCUUCAGAUUGGUGGAGGGAUGACUGAUUUUCCUGCCAAUCUGGGGAUGUGGUCUAAUCCCUGCUUAUCCUAACAAACCGAGUGUGGAACCAGCUGUUCGAUGUGCUGAGUUCUUGUACAACUAAUGUUCACUUCUCUGUGAUGUUUAUGCAUCAAAAGGUUGAUGGCAUGUUUUCUUCCCCGGUCUUAUUGUGCUCUAUUUCUUACUUCUGCUGGAACUUCCUUUGUUCUUUCUGGGAGAAUGUUUGGCCGAGCAAAUGCUCAAGGUACAAAAAGUUCAUAGGGAUAUUCGUACCGGAAUUGCUAGAGUCUGAGCGGACAGCGGUGGGUGCAUGUGAUGCAAAUUCCUCGAGAAUCGGCAGCUGACACUGAUUAGUGGUUACAUGGUUCUUUUCUUUUCAUGAUUACACUCGGUGUACUUUGUUUUGAUAACUUCGAAAGUGUUUUUUCGAAGUUUCGGAGGUAUGCAAUGAGAAGUCGACGAUUCCUUGGUUGGGUCUUCGAUUCGCCAUGGGCCGGGCGGCCGGGUAUCCAUCCGCUGGGGUGUGGGCCGGGUAUCCAUCGCUGGCUCGCUGGGGGUCUUCUACGAAGAAACCGUAAGCCCCAUCGCUCCACAGUCCACACAAGUGCCUACCUCUCUCUACUCCGCAGAGGAUCCGGCCGCAUUAGAGCCCAUGGAAUGGGAUUGGGAUGGGCCUCUCCACUCUCACGCACAGACACACAGACACAGCACAACAUGACACAUGCACACCCCUCUCCCUCCCCAUUUCUUGCAACUGUUCGGCCGAGGUGGUGGCAGCUCUAGAUUAGGCACCACUUGCUCGGUUCCUCCUUUCUCUCUCUCUCGGAUCGCGGUGGGGGUUGCGGCAUGGGGGCGAAGGAGGAGAUGGAGUAUGCGGCGGAGGCGGCGUCGGACGCGGAGGAGUCAGCUUCCACCAACCAGCGCACCCUCAGCCUCAAAGGCUGGUCAGUACCGCACCCUCUCCACCCCGCUGCUGUUUAAGCUUACGUGGAAUUCGUUUUCUUGAUUUGCCUGCCACCAGUUAUUGUUGAUCGUUUAGGAACGUGGGGUGUUCUCCGUUCUCGUCUCCUGUUGUUGUUCAUGUAUGCAGUGAUUAGGCAAGAGCUUGAGGUAGAACGAAUGAGUAGUCUGGCGUGAUUCGGGUGAGAUCUCUUUACAGAAAUGGGGAAUCGGCAAGCUGUCCUUGCAAUGGAUUUAUGGUUACACACCUAGAGCUAAAGCUUUAAAAGUGAACCAAAGGGAUUGGCAUCUUUGUGCAUAUAUUCUGGUUUCGCAUGGUCUCGCGUUUCGGAAGAACUACGAGCUAGGAUUUUGGGGAGAACAAACAUAACAUUAUACACUUCACGUAAUUAAUCUUGUGGUCUAUCAAGCGAUGAAACGAACUGGACAGUAGUCUUAAAAGAGUACUGCAACUUCGUUGAGCAGGAUUUGUGUUGGUAUGUUUAUGGCUAGCAAAGAUAAGGAAAAAGAAAGGACAUCAGAAACAGUAAUUAGGCAGUUUUUUUCUUUUGGAUAAUGGAGGUGCAAACACCCCUUGUUUCCAUUAACAGAAAAAAUGUCCACCCCCAGUCUAUGAAGUUUAGGUAGACUUAGAUCAGGGCACAUCAAAAGCACAGCCUGUUCGCUUCAGCUUAUUAAGCCGGUUUAUCAUCCACCAAACAGUGUUUUCUUCUCACAACAAAUCAGCCGUUUCAGCUUUUCAGCCGGCUUAUAAGCUGAAGCGAACAGGCUGACUUUCCAUGGUAUUGAAAAAUGAAGCCAACCAUCAGUUUAUUGAAUCAUUAGAAAAGAGUGCCUGUUGGUUUGCUGUUCCUUUUAUGUUAUUUUUAUUGAAAGGGAUGGCACAUGGUACUCCAAAGUUUACAGUGUGGCCUGCAGUGCUGUACUUCACCUUGCUAUGCCAUGAUGACAAUGCUUCAUUUAAGCGUAGUCUGGGUUUGUGGUUCUCAACUUUGGAGGACAAACCUCAACAGUACAUUGAGGAUCCCAUAUGUGCACAGUAUUAUCUGAUAUUUGCCCUAGUACAGUUACAGCAUACCAAUUCAAUAAUUGCAACCUGCACCUGUGCAAAGUCAUAUAUGUGUUGGCACGACUAACUGAAAAUCAGUCUUCAUAUGUGUUGGUACGUUCGAGUGACCAGCUGUGAUAACGCGUAAUAAACAACUAAUGCCCCAGAAAGAAUGGAAAGAGAAGUUUAAGUUUUGCAAGUCCUAACUGAAUGCCACCAAAUUAGUGACACGUGUCCUUUUCAUAUGCUCCUCCAUGCCUGCUAAGGGUGGCAGGGUGCUUGAAAUGACCAAAUAAUGUGUAUGAGACUAUGUAUGAGGACACUAAAUUGUCCCACUAUGUGCGUUGGACUGGGUCACCUCAGCCCAGAGAGAAGAGAUGAUAAGAAUGCCAUGUGAAUUAUUAACAAAUGAUAUUGAAAUACUGAAUGAUGAUGUUAGCAGGAACAGAUAAUGACAAGAACAUUGCGUAAUCUAUUGAAAAAAAGCUUUAGAUAUAUGAGGUGCCACCUCGUUUUGAUACUUGGUGGUGAUAACUUUGUUUUCUAGGUGAUUGCUUACUGUUCUGUGUCUAUCUCAAAAUGAAGUUCUAGUUUGUAAGGUGCCUAACAAUUUUUGUUACAGUUCCAGCAGCGUGGAAAAAGUUUACACUAUCAACAGUCCACUUAAGAAAAGGAAAUCACAGUAUGAGCUGGUCGAUCCAAGGCUGUUAUCACUUAAAUACAAGUUUCGGAACCGAUUAUCUUGCCAGGAGGAUGAUUCUGCAACCACAGAAAGCUUGGGAAAUGAUGGCAUUUUCAUGAACAAAAACUCUUGCACGGACAUGGUCAGCAUACCUGAAGAAUUGGACUCUUGUGAGAACACUCUAAGCCUGUUUGGUGGGUGCAUUGAAGUGGACUCUAAAAAUGGAAUUCAGGGUCAGUCUAUGAGAAAAAAGUUUGAGAUACGAACAUUUGCAUCCAGUAGCUCAGAUAGCAGUUCACAUAGCAGUGGCACCAGAGAGACUGACAGCUGGGUUAUGCACGAUGCGGAGCAUGAUCAUUCAGGUCUGAUGCUGCAACCACAUGAUGACCUGGAAAGGAUAUAUAAUGUACUUGAACAGUAUGAUGACCUAAUGAAGGAUGAACUAGCAAGCGACGAUGUCUAUGGUUCUGCUGCUCAUAUUAUGGAUGAGAAGCUUUACUCGAAUGGCGUUGACGAUUUCCAGAUCUUAUCAACAGGCCAAGGUGGCUACCACGGUAAGUACUCCCACACAUGUUUCUUUUGAAUUUGUUUGCUUGAUUUGGAUACUAAAUGGUGGAGUUGGCCGUGUUGAUGGCAAUGAAUCAGGUGAGAAGAAGCUGACGGUUGAUCAAGAAUUUGAGCAGUAUUUUUCCAACCUCAUGCUUUAGGAUGGAAUGGAUAAUCUCAUGACAAAAAUGUGUUGCUCUGGACCUGUAAAAGUGGUUUGCUUCCUGAGCAAAGUGCAAGCCUUACUUACUGUUGCAGUUAUCAGUCUGUUUGUACGCCACCUCUUGUCACUGAAUGUACAUAUGUUUGAUAUGGGGCCCUUUUUCAGUUUGCCCAUCAAAUGUUGGCAUCAUAUAUGUGUAUGUAUGCAGAUAUAAGAACAUGUCUAACCUAAAGAGUAUCCUAAAUAGUGUGUUCCUUGUUUGGUUCUCUUGCCUAUCCUUACCUAGCCUUGCCUAGCAAGGUUAAGAGGAAAGAAAAAUGCAUAUUUGGUUGCUUUGCUUAGUUCGGAUUUGAACAAGAUGGAUUCCCUUGCUUUUGAGGAGAGCCAAAUUGGCCUCGCCCAACGAGGUUUGCCUUGCCUAGCCUUUAAGGUUGGCACUUGGCAAGACAAAUAGGCAAUCAAACAUGUAUUUUCCAGCCGCCAUCCCGGGGACGUGACGUUAUGUCCUUGUGGGCUUGUGAAGUGAUGUUUAGUUUAGCGAUUGUCUAGCUUCCGGACUACUUGUACUUGAACCAUUCGCGCCCAUUCAGGAAUCAGGAUGUGAGGGUUUAUCAGGAUUCCUCUGAAAUAUUUUUACCGUACAAUUCGUUAUUUCAAACGGGACCUCUAGCAGUAGCAAGUGCUUCUGUCAGUUGAAACUUGUGGAGGUUGACGAGAUCUUUUUUUUCAAAACAAAUAUACAUACACACCCACCCUACGAAUAUACACUUUUCUUACGAGCACCUUCGAUUAAAAAUUGAACCAAGCGAUCUUCACCUUGCCACAGGCAUUCGACGUUAAGUAUGUACAUAUCAAUCUUAUACGCUCGAAAAAUCACCUCUAACAACGAUCAAUUUGGUAUUCACUAGUUGGAAAAACAAAAGACGAUGAAUCGGAUUUCAUAAGUUUUUUUUCUUCACAAAACACGUUAUGGCAAGUAUAUUUGCGCUGUUUAAUAAGCAGUUUCGUGUACUGUCACUUGAGAUGAUUCAACCACAACCUUAUAAUGACGUUGUCUUUUUAAAUUGUGUGGCAUUAUGUGAUCCCUUGAUUCGUGUUUUAAAAAUAAAUAAUAUGAUUUGCAUAGAAACAACUCUUCGUACGUUAGCGACAAAAUUAUCUCAUUUAUGUAAACUUUAGUGUAGUUGCUUCGUGAAAUAACCAUAUCGUUGUCUCAGCUCAUUCUCUCCUUCACAUCGUAAAAAUACAAAUUUUACAAAUUUGUCCUAUAUAACAAUCUUGACCACUAGCGUGUUUAUUAAUGUAGUUUGCCUUAUAUAGACACAAGGCGAGGAUCAUAAGGAAAGAAGGUUGACUUUGCAGAGAAAUAUUUCUCAUAAUCCCUACCUAUUCCUUAAAUUUUUUAUGGUAUAUUUUUCAUAAACGUUUAAUGUUUGGAAUGGGGGAAAACUAUAAAUCCGAUUACAGUUUGUUUUGAACUUUGGAUCGAUUAUGGUAGUACAUUACAAAGCGAUGUUUAAUAUUUAAAUUCUGAAAGCACAGGUCCUUCAGGACUUCAGCCCCCGGUUAAAGUUCUGUUUAUAAUAUUGAAAAAGUACAACGUUUUUUUUCAAAUAAAGAAACAGUACAAAAUCUUAGCCCGAUUUUGGCGUCAGUUCCUCAGUUUAUUUUCCGAAAAAAAAAAGUUAGGGUUCAACUAAACCUCGUCCGAACGUUUCGCCGCCACAACACCAACGCCGCCGCAGCCGCCGCCUCUCGCUCUGCUCUCUCGCUUCCUCUCUACGCCAUCCACCUCCGCUCCGCUCCUUCUCCACCCUCUCCGUCAGAUCCAGCGCUACGAGCCCGGCUACCCCGGCCCCCUCGUGCUAUUUUGGUUGGAUUCAGGGGCUAGGUUUUGGAUUCGGAGACAUGGCGGAAGUGGAGGACAAGCUCAAGGACUACGAGAUCAGGAGGGAGGGCGAAGCUGAGAUCCUUUUUCUCAAGAGCAACGCCGUCUUCUUCAAUCCCGUGCAGGUCCCUCCGUCUUCCAUUUUUCAUGUUAACUUUUUUUGUUUUUUCACUUUUAUUUGGGGGCGCUGUUCUAUCCGAUUCUUAUCUGCGUUGGCUUGAGGCUUACAAGCUGUGGAUUGGAGAUACAGGCUUGAACCCUUGAAUUUAACCUGUACAAUUUACUGGGCUGACCUGCCGACUUCCAGUUGAUAGGUCUCUAGAGCUUUGCGGUAUUUUGGAGGAUUCAAAAUUGGGUGCUGUUCCGUGAUUGGUCUGCGAUUGGUUCUGUAGGCUUCAAAUUAAUCUCAUUCUACCACCUGGGUGCUUUUUGCCCAGCUAAAUCUAUUUAGUUAUUGCAAUUCAUUUGCAUAUACUACCUCUUCUAAACUGGAAGCAUUUAAGUUUGAAAUUUCUUGAAGAUAUGUCAAAAACCCAAACAGCUAUUUUAAUUUGUAUAUUUGACAUUCUGUCAUUCUGCCAACCGAGUUUGGGUGCCAGCCAGUGGGUGAUCAAAUAUUUGCCUCCGAGUUUACCUAAUUCUGCCAUCCGGGUGGUUUGUGCCUAGCUGAAGGAAUUUAUCUAUGAAACGUUUUUGCUUAUAGUACUGUGUCACAGUAUAUGGGAUGCAGCGUAAGCUUGAAAUUUCCUAGAUAUAUGGUGGAACCGCGAAGGGUACAUUGAAUUUCUAUAUGUGAUAUUCUUGUGUACUAUUGACAAAAAAAUGUAUUCGAAUGGGUUCAAAUCGGACUGCUUAUUUUGGUUUUCAUUAAAGAAGAUAAUGGUUACAAACUGUGAAGUAUACAUGACUAUGAAUAAUUUUUCUUUUCUAGUGAAAUAGUUACUGCUUUUGAUAGUCAAGAUUAGUUAUUGUUUCGAAGCUGGUAUGUUGAGGAGAAAUUACAUAUGAUUCAAAAGUUUAAGUUUACUGCUUUGAUCAGGUUCACAACCGAGACAUGUCCAUUGCUGUUUUAAGGACCUUUGUUGCCAAGCGCAAGGAAGAACAUGAAGCGCUGGCGAAUAAGAGGAAUAAAUCACAUCAAAAAAACAAACAGGGUGAAGCAUCCGUUCAGAAUGGAGAGGAUGCUUCAACAAGCCAGCUUGAUGAAAUGGAUGUUGUUUCUGAAAAGGAUCUAAAUCAAGCUGAAGGUGAAGUUGAUGAUGUGCCAAAAGAAGCAACAAAAACACCUUCCUGGAAAGUAACCAGAGAGCUUAAGCCACCACUUGUUCUUGAGGUGACACAUCUCAUAAUAUGGCAAUGCUGUAUCUAUAUAUCUCCAAGUUAACAUUAACUUAUAUCUAGUUUGCACUGCUAAAAAAACUGCAGGCUUUGGCUGCUUCUGGGUUGAGAUCUCUCCGGUAUGCCCGUGAAGUCGAUGGCUUAGGAAAGGUAGUUGCUUUGGACAAUGAUAAAGGUAAUUUCACAUUUUCCUAAACUUGCCUUUUGCAUUCCUAGAAUUUGAUGAUCCCCCGCUUGAUUUCAUUUUGGUUCUUGUUUCGUCAGCUUCUGUCGAAUCUUGCAAGCGAAACAUAAAAUUCAAUGGUGCUUCCGCUACUAAUAAGGUGGAAGCUCACUUGGCUGAUGCUCGAGUUUAUAUGCUCACGCAUCCAAAAGAAUUUGAUGUGGUAAGGCAUUUGAGUAUUACAUAUUUUUAUCAAGCACUCUCACGGGCUGAUGGUGAUUGGAGUGCGCUCUCAGUUAGCCAGCCGGUUCGAGACUUGCAUCCUCUCAACAUCUAACCCGGGGGGGGGGGGGGGUCCGCCCUUCCUGUCAAUAUUUUUAAAUCUGACAUUUUUUACCCAUAUUCUUUCUAAGAUGAGGCCUUAUGCAAUAAAGGAUGAAAGCAUGGCGAAUUCAACAUUGUCAUGUAUACACUACCUUUUGAUUGGAAUGAUACAUUUCUCUGGUUAUAUCUCUGGCUAAGACUAUUAACUAUAUCUGAGGCUCUAAAAUUUGAAGUUUGUGGUAUUAAAAGGGUAAACCUUGUUCUUAUAGGUCGAAGGACUCAAAAGUCACACGUAAACAUGGCAUUGAAAUUUGCAUUGACUGAUAACGAUCAUCUCUAUAUAUAUUAAAGAUAGAUUUUACCUAAUGUGGAAUUGCUCCUCUCUUGAUUUUUGUUUUCUCCACGUUCUUAGGUUGAUCUUGACCCUUAUGGGUCGCCAUCUAUAUUCCUCGACUCAGCUGUACAGGCUGUUGCAGAUGGUGGGCUAUUGAUGUGCACUGCCACUGAUAUGGCAGUUCUUUGUGGUACCAAUGGAGAAGUUUGUUACUCCAAGUACGUCAAAUUUGGUUCUUUGUGACUACUUGUUCAAAGGAAAGUUCAAAAUGAGGAGUUUGCAGCAUAGUGAUCAUUUAUGUUUUGUAUAGGUAUGGUUCGUACCCAACCAAGGGCAAAUAUUGCCAUGAAAUGGCUUUGAGAAUCCUCCUUGCCAGUAUUGAGGUACAUAAAAUGAUUUACAAAUUUCAAUAUAUAAACUAUGUAUCGCUUCCAUUGAAGGCUUUUACUAAACGAUUGGUCAAUUCAAUUCUGCAGUUUCCUUGCUUCAUCCUUCGGGUAUCUUAGUUCCUUUUGUCCUUAACACUUUCUUUUUACACCAGAGCCAUGCAAAUCGGUACAAGCGAUAUAUUGUGCCUGUUCUCUCUGUGUUCAUGGAUUUUUAUGUUCGUGUUUUUGUUCGAGUAUACACGUGAGUUUUUUUACUCUGCUAUUUCCUUUUUCCUUCUUUUGUUCAUUGUUUGGUUGAAGUGCUUAAUUUUACUAAUACGGCGUUGGAUAUGGGUUCCAUGUGCAGUUCUGCAAGUGAAAUAAAGAAUACACCUCUUAAACUUUCUUAUAUAUAUCAAUGUGUUGGCUGUGAUUCUUUCCAUCUUCAGUGUCUUGGGAGGACUGUUUCUAAGGUGUGUUUUGAAUACCAUUUAACUCCUUUGUACACGUUCCCUCAAUUAUAUCUUGACACUGCCCCUUUUCCUUGUUUUUUCUGUGUGAACUGAAGAAUAACAGUGUGAAGCAUGCACCUGCUAUUGGGCCUGCUGUCUCCCAAGAGUGUAGUGAUUGUGGAAAGAAAUUUAAUGUGGGCGGACCGAUAUGGUCUGCUCCUAUUCAUGAUCAAGACUGGGUAGUUUCUACUUUGACAGGUGUUAAGUCAAUGAAGGAUAGAUAUCCUGCAUACUAUAAAAUUACUUCAGUUUUAACUACUGUAUCAGAGGUAUUACUAUUACUGUUAUCUCUGUUACUUUUACCAAUAUUUUAUUAUCAUGCAUAUGUGAGGAUGCAACUCUGAAAGCAAGCAUGCCAGUUUUUUAUGUUAAUGUCUUGCUAAUAACACCAGGUUUCCAUACACUUGGAAGAUUUUUUUAGACAAGGCUGAUGUAUUGAUGACCUAUUAUCCAUGGUUUAUCACAAGUCAAAGAAAGAAUGUAUGGUUUUAAUAUUCAUAACUAUGAUCUAGAUGUGUAGGCUAUUCAAGCAAGAAUUUGGUUGUCUAGUUGAUUCGUUACCCCAACUAAUGAACCAUAUAUACAUUUUUCCCUUCCUCUUUCUGCAUGAUAAAAACUGAAUGCUUGCAACUGGCAUUGGUUGCCUUCAAGUUUUAGGACUUUGCUGAAAGUUAAGACUAUAUAGCUUAGCUUUUUGUCUUUCGGCAACCAGCUACAUCUCUUUAAUUGACAAAUUAUGUGCAAUUAAGGAAUUAUUGUGUAUACUCUUUGAACAGUCGACUUCAUUCUAGUUAUUCUUGUGAUGCAGGAGUUACAUGACAUUCCAUUGUUUUUCAGUCUCCAUAACAUAGCUGGCACUGUUAAGUGCACUUCUCCAUCUUUGGUUAUGUUUCGGUCUGCGGUUCUAAAUGCAGGCUAUCGAAUCUCAAGCACCCAUGUUAAUCCACUUGGGGUAAAGUCUGAUGCCCCUUGGGACGUAAUUUGGGACAUCAUGCGCUGCUGGGUAAAUUUUGAUCGUUCCCUUACAUCAGAAGUUUCUUUCAGUAACUAGCCUCAAGUAUGAAUUAGUGGAUGUUAUACAUAGAUCAACUUAUAAACUUUUUUGCAAAUUUCAACACAGGUGAAGAAUCAUCCUAUCAAGGAACAGCCCCGUGACUCUCCAGGCACGGCGAUCCUUUCAAAGCCACCAACACUAGAAGUAUGUUCCUCUAUUAAGCAUUGAGCUUAUAAUGUUCCUUGUAGGGUUUUUUUCUCUCCACAACAUGUGACAAUAGUAUUUUAAAAUUUCCUUUCUAUGUUUUUCAUAGGCGAACUUCUCUAGGGCAGUAGCUGCCCUCAGCAAGGCUCAGGCGAAGAAGGUGAAGCGGUUCCUUCCAAACCCAGAACGGCACUGGGGUCCAAAGGUCAGAGCAGGCCGGAAGAUCACGAGCAAACAUGUCUCUCUGUUGGGCCCUGAGGCUAUCAAUGCUGCUCUGAAUGGAGCUGUCAGACACGAAGAUGGAAAUGGAGCAGCGCCAGAUAAGGCAGCUCCAGAAUCCGAAGGGCUCAAAGAUGUGCCCUCGACCAAACGCCAAAAAAUCAGUGAUGACGAACAAGCAAAUGAACCUUGAUCGACCAAAUCAACAUUAACUUUUUGUUUGCUUUAUCUUUUUGCUUGCGAGCUGUGUGUUAUUUGUAUCUCCUGUUGCCUGGACAACGAUGAAUUUUGAUCGGACAAAGUUUUGAGCUAGGUUUUGCUAUGCUUUGCUUUAUGUACGACGCGCCAGGUAAGAAUGGUUAACUUGUGAAAAGGUAAAAGAGAAAGCAUACGUCUAACCCAUCUACAAAACAAAUGAAAAAAUUACAAGCUCGAUAUGUUACUUCGCUUUCGUUUGUAUUCGAACACUAUUUGUUGGAAAGUGAAUUAGCCAUCGUAUCACUGAGGUUUAAUUUCAUCGAUUAAAUUAUUGAGCAAAGAUUUUAAUCUUAAUAUGCGUGCACGUGCACGUCUUACCAACAGGAGGCGGUCGUCAAAAUCUACGCCUCCUGAAGUCAGGCCACUAGCAGCAUCUGCUCGCAGAGCACCGCGGCGAAGGGUGCGUGCGUGGUCAGUCGUCAGAAAAUAGUCAAAACCACCAACUCUCUGCGGCCGCUCGCCGCCGGAAUCAUGAGUUCGUGACCCCGCUGCCGUCCCGCACGGGGAGGUCGCUCGUAGUCGUAGCGGCGUCAUCAUUCACACGCGCACGCACAUGGAUCCAAACGGCAGCGCUACGUGCGUAUCCCAGGCUCGGCUCCAGCACCCGGCACCUGAAUCCCCCCGGGCACCCACCGGCAGAUUUUCCAGCCGGCGAGAGCCCCCAGAAAAGAUCCCGCGAGAAGCUAGCGCUAGCAGCAUUCGAGGUGUGAAACCUGUCGCCGUUCAUGUGAGCUGCUGCCUGCUGCCGUGCCGGCGCGGCCGCUCCCUCGUCCCUGUCUCUCCCGCACGGUUCGUCCCGGCGUCAGCGAGCGAGCCGAACAGCCCCGCGCGGGCGGCGGGUCCCGCCGCACGUGGCCCGGCUCCCCGACGACCUGGACUGCGCCGACGUGGCGGGCCGGACUGGGCCGCGCGGCGGGCGGCGACGUGACCCGCGACCCACGGGCACAGCAGCAGGCCAGCAGCCCGGGCGCCGGAGUGGGGCCCGGUCGCGGUCACGUCCGUCGCACCCGGGCUGAUCCAGGUCCGGUUGGUGGGGGAGCGAGUGGGGCCGCUCGGGCCCACAAUCCCCCACGUGCGAUGUUGAGGUUGUCUGCCCUUCUCUUCAGCUGCCGCUCUCUCUCGACGACGACGGCGUCCGGGCUACAGGCCUCCUGCAGGUGGGCCCCGGACCGUGGCGGGUCAACGGUCAGCGUCGCCGGCACAGAUCCUGUUUCCUGUCGCGCGCACGUUCGUUUCGGCCGGCGGCAGGUGCACCGGCGUGACCGCGAGAGGUGCGCCUCGCUCGUGAGGAGGGGCGCGGGGGCGGGCAGCCGGUGUCUCGACGCACGGGCUCCACCGCCGCCCCCAACGUGUCCGCACAUGUUGGACAGGGGCGGCGGGCCGUGCCGUGCCGUGCGCGCGGGCGCAGCGACCGGAUGCGGGCACCAAGUUGCCCGGACCGCAAGGCGCGCGUGCAAGUGUGCAGUGCAGCUAGAGCCGGGCACUUGCUUGGUUGCCCGGGCGGGCAUGACGGCACGAGGGUGCGUGCGGAUCGGAGUGCGCGCGCGGUGGAACGCAACCGGCCGUGCCGGCGAGUUUAAUGCGGCGCGAGUCGGUGACGAGACAAGACAGCCAGCGUGGGAAUUGAGUUCGGCCGAGAGGAGGAACCCCGCACGCAAGUGAAGAUGGUCGAGGAAGAGAAGGCUCGCCCUCGUGCGGGAUGCGUCGGCCGCCUCGAACAGGAGUUGCCUACGCUCCACGCGUGCGCGCACUCGGCGAGCUCGCCGAUCGGAUAGGCGGGUUCGGUGCGUGCGUUCAUGUGACCGGGCGCGGCGGCCCUGCGACUGCGAGCUCAACGGUGCCGCCGCUACCUGUUCACCUUGUAUGAUCCCCGCGCUUCUACGUUCCACGACCUCAGACGGCCGCACGGGCUGCGGCUGUUGGUGGCACGUUCCAUCCGGCGCACGGGGGGAUCAUGGGAGCAUGGGGCUCGAGGUUGCAUCCGCCCGGGAGUCGAUCGAGAUGGGCGAGCCAUGCUGCCUUGCCGGCCGGGUGGUUGCGGGCUUGCGGCGGUGGACCUGCGGUUCUCCGCCGUCUCGCUUUUUUGCGUCGCGUGGAUCGUGGACUUUCUCAUAAGAGCUCGAUCGGGGCCGGGGUGAUCCUUGAGCUGUCAGGUCCGGUCACCGCGCUGCUUGCCAUUUCUUGCAAUCUUCCAUUCUGGCACGCGUUCUUUCUUGUUCGGGACGGCGAGCUCGCAGGAGAGCACAACGGGGUCCGGAAGGAAGAACCUAACAAACUUUCGCUGGCUUUGCCCUCGUGCUAUUUCCUUCUUGUCUUGUCAGUCUUAUUGACGCAGAGUGCCAGAGUUUAAUGUUCCCGGGCGGAAUGCUUGCUAGAGUUAUUCCAGCACAUGCUGAAACGUAACCGAAGAGCCAAGAGAAGAACAGGAACAUUACAAAAGAAACCGGUAAGGAGAGGCUAGAGCAAGACUGCCGCACUAAUUAACGAGGUCAAAUGAACCUGGCGGCGUGAAGCCCGGGCGCCCGGGCUCUUGCUGAUAGAAAAGUCUCGGUCAUAAAGAUUCCGAUGCCAAGGGCGGACAGCAUUUCCCAGUACCGAAAGCAAACGAUGCCAUUCACGCUUACGGACCGCGCACCCGAGAAGAAAACAACCCCCAAUAUUCCGCCCGUUUUCAUAUCAGCUCGCAUAAGCAAUCAGCCAAAAUGCUGAAACGUAUCAGACCAAGCCAUCUUUUACGCCUAUCUUAUCUAUCCUAUCACCCCUCCAAUUCAUUUCCCGCGAUCGACGCGUACCCCACAAAUGUUCGGCACUCCUGCACUUGUGCGAUCGUAGGCUCCAAACACAAAAGAGCAGACACGAUACAUCAGCCAAGACCCAAAAGUGCCGGGAGGAAAAUUCGCCCGCUUUGCAUGCGCAAGCAAGUUGCACGGCGGUGGAGCCAGCCGCGAACUCGACAGCUGAUGAAUGGGAGGUAUCGCGCGCGUGAUCGGGCUUGACCGGAGCUGAUCGAUUGGCACAGGACUUGCUCAGCGUCGUUGCGAUAAGCUUCACGGUGACACUGUUUUUAGCGCUGUGAUCGGUUGUGGGAUAGCGGUGCCGUAUCGAUGGAUAAUAAUUGGAUCGUAACGCCAGGCGUGUUUAUCCUUGGGCACGGACAGGGAGCUCGGGCAUGGGCGUCGCAUCAGUGUUUGGCGCGGGCACAUGGAGUGUCUCUUGGCUAGGGUGGGGCAAGGAGGAGGAGACGGGACUACCGGAGGGGCAGCUGGGAAGCACUGUGUUCAAUCACUUGAGCCCUUUUGCUCUACCGCUGAUAGCACUCCUUGAAACCUAAAAGUAGGGACAACGAACAACGUUUCUAGCGUGCCUUUGGAACGCAGGGAUGAUUUCGAAAAGCAUCUUUGUGGCAAUUUUUACAUGGACCAGUUCAAUUUCUCGUUUCUGUUACCGUGCUCAUCUCCGUGCGUGGUCUGAAAUAUCCGUCUCAUGUUCAGAUCGAUGGAGAAGGAGACGCCGUGGAUGGGCAGCCUCGAUCGCGCCGGGUUCUGCCUAAAAGCGCACGUCUUCUUGACCCGACUUUGCUACAUUCCGCAAGGCGAUUCGGCCUGUCUCUUGGAAGAUCGGGCAGUGGCAGCAGCAGAUAUCGUAGAAUACUCCGUUUCGGCGUGGGUUUUUGCAUCAAGAAAAUGAAGCUCUCCGCGUGAUCCGAAGAAGAGGGGUAGAGAGUGCGUGCCGGACCUUUCAGCUCGCCACGACAGCUCCCCAAGAGUCCAAGACCCACGCUAGCUUCGCCGGCCACCAACCCCUGAUUGCUUGCGACUACUGCUGGAUUUGCUGCAUGCGAGCCCAGGAUUUGGGCCUACAUGCUCACCGUAAGGUCACUGUCAUGUUUCCCAGCUCCUGUGAGUACAGGGAGAUUUCGCUUUUGGUGCUGUCACCAUGCGUAGCCGCCUCCGCUAAAAUUUCGAUCGGUUUCAGUCGAUAGCCUGUGAGAAGUUUUGACAAUUCGAACUCCUACGUUCACUGAUCGUCUGCUCCAGGCCAGUGCACUCAGAUUCUGCCAUAUCCUCGCUUCGCGAGAAGAUGCUACCACAUCGUCAAAUCAAACCAAAGAGAUCCACCGGUCGCUGCGAGCCUGCGACAGCACCCGUAUCUUGGCGGAGCGCACGGCGCAGUUAGCACUCGUCAGGUAGGCAGUUCCAGGUGUAUCAGUCGGUAGACGCCUUCCCUCCCCCUGCCGCCCUGUGAGGUCACGGGCCGUCGUGUGGCGCUGCGCCACCCAUGGAUCCACAGGGCAAGAUGGCCCGGCCGCUACACGGGCUCGCAGGCGGCGGCAGGGAGAGCGCAGGGGACCUCGGCCAAUGGCGGCGGCGCCGUGCAGGUGGGUGGAGACACCAGCUGCACACACAAAUCAUUUCGCCUGCCUGUAUCCGGGUGCUCUGUUGAUCAGCAGGGGAGGCGGGGGCCUUCCCUUUUUACAAGGGACUGGGAGGGAGGGGGUGUGGCCCAACUCACCCACGGCCAAAGCCGAGGCAGUUCUCGUGGGCAGUAGCACAUUGUUUGAUGCCCUGAUUCCCCCCAAAUCGACCGUUCCAACUCAUCCCUGGCAAUUAACAAAUGGGAUCAAGGAGCUGGUGGCUGACGUAAUCUGAUUGCCGCGCCAAUUAACAAGUGAUUUGGGGUCAGAUCAGCGUGGAGGCCUGGAGGGAUAGUACAGCCCCUGCAGUCUUCUCUCGCUGUUACAUGUGCGCCUCUGCGUGCUUGCUGGGCAGAGAGCUCCAAGGUGAGGUGAAGAUUGGAGAUGGAGGAAGGGGAGCAGCAAGCAAGUGCAAUAAUGGAGGUCGUCAGAUGGCCACGCCGGAAAUGGCAGUCCCAAAAGGGUGAGGACAAAGGAAAAAAGGGGUGCCAUCACCGUCACCAUCCCCAUUUACUGCCCUGGCUGCCUGCCCCUCCUCUUCCUCCUCAUCCGUAUGCCUCUUGCAUUUGCUCUGCUCACAGCUCUCCUCGAGUCGUCUUCUCCCUCGCUAUCAGCACCCAGUCAUCCAUCUCCCUCCCCUGAUCUCCAACUCCUGUUUGUGGCUGUUACAUUUGCAUCUCCCUUUCGUUAAUCGGCGUCCACACCCAGAGAGAGGUGACAAGAGAAACAACAAAACGGAAAGGAAGUUAGAAGAAUAAUACGCAGUGACAUCAUGACAUGCUGUGGCGUCUGAUUUCUUUAGCUAUACAUGGGCAGUGACAACUUUUUUUUUUUCACCGUGGUCGUGGUACAUCAGAAGAUCCACUAGAUUUCAUUCAGCUGCCUGGCCUGUGGCGCUCCUUUGCAGCAUCUGCAGCUGUAAAGAACCCAGAUCCCCAUCUCCCUGAAGGAGGAGAUCCCAAAAUCGUCCACGAUUCCACAUCUACAUCGCAGCACUAAGUACUGUACUAUUCACUACUACCUAAUCGAGCACUAGUAAUCAAGAAAACGUCCCAGAAAUGGGAGGUAAAGAAGAAGAAGAAGACUACUGACUAUACACACAUCACCUAAUCUGCCUCCUUCCCCGCGUCCCUCGCUUUGAUUCUGCCCCCGUGACUCUCUGAUCUUGGCGGAGAAACUGCGGGGGGGGGGGGGGGGGGGGGGGGGGGGGGGGGGGAAAANNNNNNNNNNNNNNNNNNNNNNNNNNNNNNNNNNNNNNNNNNNNNNNNNNNNNNNNNNNNNNNNNNNNNNNNNNNNNNNNNNNNNNNNNNNNNNNNNNNNGGGGGGCGGGGAUCGAGCUUCUUCGCCGGCCGGCCGGGGAGCCGCCAUUCGCGGCUACGAGCAGUCCUUCCAGCAGACGAGCAUGGUGACGCAGCGGCGCAUGAUGUAGAAGCGCGCCCGCUGCUCCUUGACCAGCCCCGCGCACCGGCUCGAGAACGAAGGCUGCGGCGCACCGCACCCGCCCGCCGCCACGGCGCCGGCGCCGCUCCCGCGCCGGCCGAUCGCCUGGACGCCGUCCCUCAUGCUGGACGACCGCUUCAGGAAAUGGUCCCCGCCGCCGGCCCCGGCCCCCGGGACGCGCCGGCUGCCGUUGUUCCGGCUCUUCUUGGAGAACUUCCACUUCUCGUCGACGUAGAACUCCAUGGAUCGAUGGUGCGCUCCGCUGCUGCUCAGGCUGAGGUGGGUGAGUGAGGAGGAAGAGUGCGGUGGAGGAGGGGAGGCGUGUGGGGGCGUGAGGAAUCCCCGGACUAUUUAUAACGGGGGGGAGAGUGAGACCGAGACGGACCUGGGAGGAGGGGGAGAGAGGGCGUGGGGGGAUGGACCGAGACCUGGACCGUUUUUCUGCAGCGCGGCAGCACCCAUCCACCCGGAGGGUUGAGUUGGACUGCCUUCCUACAAAGCCAAUCCUAUGCUGCUCACCGAACCUGUAUCUCAUCCCAAUAUGCAUUUGGUGGUUUUUAUUUCGCGUGGUCCAGAAAUGAUUUCCAGCCAGUUUGCAUCAUGACCGUUUCCAAAAUUCUAGUCAGAGAGUUUUCAAUCAUUUGUGAAUCCUGUCGUUGAUUGCUUCUUCUUUUGUCCCGUUAGAUUUCAGUUGUAGCUGAGUGUUUUUAUUCCUCAUCUUAAGAUGCUAUAUCCCAAUUGCUCUUCUUUAUUUUACUCUCUUUUAAUACGAAGAUGUACAUCUCUUCUACGGUUAAGUUUUUUUUGAAUAUGGAGAUAAACUAUUCCCUGGAAGAUAUAUUCCAACACUUCAUCAAUGUCAUAAUCCUAAUAUAAUUUUUUUGUUAUCAGCUGGUCAACAUGUUUGAUGAUGUAGUCUACAAUAAUUUUCCACCACUAUUUAGAAUUGUGUGGUUUUGUAUGACACUCUUUAAUUAGCUUUUGUUGUAACUAGAAUCCUACUUUUCAAAUCCUCUUAGUUUGUAGAUACAAAUAACAUUAUCUUGCGUAUGGUUGGGGAGAAAAGAAAUUGAAAUAUGCCUAUAAAAAUGUUGGGUCAUACUGAAAAGCUUGAAAGAAUCCAAACAUCCGAUGAUCAUAGAGACUAAAAGAUAAUGUAUCAAAAAACUAAUUGGAUGAGAGAAAAAAAAAUCAAGCUAAUGAUGUUAUCAACCGAUGAAGAGUACUGGAUGUGAUAAUAAAAUGAAGGUUAUUUUGACUUUUAGGGAACCUAAAAAUACUUAUAUUUUUAGAUGAAAGGCGUAUUAAUUUCUCUAUGUUGUCACGAUGGUGAAGGUGAUACUUUUCUUAUUGCUCGUGUAAAAAAACAGUUCACAUGAAGUGGGUAAAAUGAUAGAGAGGAAUAAGCGCACAUACAACAGAGGAGGGUUGCCUUUAGAAAAUUUCUCCACGGACAUCGAGAUACUUUCUUCGUCCUUAAGUAUAUAGUAACAUUUAGGAUGAUACUAAUUGCUUGUUCUAAAUAUCAUUUAUUUAAGAUAGAUAGAGUGUAUUUUUUUAUGAGAAAGAUACUUAUAUUACGAUACUAGGGAAAUUCGAUAUACAUUCACUUUAAUUAUAGAUAGACCUAAUAUGUGCAACAACUUAAUUACAACAUAUAUUUUACCGUGUUACCAUGAGUUACUGCCGUGUACAAGUGCAAGGCUAGGAGUAGCAAUUCCCAAAUGGUCACAAUUCGUGAUUUCGCGGACCGAGUCCAUGUGAGUUUAAUCAAUGCAAGGGUGUACGGCUGGAUUCUUUCUUGAGACCAUGCAAGCAAAUCAUUUUUUCUUUCCCUGCAAAAAGACCGCGUUCCAACCUAAUCACUGAUUUCCUCGUAAGAAAGCAAAGAUUCAAGAGCGCAAGUACCAUUUGGAGCCAUUCGCGUGUUCCUUCAACGGCGCAACCAUUAGCUGCAGCGGCGCGUAAUCAUGCACCUCGCCUGCUGUUUCUCCUCAUGAUUGAGGAUGAUGCCCCCAAAUCCCAUGGAGAGGCGGGGAUGGGAUUAUAGAUGAGGCGUGCUUGCCUGUGAUUUUUGUGUUCUUGACUGUGUGUGUGAGGUGGCUUUGCAGUCCAAUCUGGGCUGAGUCAGAUGGGCCUGGAGGCGGGCCCUGCCGUGUUCCCUUCGUGUCCACAGAGGCGAGCAGGGUAUUAAAUGCGCAUGUCUCUUGGGGCAGCCCCACAAACCACCGCCGUCUGAUUAUUUUCAUCCCAGUCUAACCAACGUCUAAAAAGGAAAGUCCUCCGAUGGCCUGGAUUAGGCUUGGGUUUUCAUCAGGAAGGAAAAAGUAGGCUACAAUUUCCCUGUUAUGAGUAUCACGCAUCAUUGCAUGCCCAUCCAAAUAGGGUUAUGAUAUCUAUCCCACGAGGGAUUGAUUUCGAGCGCUGGAUUACCAUCGAACCGCCAUGGUUUACGUUUUGCUCUGCCGACUUGCAAUCUCGUGCACGUUCUCAAGUGCGUCCUGGCUCGUGGUCCUGGGCGACCUCUGGCUCCGAAUCCGUUCGGAUCCGUGGGCGCCUUUGACUCGUGUAGACGGGCCUGCCGCGGCGGCAGGUCGCUGCUCUGGUUGCCACCCCCCCCCCCCAGCCCGUGCGUGCGUGCGUUGCUCGGGCAUCCCGAUGCGCCCGCCCGCGCGACGCCCCCUCCUCGCUUUUGGGUUCUUUUCCCACCCCGCAGAGCCGCACGCGGCUGCCCGGUCGGUCGGUCACCGAAUCCCGCCCGCGGCCCACGCGGUGACCGCGGCGGCCGCGGGCGGGAUCGGCCUUAUCCUUGCCUGCUGCUGCUGCUCGUUCGGUUGGUCCCAAAUAGCGAGGGAUGGCCUCGCCGCGGGUGCGUGCAUGCACUGAUCAUCGUAUGUCGCCACGGCGGCAUGGCGAGCCUACGCCGUUUUUAUGGCCUUGCCCGGCGCGGCCAUGCCGACUGCCGUCCGCCCGUGCUACGCCGCCGCCGCAUCCGGCUCCUCCCUAGCUAGGUCUCGUUGGGAACCGGGGCGCGCCUCCCCGUUAUCCGUUUCAUGCUCUUCGAGGUCAGAUAUGCCGCCCUGGAAUGGGCAGGUCCUCGCGAUUAUCUGCAAGCAAGCAGUCUGUCACUUUCGUCUACAAUAUAUACUUGGACGACGGAAAGGAAAAACGCAACCGUGCGAGGCGAGACAUGACGGCACUGUCUGCACAGCUGGUCCAAACUUUCUCCCCCAUUGAACUUGAGGCGAUGACCAGCGACAGGAACUUAACCCCCACGCCACUGUGCCACCAAGCGCGCUGUUCAUGGAUCGGAACCGGCAGCUGGAAAUUAAGCCGAGAGCCCGCUGCUUGAAAUGGUGCCGUGGCAGUGACGGCAUGCCCGGAUCAAUGCACAAAGCCGCAUCGUCGUGGGAACCCCUCGACAGAGCUCAUUGUCGCUGGCCCAACCCAACGCAUGCAAGCGCGGUGCCGCGAUCAACAGGGAGCUCGAUAGCGCUUAACGCGGGUCGUGCUUUGUAGGCGCACGCGCAUGUCAUCUCGAGUGCGCGAGGAGGCCACGAGAUGGCACGUGGGGGGUGACAUGAACGGACUCGCGUGGUUGGUCCCGAUCGAUUGAUGGGCCAUCAGGCCGGGCCCUGCUGCUAAGCUAAGCUAGCUCACCGAGAGGGACGCCGCGCCAUGCCUGUCGUGAUCGCCUUAUCCGUUCGAUGUAGGCGAUCACUGUUCAGGCAAUCAGUUUGGGCCGGACAAGCAAAGGGACUUGGUAAGCAAAGUGUUAAAUUUUCAAUGAGUGCGCGCGUGCUUGCACGGGUUGUGGGAUUAAAUUGCGGGUCGCGAGGUGCAGUAGCAGGCCGACAGUACAUGUAUUAGUCAUGUCCCUGUCUUUGGUCCUGGACCGAAUUGGAAUGAGACAUGAUGCUUCAUCUACAUGGGCAGAUUCUUGCGGCAGUUGAUUAGACCAAGCCUGCGCUACCGCCCUGAAGUACAAAGUGCCAUGUGAUCGGCAAUGCAGUUGCAAUAUCUUUGUUGAGUUAAAACAGUGUUCGGCCUACUGUUUACUUUGGAAAAAGAAAAGGAUUCAUGAUGUGACCAACAAAAACGAUCGGUAUCCUGUGUAUAUGCAACAUCAAUUCGCUCAUAUCACUCCAUUGGGACCUGUUCUUGGAGUUAACAAUAUUCAAUUUAUUUUUCAGAUAACCAGCACAAUCUUCUUCAGAGGUGUCCCGUUGGAAUGCAUUUGCUGACGAUCUCUUCUCCAUUACUGCUGAAUUGGUACGCAUUCAGUAACUCGUAAUGUGAAUUCUGGUUCUGACAGUACCCUGUUCAAAUCUGAAACUCUAAAAUUGACCGUAGGGACUACAUUACACAGUUACGUACAUAGACAUAACACCACUGGGGUAGCUAGUAAUCACGCUGCCGAAUUUUGGCACAACACGCACAUAACAGACGCCUAGAGAAAAAGAGAUACUCUGCUAAAGAAAAUUCAUAUACAACAAAGACAUUGCGCACCACCCUUCAGGAACAGCUUCUAACUGGUCAGAGACCGCAUGUUCAUCUGCAUUAGUUUGCUCGUCAAAAACAGACCAGUCUAGAAUAGGACUUGCGGGACGAUGUUCUUCUUUGCCUUGCACCACAGUGGCUAUGCCAUUAUUCUCGGAUUGUGGAUUUUACUGAUCCUCAGCACUGUUUUGUUGGAAGUUGGUACCGUACUUUUUUCCAAACCUCGUUGAAACUCCAGGAACUGUAUAGCUUCCUGGAGUUGUCCUCACCCUUUUCGUUCCACCUAGAGGUAUCUUGGUCUUCUUCUUGGUUGGUCGACCCUACUUAUUAUUGUUGUCAGUUUCCUAACACACAAGGGACAAUCUGUUAUUAGAACUUGAAUGGAAAUAAGUAUCAGAAUAUAUAUCGGAUAUCGUGAUGUAAAAAACUCCAACCAAUUGAGAAGAGACCUUUUCUAAGCUAGUAUUAACACAUUCAUCAUCGUCUUCCUAGCCCUCUUAAGAUACAGUGCAUGAUCUGUUACUUGCCUUUAGGAACAACUUGUAACUGGUCAGAGACUGCAUGUUCAUCUACAUUAUUUUGUCAUAAAAAACAGACCAAUCCAGAACAAGACUUGCGGGACAAUGUUCUUCUUUGCCUUGCACCACAGUGGCUAUGCCAUUGUUCUCAGGUUGUGGAUUUAACUGAUCCUCAGCACUGUCCUGUUGGAAGUUGGUGCUGUACUUUUUUCCAGACCUUGUUGAAACUCCAGAAACUGUAUAGCUUCCUGGAGUUGCCCUCACCCUUUUCGUUCCACCUAGAGGCAUCUUGGUUUUCUUCUUGGUUGGUCGACCCUACUUGUUAUUGUUGUCAGUUUCCUAACACACAAGGGACAAUCUGUUAUUAGAACUUGAAUGAAAAUAAGUAUUAGAAUAUAUAUCGGAUAGCGUGAUGUAAAAAACCCCAACCAAGAUGAGAAGAGACCUUUUCUAAGCUAGUAUUAACACAUUCAUCAUCGUCUUCCUGGCCCUCUUCAGAUACGGGAAGAUAUUCGGAUGAAUCUGACCCCUCACCAGGAACAUUCUUGUGUGUUUGCUUAUUCGGAUUCUAAGAACUUGCAUUACGAAGAGAAGAGGCCAUGGUAUGGAUACCGAGGGCUUCCAUCUUCCUGUUGUUCUCCUCGAUUUGCAAGGCUAGUAGCCUUUCAUGUACCCUAUUUGUAAACAAAUUUUAGUCGAAUUGAUCCCUAAACCCUAAACCUAAACCCUAAACCCUAAAUCCUAUCUAGUAGAAGGCCUACCUAGAGAACUAGAAGGUGUUUUAGUGCUACACAGGGGAAGUAAAUUUGAAGAACAAAACCCUAAACCCUAAAAGGAGAAGCAAUCGACAGAACUUGGGCUCGGGGGCCAAAGGCGUGUUGCGGGCCGUUUAGGCAUCGUCGAUGGGUGCCUUAGGCGGGGUGGACGUCGUGGUCAUCAUCGUGUCUCCGGUGCGGCUCGACGUAGUGGUGUGGCUCCUACGUCUCCGUCUCCGGUGGGGUGGACGUCGUAGGUCACGGCUCCUCCAUCUCCAUUGAAUGUCGCGCUUCUGGGUUGCGGCUGACUGGAUCUGGGCGGUCGAGGAGUGGAUCUGGGCGGCGGCGUAGUGGUUGUAUGCGAGGGUGGCAGCGGAGUGGCUCUAGGAGGGCGGCGGCGGAGGGGAUGCAGGAGGAGGUGCGACGGCGGAGUGGAUAUAGAGCGGGCAGAAACAAAAUGAGGUGGCUGUGGCUAGGUCUCGGCCUGAUGGGAGGGGAUUCACAAAUAUAUAGUCCUCGGUAAAGUUAACGUUUUGUCCCUAGUCUACUGUUUCAGGAGCCAUCAAGCUGGAGGGCAAUAGGGGGUCUUCGCAGCCACCAAAAUUUGGGCGUGGGAUGCAGGCGAGAAGCGCGCCGAUGGCAGAAGCCUUAGGUGGGAGCUGGAAAACUAUUUUCUUUUUUUCUCAGAAUAAAACUAAAUGGUUUUUUUCUUUUUUGUGGUUGUACUAUUGAAAUGUAAAAUGAUAUUGUUUGUACGAAUUUGAUAUCAAUUUCUAUGUGUUUGGGAUACAAAGUAUUUUUUCUGUAUAAUGAUAUUUUUGUGGUAGUAUAUUUUUAUGGUAGUAUACUAGUUUACAAUGGUGUUUUUUAGUACUUGUAACCUUCUUUGAUAUAUCAAGGAUAAAUUAUAGACUCAUUAGAUGUGAAAGAUGAAAACCUCCUCUGAUGUAGACAUUAAAUGUGCAAGAUGAUAAUAUUUGAGCUCUCAAAUUAUAGGGAGACAUACAUGAUCUCAUCCUCUGAUGUAGACAUUAAAUGUGCAAGAUGAUAAUAUUUGAGCUCUCAAAUUAUAGGGAGACAUACAUGAUCUCUUAUUUGUAGCUAUACACAUACACAUUGUACCUAAAUAUAAUGUGUGUGCAUGAAUGAAUUUAAACACUUAAUAAGUUGAUUAGCACUUCAUAAUAUCACGUACAAUGUGUGCAUGAAUGAGUUGAUUAGCACUUCAUAUACAUGCAUAUGCUUGGAUUACUUCAUAAUGCUUUGUUAUUAUAUAACAAUACACACAUAUAUAGCUAUGCACUUCAUAAGAUCAUAUGCAUGCUUGGUUAUAACCACAUAGUUAUGCACUUCAAUUCAUAAGAUCAUAUACAUACUACAGAUACCGGGUGAGUUGAUUUGCGACAAAUUGCUAUUUUGUUAUGGUCAGAUUUGCAGUCUGUCUGACAAUUUGCUAUUUUAUUGUGGUUGCAAGGAGGGUGGAUGUAGGUUUUGGGUGUGGUUGGAUCCCAAGCCAACAGAUCAUCAGAUUGAGAUCCUUGUUGAUUUGCGAGAUGCAGUGAAGUCUCUGAGUAGAAAGAACCGAGGUCUGGAGGUGGAGAAGAAUGAACUGAAGCUUUUGCUGCAUGAAGCAGAGGUAAAGCAUGCUAAACUGGUGAAGGAGGAGGAGGCUAGGGCAGCAGCCAAGGAGCAUGAGGCCAGGGUAGCAACCAAGGAGAAGGAGGCUAAGCAACUUCAAACUGCAGUCAGAGUAAUUAAGUGUUGUGGAUCAAUGAUCCUUGUUGCUUUGUUUUUGGCAUUCCUGGUGGCUAUGUUCAGUUCAGGUGCCGAGCCAUAGAAGCUGCAACUACAGUUGUAGUGAUUUAGCUUAGUUGCCACUUCUGGUUGUUAACUGUAGUGAAUUAGCUUAGUUGUAUGAAUGUAUGAACUGGUGCUUAGUUGUAUGAAUUAGCCGAGUGGAUUAGCUUAGUUGUCUGAAUGUAUGAACGGGUGCUUGGUAUGAAUGUAUGAAUUGGUUGGCUUAUUUCUGAAAAUGAGCUUAGUUGUCUGAAUGUAUCAAAUGUGUUGGCAACAUCACAGACUUCACAUAAUGUGUGAACUGUUUCACAGAAUUUUUAUAGAAUGUUGAAUUGGUUCACAUAAUGUAUAUUACAUUUCCAUAACAUCAAAAGCCAAAAAAAGACAAUUACAAAUUCAAUGACGGCUUUAACCUAAUCAUCAUCAUUACAUUUCAUGGGAUCUCUAUCAUUCUCACUAAAAUACUCUAAGACAGUGUCAUCUUCACCAUCUUCAUCGUCACUGGCUUCAGCAAUGUCUUCUUCCCUUCUAUUGAUAAGAACUUGUAAGUUACCAGCAACACUUACUAUUUCUCCAUCUACACGCCGGUACACUGGUGUAGGCUCAUCUAAGCCAUCAUCAUCAAUUGGUUCCCCUUCAUUUUGUACCCCAAGUUCAUUAUCAGAACCGGUCUCAUCUUGGUGCACAUUGGUCAAUUCUGUUUCAUUGACAUCGUACAUGCUCCUUUGUUCAAAUUUUUGCACAACAUUUUGGCCAAACAGAUUUUCCUCUACGUAGAAGACCUUUCUUGAUUGAGUUGCUAAUAUAAAUGGAUCUGACUUGUACCAAAACCUCUCAAUAUUGAUGGAUCUAAAAUGGUCGUCUUCUUUAAUGGCUCUAGCUUUGCCAUCUCGACUGAACCAUUCACACCGAAAAAGUACCACUGUUCGAUGGAAUUCCAAAUUGGAGUUGUAGUUUAACUCAAUUAUCUCUGUGAGCUGACCAUAAAAUUCAGUGAACACCCCGUUAUGUGAUCCAUCCACUAGCACACCACUAUUUUGUGUUUGCCUUUGUCUCUCACGAUCGAUAGUGUUGUACCGAACACCACUGACACUGCAUGAUGCCCAUAAUUUCACUCUAAGGUCAGGACGACAUGAUAAUGCUUAUAGCCCUUCACUAACCUCUUCUCGUUUAUUCUUCCACAACGUCUUGAUCUAAAAUAGAAAAAUAGUGAAAAUUUGAAAUAUAUGAAAAUAACCUCUAAAGGAUGACAUGUGAGUUUAAAAAUACUUCUGGAACAACUUACAUGACUCCUAAACCAAGCAGGAAAUUCAUUUUCCAACCUUUUCUCAACAUCAUGGGUACCUUCUUUCUGUAACUCUUCUAUAAACAUAUUGUACACACAGUACAUAAUAUGUAUUGGUCAUGCAUGUUAAACAAAAAACAAUGCUGUAAUUAGCCAUGCAUGUUAUACAAAAAAUACUCACCCCAAAUAUGGCUCUACUCAUCACAGUUGUUUAGCACAUACCAACAAAGCUUGUCAAAUUCUUUGUCCUCAAGAUAUGUCUGCCUGUUGGCUCCCAAGAGUUUAACACCAUGCUGAAAAAUAGAGAGGUCAGCAUGUGAUGCUCCCACCCCUUUGUCAUCAUCCCGAUUGAAUCUAGUGACAACAUCUUCCAUGUACCUUGAACAAAAGGUCAGGGCCUCAUUAGCUAGGUAUGCCUCAGCGAUGGAUCCUUCAGGUCUAGCCCUAUUCCUCACAUACCCCUUCAAAGUGCCCAUUUGACGUUCGAUCGGGUACAUCCAUCCAUAUUGCACAGGACCUCUUAGAAGUGCUUCAUCAGGUAGAUGGACAGCCAAGUGGACCAUCACAUCAAAAAAUGCAGGAGGGAAUAUUUUCUCCAGCUUGCAUAGGAUCACAAGAAUUUCUGCUUUCAGAUGUUUGAUUACAUCAACCUUUACCUUCCUACUGCAAAUCUCCUGGAAAAAUUUACCCAACUCUGCAACUGCUUCAUAUAUGUCCUUGUGCACUAGUCCCCAAAGACUGAUAGGUAAAAUUCUUUGAAGCAAGACGUGUCAAUCAUGGGUUUUGAGGCCCUGCACCUUGGAAUCAUCUGCACUAAUGCAUCUUGUUAGGCUGGAAGCGUAUCCAUAUGGAAACCAAAUACUUUUUAGAAAUCCACAAAAUGCAACCCUUUCUUCUUUCUUCAAGGCAUACCAUGCUACUGACAUGGAAACUGAAUUGCCAUCAUCUUGUUCUAAAUGCAAUUCAAGUCGUAUGUCUAUAUCCUGCAAAUCAAGUCUCGCAUUAAUUGUAUCCUUAUUCUUGCCCUCAAGACGGAGUAUUAUGCCCAGAAGGGCAUCACAUAUAUUCUUCUCUAUAUGCAUCAUAACAAGAUUAUGUGGCAGCUUCAAGUGUUUCCAAUAAGAUAGUUUCCAUAGAGCGGACUUGCGGCUAAACAAUUUUGGCUCAUCAUCCUUCUGUCCACGCUUCCUUUUCUUGCUACAUUCAGCCUUACCAGGGCUCACAUCUUUUACCUUCUCUAGACACUCCAAUGUCUCCUCCAUACUCAACUUUCGUGGCUCAACCCGGUUUUCACGAUGUCCAUCAAAGGCCAAGCUUCUUCACCACUUGUGAGUUUUUGGAAGGUAGUGACGGUGUCCAAUGUAACAUAUCUUUUUCCUAAGACUCCUUGACAAUGGAUCUCUGUUGCAAUAAAUACAUGCAUAGUAACCUUUAGUAAUUCACCCUGACAAUACACCCAAAGCUAGAUAAUCAUGGAUGCACCAUUGUACUGCAGCGCGAAGGUCAAACUUUGAACUAGUGAAUGCAUCAUAAGUUCUGACACCCUCCCAGAGUUUUAACAAAUCCUCAAUAAGAGGUUCUAAGAAUAUGUCAACAUAAAAUUCCCUAUUUAACACUGGGAAAAUGAGUUGUUCCUUUCUUGGCCCUAAAAUUUUCUUCAUUCUUUAUUUGACACUCACUUCAACUUUCAUCCCUAAUAUGACAUUGUCGUUCGUUUCGUUAGCUUCUGCCGUUAGGGACCCUGGGACACGCUGUCAGAUAUUUUGUUUGGGGUCAAAAUUACCCUCCGUCACUGACUGACUCACCUGUGCCUCUCUCCUAUGCGUGCUCUGCUCGAUUUAGGGCCUCAAACCCUAGACUCAGUCGGCGGCAGACGGCGAUAUUUGUGGCGGCAGCCAGCCGUUGACAGCGAGAUGGAAGGCGACCCGGCGGGGGAGGAUUUGGACUUAGCCGGCAGCCCCCUCACGCGGGGUGUGAAGGCGGUCGCGAGGUCCUCCAGGCGGCGCACGCAGGCGGCAGCGGCGAGCUCCCCCAGGCGACACGUGCAGGCGGCAGCGGCGAGCCUCCCCCCCGGUGGGUUGCACAGGUGGCGGCGACAGCGAGCCCCUUCGGGGUGGUUGCGCAGGUGGCGGCGAGUCCCCUCCCCCCCUCAUGGGCGGGUUGCGCAGGCGGCGGCAGCGAGCCCCCCCGAGCUGGUUGCGCAAGGAGCACGCUCGGGUAAUUUGCAUGCUUGUUUCCAUCCAUUCCAAUGGCCAUCAUUCAAUACAAAUGCAAGUAUGCGUUGCAAUUGCAAACAUUGAAUCACACGAACAGAGGUGGCCAGAGGAUAGAUGGGAAUGGCAAUCAUCUCACUCUCCUGGGUUUCCUGGAGAAGGCAUUCAGGCUUGAGAAGAACAUUUGUUCACUGAUUUAUUGACAUGUAUUCAAAAUGCAGGGAGCACGCUCGGGUAGGCUUCGGUGGGCAAUGGAGGGUCUGAUGCAGGGGGAACAGAGCCAGAUUGGCUCCUUGAAGGGUGAGUGCUUAAUGCCUUCGAUUCAUCUAAGCAGUGCAAAAGUGAUGUGCAAGUAGUAGUGUUGAUUCCUUAGAUUGUUCUUUUCGUUUGUAGGAUGGAUCCAGAUUCAAUAUAUUUGCUAGAAAUUAGAUUGUUUGGCAAAAAAAAGAGAGUUAGAAAGGAUUUUAGAUGUUUCUGUUUUGAUGUGACCAUUGAUUCAGAUUUGACAAACUAUAAGGAUUUACUUGAAGAGAUUGCAGAGAAGUACCCGCCAGGUUAUCUAGAACUUGCUCAUCUUCAGUACUAUGACCAUGAUAUGAAAGAAUUCUUUGAAGUUCAUUCUGGUCAAGAUUUGUUGUCUAUGUUUGAGAAAAAUUCAAAGACAAAGGUUAUCGACAUGUUCAUUUCUUACUGUGAUCCCUCUGAACCGUUUGAGCCCAUCAAAGAGUGGCAUAGUGAUGUGCAAAUGCAGGCUGCUGCCAAGAAUAUUGCAGAAGAUGAGGAUAGGUACCUUUGCAAACUCGUACCAGAGAACGAGCAUGUAGGUGUUGAUGAGGAGGUCAUGUACUUAAAGAAGACACCUUGUGAAGAUAGAAAUAUGGCUAUGAUUGUGCAUAAGGAUCAGGACAAAGAAAAGGAUGACAGUGAGGAUGAGGAUGAGGAUGAAUUGGUCAUUGAAUCAGGGACUAAAUUAGAGAAUGACUAAGAGUUUGUAGGACAUAAGGCAGAACAUAUUCCAAACAAGGAAUAUAAUAAAGAAGACCCUCCAAUGGUAGUUGGCUCAACAUAUCCUAGAAUGGCAGAUUGUAUUAUCUCAGCAUGCAAUCAAACAUGAAUUUGAAUACAACACAGAGAAGAGUGCACCGUAUAGGUUUGGAGCCUAUUGUUCAAGAUGGGAGGAAGAUAAUUGCCCAUGGAGACUACAUGCUUCUACAACAGAUGAUAUGUGCAUUGUAGUGGUAAUUAUUCAGCAUAAAUAAUUUCUAUUUUUUCCCUAAAUAUUUAUUCUGUUAUGUUGGUGUAGCUAAACAGUGAUAUUAAUAUUUUGUAGGUGAAGAAGAACCCUUAUGCUCAUCAGUGCUCUAGUACAAGGAGGAAGAAGAAGGUCAAGAAUGCCACUAAGCAUUGGGUAUGUGCUAAAGUUAAGGACUAGCUCAUUGAGAAUGGAUCACUUACUGCAAUGGUGUUGAAAAAGAAGCUGAAAGAACACUACAAGGUGAGUGUCCACUACAAGAGGGUGUAGAUGGGUAAAGAGCUAGCAUUGAGGUAGAUUUAUGGUGACUGGGACAACAGCUUCGACAAUUUGUAUAGGUUUAAGGCACAAGUUAGAAGCACUUGCCCUGGUAGCCUAGUAGUGAUAGAUCAUCACACAAUAAAUGGGAAGAUCAGAUUUAAAAGUUGUUUCUUUGCCUUGAAACUAUGCAUUGAUGGGUUCAUAAGUAGUUGUAGGCCAUACUUAGCAAUAGAUAGCACUUUCCGGACAGGCAAGUUUAUGGGGUAGUUAGCUAGUGCUUCAGCUAUUGAUGGUCACAAUUGGUUACUUCCUGCUUGUUUUGGAGUUUUUGAUUCUAAAACAAAUGAUAAUUGGAAAUGGUUCAUGGAGAGAGUUAGAGAGGCCAUAGGAUCACCAAGGGGUUUAACCAUAUGCACUGAUGUUGGCCAAGCAGCGAUGUCAGGGGUAGGUGAUGUGUUCCUAGAGGAUGAAUAUAGGGAAUGUAUGUUUCACUUGGUGUCCAAUUUUAAGAAAAAGUUUCAUGGCAAGGUUUUUGAUGACCACCUUUGGGCAGCAGCAUACUCAUGGAACCCAUAUUUGUUUGAGAAACAUUGGGCUGCAAUGGAGGCAGCAAAGCCAAAUGCUACUAAUUACCUUAGGAAGUGGCACACUAGGCUGUGGAUAAGGAGUCAGUUCUCAACCAUUUCCAAGAUUGAUUAUGUAACCAACAACUUAGCUGAGUGCUUCAACAAUUGGAUUAAGCACCACAAGUCCUUAAAGUUGGAUGACUUAAUGGACACAUUAAGGCAAAUGCUUAUGAUCAAGUGGAACCAAAGGAGAAAAAUAGCAAUGAAGUUAGAUGGCUUAAUUCUGGCCCACAUAAUUAAAAAGCUGAAUGAAAUGAUUAGAGAAUUAAACUUGGAGGUGCUUGAAUGCUCAGAAGAAGUUGCUGAAGUUACAACAUUGAGGGUACUGGCUUUAGGUUUGUUGUCAACUUGCAAGAUAAGACAUAUUCAUAUAGACAGUGGUACGUUUCUGGUAUUCCUUACAAACAUGCAGUAGCAUUUAUCACAUCACUUUCACAAUGCUCCUAUAGAAGCAUGUAGACAUGUAUUACUUUAUUGACAAGUUUAGAGCAGCAUAUCAACACUUAAUUCUUGCUAUGACUGACAAACGCCAGUGGCAUAAAUCUACACAUGGAUUUUUCAUGCAUCCACCUCUAUUGAAAGCAACUGUUGGUAGGCCAAAAACUGAGAGGUACAAAGGCUGUAGUGAGAAUAAGAGGAAAAAAGGCCAGCACCAGUGCCCUAUUUGUAUAGGCUAUGGGUAUCAUUGGCACAACUGCAAGAAAGGUAAUCCAGAGGACAUUGCUGCUAUGAUGGCUAUGAGGUACUAUACAUGCAAACUAUUUUAUUGUUCAUUGCAUUUUUCUUUUGGCAUAAUAUACAUUCUAACUACUUUCUUCUUUAUCAUGUAGAGGACCACCUAAGAAGAAGGCAAAGAAAACCAAAACAGCAGAGUCAUGUAUUGUGCCUUUGGACAAUGAAGCACCAGCUACUUCUAUGUCUUUUCCACCAAGGUUAGCUCAUGAUUUUGUCACUUUUUUUCCACAACAACCUGCAAGUUUUGAAGCACUUUACUUUUGCUAUGUUAGCCAAAAUUUGGAGACAAGUACGAAGAGUAAGGAUAACCAACUCAUUUCUAGUAUUGAGCAUCAAAAAGCGAGGAGAUUACAUCCAAGAAAAAGGCAAGUAAGGGCAAAUCUAGUUUUGGAGCAUCAAAAUUGUAAUACAUAGAUCUAAAAAAAAGGUCAUACUGCUAUUGCUAUUUAUAUUGUUAUAUUGUUGUCUCUUGUUCAAAUCUAGUUCUGCCAUACACAGGUCAAUAUCAGAUUCAAAUGAACCUGCGCCUAGUGCUGCUCUAGUCAAGGCAAAGAGCAAAAGGAAAAAGGAGAAAACUACCAUUCCUAUGCUGCCACUUGACAACCCUGCAAUGGGCACAAGAAACAAAAGGGUAGAUCCCGUUAGUCUUGCAAUGAACACAAGGAGCAAAAGAAGGCUCACCCUGUAAUCCUCGUGUAUCUGUGAAUUUGGACUCCGCUUUGUGUGUGAACUUGCAUGUAUCCGUGAACCUUUGUGUGUAAACUUGCAUGUGAAUUUAGACUCCUGUAACUUGCAUGUAUCUAUGAACCGCUUUAUGUUUGAAGUUAAUGCGGUGCCAGCCUGUGAACUUGUUGUAUCAUGUGCCAUCAUCAUGCUGUGUAAAUAUUGUAAAAAAUAUUGUAUAAAUGUGUUAGAAAUCAUGUUGUAUCAUAUCUGUGACACUGCUGUAUCAUCCCAACAUCUGCACCAGCCAGCAAAAAUGAGAAAAAAAACGACGGCCAGCCUGCAUGCGCCGCACGUCUAGCAAAAAUGAGAAAAAAAAGGCAGCCAGCGGUCCGCACGUCUGCAUCCGCUGCAUGCAUGUGCCCAACGCCUAGCGUUUGCAUGCGCCUAGGGGCAAAAGGGUCUUUUUAAGAGCCACUUGACGCUGUUAGCUAAUGGAAUGGACUGUUGUGUCAUAUUAGGGAUGAAAGUUCAAGUGAGUGUCAAAUAAGGAAGGGAGAAAAUUUCAAGACCAACAAAGGAACGGGUCAUUUUCCCAGUGUCAAAUAGGGAAUUCUCUCAUAUGUGUUGGAUACAUCGGUGCAUGACCAUGGAGGUAGAUUAAAUACCUUAAAAGUACUGGCUACAUGCUAAGUUGUGUUCAUGUUCCCGAAUGGAUUGAACCCACUAGUAGCUAAACCAAGACUUAGGUUUCUUGCAUCUUCAACAAAGCUUGGAUACACAUCAUCAAAGUCUUUCCAGGCGUCGCUAUCGGCUGGAUGGCUCAUUUCAUUGUCCACAGGAACCCACUGAUCCUUGUGCCACCGGAUCUCCUCAGAUGUUGCUUUGUUUGCAAACAUCCUCUUCAACCUGGGUAUAAGAGGAAAAUAUCUCAAAAUCUUUUUAGGAAGCCGUUUGGCACCAUCUACAUCUACCCACCUAGAUUCCUUGCAUUUUGGGCAGUUUUCCAGAUUAGCAAGAUCCUUCCAAAAUAACACACAAUUAUUGUCACAAACAUGGAUUAACUCAUAUCCAAGGCCUAAUUCUUUGAGAUACUUCUGUGCUUUGUCAUAUGAAUCUGGAAGAUCACAAUUAGGGAAUGACCUUGACAAUAACUUCAAUAUUGCACUGAAUGUUGUGUUGCUGAUCCUAUAGACUGACUUGAUAUGUAGCAUUCUGACUAGAAAAGAGAACCUAGACUGAAUAGAACCUGGGCAAAGAGCAUGUUUUGCAUCUUCAAGAACUUUUACAAACAUAGGCUGUUGUCCAUCUUCUUCUGCAACUGUAUAUAGGUAUGCAAGGAUCUCUGUCGUACCCUCAUCUUCAUUGUCGGGCUCAUCCACAUCCAACACAUCACCUAGAUGACCAGGUUCAUUUGCAUCCUCUACAUAUUCCACAAUCUCAGCAACAACAACUUCUCCAUGGUGUACCCAUCGAGUAUAUGUAGCUGACAUCCCAAAGAGAUAGAUAUGGUCAUGCACAUCAUUCUGACUCUGUGAAAACUGAUUCAGACAAUUGCAACAUGGGCAAAGUAUAGCAUCGUCCUCGUGGAAUCUAUCUCGAACCAAAGACAUAAACUGAUCAACACCGUCGGUGAAGGCAUCGCUGAACCGAGUAGCAUGAAUCAACGUUCUGUCCAUCUACUGAAUACAACAACAAUUACCUCUGAUUAGCCAUGUCUAAACAGCUAUGAAAAGCUAUGAAUUGCAGGCAAUGGGAGAGGACAACACCUCUAAGUAGCUGAAGUAGCCGCCCUAGCACCAACUCGUCGCCGAUGUAGACACCCGCAGCUGGCCGCCGCUGCAGCUGACGGAGCUGGCAGCCGGAGCAGGCAACAACAGAUGCCCGUCGAAGCAGGCUGCAAUACCUACCCACCGGAGCAGCGAAACCGCAACAGCUGCCCGCUGAAGCAGCUACGCCGCAGUAGGUGCCUGCCGAAGCAGCGCACUACGCCGGAGCAGCUGCCCGCUAGUGCAUCCCACAGCAGCUCACCGCUGGAGCAGCUAGGCCGCAACAGCUUGUAGCCGGAGUGGUUCACCGGAGCUGCCCAAUGGAGAGGUCUGCGGAGCACCUGCUCCCAGCCCCUGCACGAACUCACGAUUGAAUCUAGGUGGCAGCAUGCAGGCAUGGUGAAAGGGUCAUAUGAAUGAUAUAAAAUUCCAAUAAGAAAAAUAAUGUUCACAUCUCUUAAUACGUCCAAACUUGUAUUCUAAUGGUAAGCCAACUCCGUUGUGAACUAGCAGGUGCUGGGUUCACACAACUAGCAGGUGCCGGGUUCGAUUCCCCAGGCACCGCACAUUUUUUUUAUAAAUCCCAACGCUUCGAACUCUUUACACGAUCCUUUAAUCUGCCUAUAGGCAGAGCACUAUCCACCAGUAGUCUCGGACCAAAUCCCGCCCAUAACGUAAGCGAGCGGUAAGUACAAAAAAUAGUUGUUGCGACUGGUGUUAAACUGACUUGGUCCUUAAGCAGCUGAGAGCGAGCACUCUACCAAAAGUACGUGCCGAAGCACCUGCAACGUACAAGUGCGCCACUUGCUCCUCAGUAACAAACAAGGCACCCACCAUAGGUACGGGGUAUAGAGAGAGUCCAACAUGCUCUCUCCUGGCAAGGCACUCCUCGGUACCACGGCUCGCUCCUGCCAAAACACAUCAAGGAUUCCCACUCACCCAAAACACAUGCGAGAAUGUUCAAAGAAUCCCAUCACCAAAUUCAUGGCAAAUACGCAUCCAUAACUCAAAAGUAUGUAUAUGGAUAUAAGAGCAGUGGACUAGCCAGGUCUUCCGGAUCGUAGCUCGGAUCUAAACAGAACGAGAUACGACGCAAAGUAAAUUAAACGGCAUUGCAUCUAGACAAAACCCUUCAAGGAAAUCAAAUUUAGAAGAUCCAAAUAACACCAAAGUAGCUACAAACAGUACGGGCUCAAUUUUACGAAGUUAAUGCAACUGGUUUCAUAUUUUUCGGAGUUAAAAUGAAUUUGUUAUGAAUUUUUAAAGAUUAAAUAAUUUAUUUAAUUAUUUAAAUAAUUUUAGAAAACAUUUAUUAUUAAAGUGACACGUGUUAGCAACUGAUUGGGCCACGUGGCAGCACGAGGGUGUGCCACGUGUCCGCUAACGUCAGCGUUGAUCGAUCAAUGGUCAGCUAGGUCCCACCGGUUAGUGGGUCCCACGGGUCAGUGGGCUCCACAUAUGGGCUCGGGCCCUAGGACAUGUUAGUGCCACGUGGAGUGCUUUAUUGACGUGGCAGAGCCACAUAGAUGCCCUCGUGGCAGCCACGGGGCGUGCGGCGGCGGCACGGCGUGGCGGUGACCUGCAACGUCGUGGUGCAGCGAGGCCAGCACGCGGCGGUAGUGGGCGGUGGUGAGCAUGGCACGGCGCGGCGCUACACGUGCGCGGGCAUAGGGCAAACCCCGACCGCGGCGGCGCGCGGGGGCCCCAUAGUCCGAACCCGUGGCGGCCGGUGGCGAGGCAAGGCGGCGGCCCCUACAAGCAACGGCAGCCAGUGGCUCGAAGGCCGGGCAACACUAGGUGGCGAGGAGAGGCCCCGAGCGGCACUAUUUACAGCGGCGGAGCGCGGGCUAAGGUUUGGGGAAGGUGCGACGGUGCGCUCAGGUUUGGGGCGCGGCACCGGCGAUGUGGACGGGCGGGAUGGGCGGCAGCGCGGUGCGAGCAGUGUGGAGCUUAUCCGAGGCCGCCAACGCAAAAGGGAAAAGGUGCGGGUGAGGUCAUGGGCGCACGGACGAGUGCGGUAGUGCGCUCCAGCGCGGAUGGUGAGGCAUGUGGCGUCCCAUCAGCGCGAACGUGUGGUGCGCGUGAGCGUAUGGGCACGGGGAGUAAGAAGCACAGGAGCGGGACACGCUGACAAGCGGGCUCGAGCGGCAGCGAGAGAGAAAGAGAGAGCGGGCGCGCGCGCGAGCGCGCGGGAUGGGCCGACGUGCGGCCUGCUGGGCUGGCGCGGGACGGCAACGGUGCGAGCGCGCGCGGGCUAGGCCGAAGGGGCGAAGGUGACGGCGAGCGGUGGUUGGCGGGCCAGGCCGAAGGGGUUAGCGGGCCAGCAGGUUAGGUAGGUUAGCUAGAUUUGUUUAUUUUUAGAUAUAGGUUUAGAUUUAGUAAACAUGAGAUCCAAAUAAAAUCCAAAAAGAUCUAACUCAAUCCACGCAAAUUUUUUAAAUGGAAUUUAGGGAUGUGAAGGGAAUUUAACUACCGUUUUCAAACGAGCAGAACUUAGACUGUUAUUAGGCCGUAAUGUGGAGAAACACAACUAGCCCGAUUGGCGCGCAGGGAUGUGCCAAGGAGGCGCGCGAGAUUGGGCGGCCCUCAGGUCGUAAUGUGGAGGUCGCACCACCCACGCCACGUUCCGUUCCAUGGGGAAGACCGACCUCAGCACGGACGCGUCAUCGUCGUCAGCCGCUCGCCACGAGGCGUACGGCUGCGGCAGGAGCCAAGAAAGGAUCAGCAGGAGAAGGGAAGAGAGGGAGCGGGAGCUCGGAGGCCAUCGCUGCGGAGGACGGGAGGAGGCUGCGGCGUGCGGGACAUGCCGUGCCGGUGCCGGCUUGCGGAGGAAGAAGAUUUAAGCCAUCGUGGGCUGUAGUUGACCCAUGUCUUGCUCAAAUUGGGCUGUAGUACCCGACUGGGCCAAACCUCUCUCUCUCUUCUCGCACUCCUCUUUAGGUCCACGGCCCGGGCACUCUUCUUCCUCCUCAAGGCGGCAUCGGACACCGCCAGUCCGGCACGGCAGCGACACCACGGCUCCCCGCCGAUCCCCCACCCUCGCACCUGCAGCCUCCCCGCGGAGAUGGCCUCUAAGCUCCCGCUCUCUCUUCUCGCACUCCUCUUCCUCGUUUCUCUACCGCCGCUAUGCUCCUCGUGGCGACCGGCCGACGACGACGACGCGUCGGUGUCGAGGUCGGUCUUCCCCAUGGACGGCGACGUGGCGUGGGUGGUGCAGGUCAGCGACCUCCACAUCAGCGCGUACAGCACUGAGCGUGCCGCUGACCUCGCGCUGCUCGGCACCGCCCUGCGCGCCAUCCGGCCUCACCUUCUCCUCGUCACCGGUGACAUCACUGGUGAGCCCUCUGCUCUCAUCUUUCUGGAUCUGAAUUUUGCCGCGUGAAGUGGAUUCUGUAACUUUGGGCAAUAUGAAUACAUUUCUGGCCUAGGAUAAUGCUAUUAUACAGGGAGCUAUCACUUGUUUGGCUAUAUGCAGGAACUACAUAUAUAAAUGUACCUGUGCAAAUACUCAAUUAAACAAAAAUAGAUGGGAGCUUGAAUAGACAUGGUAUGAUUGUAGCUUCGGCUGUCCUAGUUACUUAUGUUAUGAUCACAUUGCGAACUCUCCCUAACAGAACGCUAACAUAAUAAACUUUCCCUAACAGUACUGCUCUUAAAGGCAUACUAUGCAUUUAAUCAUCAAAAUGUAUGGCUAACAAGACCAAAUGGUACGUUAUAGCAACUAUAGGUUAUUCCUUGCUAGUGUAGUGACAGUUCCAUUAGUUUAUGGUGAGAAAAAUGAUUUCAGAAAGUAAAAAUGGACCAAAUGUAUUUAAAACGUACCGAAUUGGCAUAGCAUCCAGAAACCUGUAGUACAAAAUAUUUAAAAAAUUAUAAACUUUAAUAACUCGAGUUAUUACUCCUGCAUCUUUUAAGAGAACCAAGUCCAAUUUGUUUCCUGCUAAGAGCUAACAACCACGUAAAUCAUACUGUUCUGAUUUCGAGUGCAAAUCGUUACUGUUCUUACAGGAUAUCUACUAACAGAAUAGAAUAAAGCCUUUAUUACAGUAUAAGGUAUGAAGGCAGAACAUUUGUAUAUAGAAACAAAAUUUGGUUUUGAUGAUAAACUACAUCGGAAAUGAUAUUACAUUGUUGCCAUAUUGAAAGAUCUCUUAUGCAUCUCUCCUGUGUAUUCAAGAAAAAUAUUAAAAGAUCUCUCUUGAUACCUACAUUUUUGUGUAUCCAGUCAUAAGAGAACUUUUAAUAGCACCAAGUACAUGCAAGUAUGGUAGAUAGAAAGGCCCUCCAAGAAUAAUAAGUUAAUAGGAUAAGCACCAAGCACACACAUGAUCAAUCUGAUUGACCUGUAUUGCUUUUAUUGUAGUUUUAUGGACCUUUUAUUAGCAUACUCUAACUUCACUUCUUCAUUAUCAUGUUAAUAAGAUGCCAAGAAUCAGCAAAGAACUACUUCAAGACAAGAUGAAUACGAAUGGGUUACCUACAAGAAAACUAUUGAUGCAAUUGUUAGAAGAGGUGGUAUUGAUAAGAGCAGGAUAUUUGAUAUUAGAGGCAAUCAUGAUACGUAUGGAGUGCCAUAUAGAGGAGUAAAAUUGGACUUCUUCUCAACUUAUAGCAUUAACUCACAACUUAAGCGAUUAAGCACCAUCAGUAGUAUAUUGCUUCAGGUACGACUUAUCCCUGUGUCAGCUCUUACUGUUUAUCAUCAUUGAAUUUAUUCAAGGUAUUGUGAAGCACCAUUCUGUACUCAAAUCCAAUGGGUAGUCAAAUUUCAGCUAAACUUAUUAUCAUUUCGUGUCUCAAGGUGUAAACUAUAACAUAUUUACUGGCAUAUAAUGAAUAUUGAACAUUAUUGACUAGUAAUCUGACGCUAACUAGUAAAUCAAUAUCCCAUUUUCAGUAUCACCCUUUUGUGUACUAAAUGUGAAAUAUCCAAUGCCAGUUAUGAAACAUACUUUGGGACUACUUGUGCAUUUGUAUUUUCAUGAUUAUGUUAACAACCCCUGCAGUUCUGAAACUAAAUUUUGUCCUAAAAGGCACUGUAGGGAGAUAGAAGAUACCAGUUUUUGGGUAUUGAUGAUACAAUGAGUGUGGGCAUCCGUUUUCCUGCAAAUCUUUUUGGUCAUCCAACUGAUAAAAGGAUAGAAGCAGUAAAUUCAGAGCUUCAAUACUGGACCAAUCAUUCCAAUGCUCCAGUUACAAAAGUUGUUUUCGGACAUUUCCCUAUGUCAUUCACUGCAUCAUCUGAAAAGGGCCAGCGAUAUGAAAGUGUGUUUGCAAGGCAGUCAAUUUCAGCAUACCUAUGUGGCCAUCUGCAUGCAAAAGUUAGUAAGCAGCUUUGGAGGCAUCAUGAAAUGAGAACAAUAGAAGGUCACAAGUCAAGCUUUUGGGAAUGGGAACUUGGAGACUGGAAGGACUACAGAUUGAUGAGGAUUUUAGCAAUAGAUGGUGGUGCAGUCUCCUUCAUAGAUCACACAUUGAAACAUGCACUCAAAACUUCCAUCUUGGUCACAUAUCCAACAGAUUCAAGAAGUAUGAAUAUGUUGGAAUCAGAAAAGGGGUCGAUGAGAAAUGAUAUAAAUGUCCUUGUUUUCUCUCAUCAAGUUAUCCGUAAUGUGAGUGCUAGAGUCUUUGACUCUCAUAGUGAGUUUAAGAUUGUUGAGGAGAUACCUCUGCAGCUUGUUGCCAGUUCUUCUGCUCACAGACCUUUGUUCCAUGCCAAAUGGAAUGCUGAAAAUUACAGAAGUCCAUCCCCUACUCGCUACUGGUUGCAGGUGUUUGUUCUUGAUUCUCAUGGUGUAAAGGUUUCAAGCGAGCAGAGGCCGUUUUCAGUUGAGGGUAAGAUGGCUAUUCCUACACGCCCCUGGCUCAACUAUCUGGUUUUUGAAGUCCAGUGGGAAGACAUGUACCAAGUCCUUUUGUGGAGUAAUAUGGGCUUCACCACUGUAUUGCUACUCACCCCCAAACUAUUGUAUCAUUUUGUUAGGAGAAGUUCAUCAUAUCAAAGGUGGGCUGUGUCUGUUCUGUCAUCCCCAAUCCAGCUGAGGAAAGCUUACUUUUGGUUGAUCUGGUUUUUAAUAGAGGGCACAAGAAGUAAGCCUUUCUGGCUUUGUCUAGUAAUAUAUGUUCUCUGGCUCAUCGAAAUGCCAUGGUUUUGGGGUUGCGCAACAUCUGAAGAUGGAGAAAUUGCUCAAAUGUACUUAUCUGGAUGGAGCAUGCCAUUUCAUGACGGGGGCUUCACAGGCAACAAACUGAGCAACCCAGAUGUGCUUGUCAUCACACUACCAUUCCUAUAUCUGGUGCUUGUCCCUGUAAUAGUCCUUAUAUAUGGCCUGUUUGCAGAAAAGGCUAUUGCGUAUUUGCGGCGCAGCAGAAGAAUAGAAUACUCUGCUGACUCAGCAAAUAUGCAUACUGAGUCGGCAUGCUUGCUGCCAGUUGCCCCAAGGGCUUUACUAAUGUCCGACAAUAUGGUGUCCAUGAUGAUCCAGUUUUGUGGUAGCUGGACAAGGAGGGCUCUUCUACUUGCAUGCUUGAUCACUGCAGCAAUACAUUUGAAGGUGCGUCUCUCUCAAUUUUUCUAACAAUGCAGUUUUUCAAAUAUUAGUGUUGAUGAUAAUAUAGAUUUGUGUUUCUUGCAGCUUUGUUCAAAGCUAAUGUCAGCUUAUGGAAUGGUACCAGUAGCCUUGUCUCCCCCGUUAACAUGGAUGCCACUGUUAUUAUUAGGUGUUGCUGCCUAUUGUACAAAGUUACAUGCAGAUUAACACCCAGCACUUUGCAUUCCUGAAGUGAACUUAUUUGCGUUUGGAAUACUUGCUGCUGCUGUAUGCUAAAUCCUGGUACGCGUUUCCCUUUAAUGGUUACUGUAUGGGUGCUAGUUUACCAAAGAAAAAGUAGUAACUGAUUUUGGACUCAUUAAGUUAUGAUUCACUUCAAUUAGGAUGUGACACAUCGCAAAACUAGGAUUAUCUCCAUGUGGUCAAACUAUUUGCAGAAAAGAAAAAGUAGAAACUAAUGUUCUUCUAAUAAGGUACCUGGCUAAUUUCAGUUAGAAUGUCACAAACUCACAUAACUAGGACCUUCAUAUCAAUCUAAUGAUAUCCCUUACCGGUCUUUGAUGUUUUCCCUGAAGUUUUGCGUGGGUUCAAUAGCUAAGGAAGGUUGUUUAUGCAAACAGCAUAGUAUGGGUGGCACAAGAAAGGGAGCAGUUCUCGUCGUCGUGUCUAAUCCUGGUGUCAGCAGUAGAGGAGGAGAUGGGGGGCAGCAGCUGGGACAGAGAGGUUGGCGAGGGACGGUGUGGGGGAGUGAUGGGGUAGUCGGAUAGGGUGAUGCAGGGGGAAAGCUGGUGGCUAGGUAUUUUUCAUGCCAAGAGUAGGCUAUGAUUAUGAGAAAAAAGCACGCAGGCUUGGCCCAAAGCCCCAAACUAAGGGGGUACAUGAUGGAGGACACCCUAGAGAUCCAUACCCAACUUUCAGAACAUGGAAAUCAAUUAUACAUCUGUUGUAGGGGACAGUUCAGAUGAGCGUGGAAGUUGUGGUGGAUUUUGAAUGUAGAGUGGUAGGCGCAUAUAUUUUUAGCACAAGUUACCUUAGUGCUUGCAUUAGUUGGUACUGUAUCAUAGCUAUAGUUGGACGAUAUAGAUCUGCCAUACAUCAUUUCUUCAUCGCUAGGAAACCACUAUGCACAUAUGGUUUUAAUCAGUCUUCUAGAAUACUUUCCCCUUAUUGACCAGAUCUGACACCCACAGUCAGUCUCGCCAUAUCAAGGACCAGAUGUUGUAUCUUCACUCGUUGAACCACGCAUAGGCUACACCUGAAGCUCCUUGUCCCUUGAUCCUGACGUAGUCUUCGCUUGUGGUUCCUUGGCCUUUCCAUAGAUGUAUAUAUAAAGGCCGCUCAAAACCAGGAAACUGCCCAACAAGCUGUCGUAAAACAGUAAAAUGUAUCAGUUAUGGCAUAAAAAUGAUUGAGUAGAUAUAUUCUUAUGUGCAUUUCUUCCGUGUUUUCAACCCCAAACCCCAUAUAUCGCCUGAUGCAACCUGCACAUCUGCAAGUCCUCUUCCUUCCCUGGUUGACAUUGCAAUUAUAUACAGAAGAGGAUUACUUUCCAUAAUGAUUCUAGUAUGCUGGUAGACAUGGCUCAAAAGGAACAGGAGAAAAAUUUCAAGUUAAGAGUUUCAGGCAGUUGAAAGAGUCUUUCAGCAAGUCAAGAUGGCACUAGAAUUUGGUGCACGGUGGGUAUGGCACAUUUACAAGGCAUCAUCAUCCAAUUGGAUUUUGUCCUCUUCAAUAUCUAGUUGGGGUGGCUUAUGCCAAAUAUUCCUUUUGCACCUUUAUGUAUAGCUUGAAACCAGUAAUGCUUCUUGGAUUAAUAAUAUAAUGUUAGCACUUUGUUGGAUCUUAGAAGGCAGAAGCAUCAGAUAAAAAUUAAAACGGAUAUAAAAUAUCAACAUUCUAAUAGUUAAAUACCCUUACCAAUUUAGAGAAAAACUCAUAUAGGGUUUUGUAAGCUGUGUAAAUUGGAGAUGAUGUUGUUUCAACAAAAAUAUCACAACUCUGCUACCUUUUAGUAAGGAAGUUAUUAAAUCUACUGGAGUAUGAGCAAAGGUAUAAACAGGGCAACUUCAAGGAACUGGUAUGUAAUUGUUACUUACCUCCCAGCAGUGAGGCUCUCUCCUAGUAAUAGUGUUCCUAGAAUUAUGAUGAACACUGCAGAUAAUGUGCUGAACAUUGGUGGGUACACAGGGCCUCGUUUUUCCACAGCAUACAGAUUCAGCCAAUACUUGGCUGCUGUGCCAAGCGCAGCCUGCAGUUCCAAAUGAAAUAAACUGUUAGGUUCAAAAUUUCUAGGGGCAAGUAUUUUGAAUAUUUCAAGUCACCAGUGGUAUUCUUUGAUAGUCCUCAACCAUAGGGUUCUCACAGGCAAGUUCCGCAUAUUUGAACUGUUAACAGUUAAAUUAUAUUAUGAUAUGCCCAUAUCUGCUAGCUUCAGUAAAUGCUGAAUUCACCAGUUAAUAAUCACAUGGCUACUAGAGUACUAGUGUUGCUUGAUUAUGCAUGAUAAAUAAUAACGGCCUGCAGUAGGUUGUGGCAUGAUAAGAUGACGGAGAUGUAAACAAAUAUGUGGAAAGUCAUGACAUUUUACACGAUAGCAAAGGAUUCCUCACAGUAUUCUGGAAAAAAAAACAUUUUAUACAUUCUGAGAAGACUUACUGAGUAGACAAUGGUGAGUAGUUGAAAAUUCCAUCCUAUUUGCCAGGCAACUUUGUCCCUUCUCAUGAUUAUUCCUAUGGCAAAUGUUUGCAGACCUCCGAAAAAACAGGUCACCACUGAAGACCAAUGUUUCCAUGGGUAUACGCCUAGAACUUUCACCUAAAACAUUGUAUAUAUACGUUAUUACCAGUCAGAUCUCAAAUGUUGAAAUUGAAGACCCAAGAAGAAUUAGAAUAAACACUAGUAUUAUGGUAUGCGUGUUGAUGGAAAAAAUAGAAGGUGAGCAGCAUGAGCCUUUGCUCAGAGAAUACCCAUCUACAAUGGAAGACCUAGAGAAUAACUAGCUGCAAUGAAACCUACCUGUAUGGGGUACCAACAUGCAUAGCAUAUGCAGUUACCCAACAAAAGCAAGGUGCCUCUCAAAUGGUGUUGACCAGCAGCUCCAUUGGAAUCCUUAUGGCCUGCUCUUACAAUUGCAUGCCAGAGCAGCAGAACUUUUCCUUUGUAGAGACUUAUCAGUAGAGCCCCACCAAAGCAAACCAUUACUCCAGUAACCUUUGAACUGCCCUCUUUGGACCUGAGGCGCAGUUUCUCCAUGCUGCAGAAGGCAUAUACAUACUGAUGAAAUUCACUUUGACAGGGGUGCAUUUCUAGAUGCUUAAAGUGGUAUAAUUUCAACUCAACAAGAAUGAUUAUUAGGUUUAGGGGAAAAAAAAACAUGUGCGUGUGAAGCUUGUAAGUUGUAAGAUAACAGUAUAUGGUGAUCACAUAUUUCAUUGGCUGACAAAAUUUGGCAAAUCUGUUAAUUCAAACUUAUUCAAGGACAAGGUUGUAUGGUAAGCGUUUUAUAUUAGAGGAGAAUGGUGUUUACCCAAGCAGUAUGGACAGGACGAAAGUAACGAGGGGAGUCAUACUUGCGAAGAUCACAGCAUAUGAGGCAGCUGUGUCCCGUAGCCCGAAGUAGUACAGGGCCAUGGGCGAUGAAUAUCUGAUAACUUAAAGAUAUCACUGUCAAUACACAAUAACUAUUAGAGAUUGUAUAGCUGAUUUAUGCUUACCAUGUAUAUUUGAUUGUAUUCCUUGUAUACCAGGCUACAUUGGCUAUAUAUUAAAGGCCACCCCCUCAUUAGUUUGUGUGGUGUUUUCCUCAAUCCUAUCUCUCUACAUGGUAUCAUGAGACCUGAAUCAAUCUGACCCGGGACUUUCCUUCCGCUCCCCUCUACCCUAAACGUGUCAUGACUCCAUCGUGCCACGUCCUCCCCUCCCCGCGCGCUGUCCUCUUGGCGGUGCCCCUGCCUUCCUCUCCCUGACGACCAUGGACUCCACUGUCGAAUCCGUUCUGUCCGGCACCAUGCCUGCCCUCAGCGUCAGCUCCAUGCCUGCACUCGGCGCUGGCACCCCACCCGUCAUGGGCGUCGGCACCCAGCCCGCGCUCGGUGCCAGCACCGCGCCAGCCAUGGGCGCAGGCACUCCACGUUCGCUCGGCUCUGGAUCGUCCCCUGCCACCGUCGAUGACACGGCGCAGGGCAGCGGCGUCGGCUUCAUCUACUCCACACCGUUGGCCGUCGUCCACCCCUACACCACCGUCUCCGUCAAAUCCCAUGUCCCUGUGACCCUUACGAUGAAGAACUCUACCUACUCCAAAUGGGCUUCCUUCUUCAAGUCGAUGUGCGGCAAAUUCAGCCUCCAAUCGCACAUCGACGACGAUGAUGGCCAACAUGUACAGGUAGCAUUGGAUUGUGCAAGAUUCGGAAAUGACGGAGAGGGCGACAGGCGAUGCAGCGGCGAACUAGAUCAUUGCCGCCGCUAAGAUCCGCAACCCUCUGGCAUCAUUCGUCUGCUGGGUGAUGGGGAUGUGAUUGGAGAUGGCGAUGCUCUUGCGCCUCAUCCCGGUGAUGAGGGCGCAGUCUGUCUUCUGCGCUACCGCCCGCGCUGCAUGCGGCGUGGCGGGUGGAUCGAGAGGCAUUCUUGACGCCCACCAUUGUGAGUCCUCUUACGGAUUCGGCUGCGUGUUUGAUCCAGGAGGAUGCCUCAACCCAUCCGUCGUGGAUUUCCCUAUUCAAGUUCGUCUAGGCCUAUGACGGCUCAAGCCGGUCGUACAGUGCUAUGCAGAAUCCGGGCCCUUUACGCGAUACUGUCGUGCAGGGUUUACUUAAACCGAGGAAGGCUCUCGGGUCUUGGUACCUCCUUUGGUCGUUCCGCCGCCGCGCAACCUCUUCGUCUCCUCCUAGGUUUCAAUCUAAGAUCUGCGGUGGGGAUGAUAAGGGAUCUCCGAUGAGGAGAUUGCCCACCCGAAGCCAAGAUUCGGUGAUAUGCCCGGGUUGGGGAACAAUCUAGUCGGUGACGAGAAAGUCCGGGAGGGAGAUGGAUCCAUGGGAGCAGCAGUUGGGCGAGAAGAUGGAUGUGCCGGCGGGCAGCACGGAAGGUUCAGGCAAGGCAGAGGCUCGUCGUCAGGACACAGAUGGACUAGGGGCCGCAUCCCAAGAGGCUAAUCUGGACAGGAGGCUUAUAGUUCAUGGUGGUCCAGCGGGAGAAGACCUGGAGGAAGGAGAGUUCGAAUAUGAUUUUGAGGAAGAGGAACCUGUGGGUGGUGCGAAAAAGAGGUGGUUUGCGGUGGCGAGAUACUACUCCAGCCGCAUUGCCAAAUCAAAGAUCUUGUUCUCGGAGCUAAGCAAUGUGUGGGGCGAUGUGACUUCUAGAGUCCUGGGUGACAACAGGUAGCUGCUGGAGGUCCUACCAGAGAGCUCGCUCAACUUCGUUCUGAGGGGAGGUUUGUGGAGCUUCAAGGGGGAUGCUCUGAUCGUGGUUCGCUAUGACGGUCUGGCCAGAUUGUCUGAGGUGAUCAUUGAAUCUAUUCCGUUGUGGAUUCAUAUGUAUGAUAUACCUGUGGGCGUGAUGUCCAUAGGCUUUGUCAGUGCCCUCGGUGCAAAAGUUGGAAGAGUUCUAGAGGUGGGAGAAGCAGUAAAGGGUUUCAAAAGAGUGAGUUGAUUUUGCCCUGGCUGAUGCUCCGAAGAAUAGUGUGCAGAUCAGAGUCAGGGGGAGAGGCCUAAUGGAGUUUAUGGUAAGUAUGAGAAUGUUCCCCAUUUCUGCUUUUGCUGCGGCCGCAUUGGCCAUGCUGAGAGGGAGUGCCUGGAUGAGGAGCUGUAUGAGGGCAAGGCGAGGUUUGGUACAAAACUGCGUGCUUUGCCGUUCAAGAGGGAGGUAGCUAGGAUGCUCUCUUUCCAGGCAACGGUCCCUCCAGCAAAGAGGGAUCUCAACUUCAGUGGUACGCAGAAAGAUAAGGUUAUAUCCUUCUCUGGCUCCUCGUCGCUGAAUGGUGGACGUCAUGGAAGGAUGCAACAGCACCCAAAAAGGCAGCAGGAGAAGGAGGACAAAGAAGCAGACGGUUUGGCGACAGAAGGGCGGGUGGAGGAGAGCUCUAAUUCUAAGUUUGUUGUUACCCCGGAGGUUGCGGAUGGCUUAGCAAAUGGCGUGCAGAAGAUGGUAGUGGAUAUGGCUGUUCCCAACGGAAACAUUGAUCCAUCAGUGGUGGCAGGGUGCAGCCAGGAUGCUAUGAUGGGCUUUCCAGAAAUGGUCUCUGGCAUUGACUCCUACGACGGCUCGAGUGAUGGUUCCCUAUCUAUUCAGGAGGAGUUAAUGAUGAGCAAGACGGCUGGUGCGCCACUAAGCCUUCAUGAACAGCUGCUACGGCUAAGGCUAAGGCCAGCGGUGCGCGCUAACGCAGGUCGCCUGUCAAGAGCCCGGGUGCAUCUAAAGACAUCAACAAGCCAAAGAAGCAUAGGAGCGCUCUGAAGCUGGAGGUGAUCGCUAAGUCCUUGAAAGAGAUGCAGCAGGGUGGAGUGCGCUCGGAUGGUCUCCAUGUGCCACCGGGUGAAGUGGACAUGAAUGCUGUAUCUGGAAGUAGUGGGCGCAAAUAAGAUGUGGAAACAAGGAAGGUGCAAGGCUCGUUGAAGAGAUCGUCGCCGUCGACUACGGACAACCGAGUGGGUGCUCAGGAUGAGCCCCACCAGGCGUAAUGAAUGCCUUGUGUUGGAACUGCCAAGGGACCGGGCUCUCUCGGACAGUUCAAGAAUUAGUGGCUCUUGUGAGAGCUAAAAGCCCAAGUUUAGUUUUCUUUGUGAAACCCGUAAUUCAGAAAAUAGGGUAGCAAAUUUGAGAUGGAGGUUAGGUGUUAAGAACUGUAUCGCAGUUGAUAGUGAUGGUAGAAGUGGGGGAUUAGCCCUGUUUUGGCAUGAGUCAAUUGAAGUUAAAUUAAUUUAGAAGAACUUUUGUUAUAUUGAUGUAUCUGUUCGGGCUAGUGCUAAUGAGCCCUAGGUUCAGGGUAACUUUGUGCACGGGGAACCUAUAACAGAGAACCGCCAUCGCAUGUGGGAAAGUCUUAGAUGCUUGCACUCGGUUUUGGAGUUGCCUUGGCUAGUUUUGGGUGAUUUUAAUGAGGCGAUGCGGGGCUUUGAAUACUUCUCUGCCUGUGAGAGGCCGGAGAGACAAGAAGGCCCAGUUAAGGGAUGCCUUGAAUGACUGUGAUCUAGUGGAUUUGGGUUUUGUGGGUUUACCUUUCACGUAUGAUAAUGGGAAGGAGGGGAUGGCUAAUGUGAAGGUGCGUUUAGACAGAGCUGUUGCGGAUACUAACUAGCGCAAUUUGUUUGCAAAUGCUACCCUGCACCAUCUAGUGUCGUCUCGCUCCGACCAUUGCCCUUUACUGUUGGAGAUCAAAAAGGAGAGCUGGGAACGGCACAAGCCCCGGAUCUUUUGCUAUGAGAUUAUGUGGGAAUGGUUGGAGUCUUUAGCACACGAAAUCAAAGAGGCUUGGUGCACAGCGCCGUGCAGAGAGGGCUUGGGGGGUGUUGCUGCGGCAUUACGCCGUGUGCAAGGUGCUCUACGCUCCUGGAGUAAGCUAAACUUUUGGGUCAGUGACAGUGGAAUUGGAGUCCCUGCGUGCAAAGCUUGAGGAAUUGAAGGGCAGUCCAUCAUCUGGGAGGAAUGACCCGUAAAGUCACUAAUCGCAUGGAUGAGUUACUGUACCGGGAGGAAAUGAUGUGGUUGCAGUGCUCGCGCAUUGCAUGGUUAAAGGAAGGAGAUAGUAACAUGGGUUAUUUCCAUAGGCAAGCUGUUUGGCGCGCACGUAAGAAUCACAUUAAGAAGCUGAAAGAUGAUGAGGGCAACUGGUGUGAUAAGGCGCACGGGCUUAAGCAGAUGACUACUGAUUUCUUUAUGAGGUCAUAUGAAGCAGACCCGGGUGUUAUUCUGGGAGAGCUUUUGGAUUUAACGGAGGCCAAGGUUACAGAAGCAAUAACCAGCAGCUGUGCAAGUUCACAGAUCAAGAAAUUUUGGACGCUCUAUUCCAGAUGGGUCCCUUCAAGGCCCUAGGGCCCGACAGCUUCCCAGCGUGUUUCUUCCAGAGGCAUUGGGACACAUUGCGGGAAGACGUGACUAGGGCUGUCAAGAAAAUACAGCCAUUGUGCUUAUUUCCAAAGGAAAUAACCCACAGGAACUAAAGGAUUUCCAGCCUAUUAGCUUAUGUAAUGUUAUCUACAAAGUUAUCUCAAAGUGCUUGGUGAACAGGUUGAGGCCAAUUUUAGGAGAAAUUAUCUCGCUGGAGCAAAGUGCCUUUGUUCCUGGCCACAUGAUUACAGACAACGCCAUCAUUGUGUUCGAAUGCAUACAUGCAAUCCAGAAGGGUUCCGGUGAUAGGGAAGAAUUUUGUGCAUAUAAGCUGGACUUAUCGAAGGCGUAUGACCGAGUUGACUGGGGCUACUUAAAGCAAUUGUUGGAGAAGCUAGGUUUUCAAAGUCAGUGGGUACACUGGAUCAUGACCUGUGUGUCCACUAUUCGCUACACAGUCCGUUUCAAUGGGGCUUUGUUGGUGCCCUUUGCCCCGUCUCAUGGUCUACGGCAAGGUGAUCUGCUUUCACCCUAUCUCUUUCUUUUAGUCGCUGAUGGCCUCUCUGUCUUACCGAAGCAUUAUGAGCGUAUGGGACGCUUGGAGGGAAUCAAAGUAUGUAGGAGAGCUCCGAGCAUCUCCCACUUACUGUUCGCUGACGCCAGCCUGCUCUUCUUCCGUGCUACUGCCGAGCAAGCGCACCAGGUCAAGGCUGCUUUAGCUAUUUUCGAGAGGAACACGGGACAGCUGUUAAGCCCCAGCAAAUGCUCCAUGCUGGUGCGGGAAGGAAGAGAAGGGAAUGGUGCCCAACAGGUUCGUAGCAUCCUGGGAAUGGAGAGGUUGGAUUUUGAAGAAAAGUACGUGGGCUUGCCUACACCCCAGGGACGCAUAAAGAGAGGAAUUUUUCAACCCUAGUGGUGAGGUUUGUGAAGCGCAUGACUGCUUGGAAGGAAAAGGAGUUGUUGGCAGCUGGGAAAGAAAUCCUUAUCAAAUCCAUAGCACAAGCGCUACCGAACUAUAUAAUGAGCGUGUUCAAGCUCAGUGGUGGCCUGUGUGAGGACCUCAUGAAAGCUAUCCGUGCUUACUGGUGGGGAUCAGAGAAGGGCAGAAGGAAAGUGCAGUGGGUUCCAUGGACGACCAUGCUUCUGCCUAAAGGUUUUGGUGGGAUGGGCUUUAAAGAUUGGAUGUUGUUCAAUCAGGCUCUUCUUGCUAAACAUGCUUGGCAUUUACUUAUCUUCCCAGAAAGUCUGUGUGCCCAUAUCCUAAGAGCAAAAUAUUUCCCUACAGGAAACCUCUUGGACACGGUGGUGGCUGGGGAGGCCUUGCAGAUAUGGAGAGCUAUCGAGUACGGUCUAGAACUGCUCAAAAAGGGUGUAACCUGGCGGGUUGGGAAUGACAAUUGCAUACGUAUAUGGCGAGACAACUGGAUUCCCCGGCCGUAUGGUAUGAAGCCAAUCGAAAGUGUGAGAAUGUGUAGGUUACGAUGUGUUUCUCACCUCAUCGACCAGACGUCCAAUAGUUCGAAUGAAGCUGUUGUCAGAAGAUUUUUCUAUCCCUAUGAUGUUGAUGAAAUUUUGAAGAUCAAGCUACCGUCCACUCCGUGCAUAGACUGGAUUGCGUGGAGUUUUGAGAGGACAGGCAUGUUCUCGGUUAGAAGUGCAUACAAGCUGGCUAUGCGGGAAAAGUAUGAGAUGGGCGUCAUUCUAGUGCAGAAGGAGAACGGGCUCCGUGGAAAAAGGUGUGGGGCGCAGAAGUACCAUCAAAGGUCGGAGUUUUUGCCUGGAAGGUUGUAAACAAUGGUCUACCAACCAGAAGGAAUAAGCAAUACAGACAUCUCAAACAGGAAUAUAGCUGUGAGCUGUGUGGUCAUUCGGUAGAGGAUGUUUUUCGUGCUGUCAUCUCCUGCCCACAUGCCCGAGCUCUUAGGGGUGAACUAAGAAAGAAGGUGGCUCACCAGCAGAACCGGAUUUGUGUAAUACAGGACCAGAUUGGCUCCUUGCAACCUUGGACAGGUAUGAUGCUGAAUCUAGUUCAAAUUUUCUCAUGCUAAUACAGAGAUGUUAGAACGGGGAUUACUGAGAGAUCGCUGGUGGCGCCCAUAGUUCGUGAUGCCCUUAGGAUGUGAAGCUCUUAUCAAGUGUGUGCUUCGUCAAGAUUAGGAAAGAGCAGAAUAAAGUUGCGCAUGAGCUAGCUCACUUAGCCAUCUGUAAAAAAGAGUGCAGGGUGUCCUUCUCGGAUACUCCGAAUUAUAUUGAGUCUCUUAUUUGUACUGAUGCCACUUAAUCAAUAAAGCUCUCUCCUUUCGAAAAAAUACACAAUAACCAUCAUUUCUUCUUAAUCACUGUCAAUACACGAUAACCAUCAUUUCUUCUGAAUCAAACACACAAAAAAGGUACUCAGCAUCCUAAUUCAGUUAAGGCUGUCAACAAAUAAAAACCACCAGACUAUAGUAGACAAUGUGUGGUUUAUUCAGUUAAGGCUGUCUCGUGCCGUUUUCUGCGCACGUGAGAGCAAAUAAAGUCCAUAUUUGAGUGUUCGGUUUGUAAAGAAAUUUUGCAGUAAGUGCUUCCUGUUCCCAAGAUGCCACCCAAGUACAAGUCCGGGCACUGAUUUUUAAGGGGCUAUGCAUGGUAGACUUGACAUAAAUUUUUCUCACGUGAAUGUUUAGGUGCAACCUCUGGUGAACGAUGCCCUCAAAAAAAAAAACUCUGGUGAACGAUCAAGACUGAAUUCAGGGAAAAUCUGAUCCAGAAACACAGCAACAACGUUGUAAGUUGCAUCAUGCUAUUGUGUCUAUUUCACUUGUGGCUCAUGCCAAAAAGGUCGCAUUCUUUUGGUACUCUAUCUAGUUCUUCGGAUCGAGGCAUUGGCACCUCUAGCUCGGUCGUCCUGCGUAGCAAGGGUAGCUAGCUCGGGGUUCCGCUAAGCAGCAGAUGAAAAUCACUCUGAAGGAGACGACGGCCAACAGGGAAGAAGGGACAAGACAUCAGAAAUUCAGAGAGGAUGGAAGCCAUGGGGAUCCUCAAGAACACGGAACCAGCUGCAUGCGGUUGCCGCAUCUUUGGAACGUGAACUGGCUCCGGCGCUCUCCCGAUCUAGUCGGUCCAAAAAAGGCGUAACAAAUUCAAAACGAGUGGCGAUUUUGAUGGGAAGGAGAAUCGUGUACGUAUACGAUGGGAGUAAUCGCGAAGGGACUCGGAAAAAUCGAUUUCACAUUGCUAGUGCAAAGGUCCAAAGGAUAGUUCAUCAGAUACCCGGCAAGUGCAUUCAGGAAGAGCCAUGCAAGAGCCCUCUUGUCCAGGUCCUUCCACUUCCCACUGCGGAAUUGGCAUUUAUCUGAGUCAAUGGAAGGGUAGUUUGCUUCCAUAAAAGAAAAAUAAUAGUAGGCGGGUACAAAUGAAGGAGAAACAUCCUGACCUCUCGAAGAACAGGGCAAAAGGCAGGGUGAAGAUGGCGCCCAAAAUGCUGCGGUAGAAGAGCAAAGAGAAGACGAACGUGCCCCAGUCGAUUGCAACCUUGCUUAGCAGUAUAGUCCCCGUGUUGAAGACCUCAGAAAGGACCACGCACAGAGCUGGCUUCCAUCCUCCUGCUCCAUCCACCAUUUCAAGCACAGUAUCAGAGAUGGCGUACUUCGAAUGUCGCAUGAUCUCUCAUAAAAAUCAGUAACAUCAGGGGAUCAAAACUUCGAAGAAUUCCCUAAGACAAACAUAGAUGAAGAACUCCCAACAAAGAACAUCGAUCAAAGAGUUGGAGCGACCGAAGGUCAGUCUUGCUAGAUCCUAUCUCUCAGAACUGAUUUCAUCUUCUUCCUUGGCACCCUUCUCUGUCUAGAACACUCUAGAACCUUCUAGGUUUCUCCUCUUGUUCUACAUGCAUAUCGACAUAUCGUUUUGUAUCUAUUUGGGUUUGUAUAAGCACGGCGAAAGAGACGGGACGGCGGCUUGCCUACUAGUUGCAUUGCACAGCACGUACCGGAGUUGGCAGAGACCGGCGGCGGCUGGGUCGCCUGAGCCGCGAGCUCCUUGUCGUCGGGAUCCGACAUGCAAUCGCCCGUCGUCGGCGAGUUCGCGCUUGUUGGACAGAACGAGGAGAGGACAAUGCUGUGUGCCUGUGUUCUGUGGAGACGGUAUAUGUGUUCUGUGUAGACGGGCGGCCGGAGAGGAGAUCGAGUAUAUAUGCUGCGAGUAGAAUUACCAGCACGGCAACGCCCAGCAGGGAAGGACCCUUUAUGAACGUAAAUUUGUUGAAUCAAUUCUGAAUUAAUCACUUUGCAUUUACGUGUUCUGUACUGGAGUCCUAUCAGGGAAUUCAAAGGUUCAAUUUGGAUUUUGCAACCAUGUUCAGCAUUUCAAUCCCUGUUGCCAGGUCAUCAUGCAAGUUUGUGCUCCGUGUUUACUCUCUUGAAAACAUUAAUAGCCAUUCUCUCCUUCAUUCCUAUCAUAGUCACCUUGGUCAUUCCAACUCGUCUUGCUUCUGUAUGCUCCUUAAUGCCGUGUCUAACUAGAAGAAGAGGGAGUACAGAUAAGGCUUGUGUCAAGCUUACCCAGAAGCAUGGGUGGAUGUCUUAUGAGUGCUUAAUUGGUGCCGCUUGGGUUUGCUGUAUUUACCUUUUGAUUUGCUAUUUGGUAGCAAUGGUUUAUCAGGAAGGCUGCAACUUGUAAUGAUGAAUAGUUGAGUGCACUACUCAUGCAGAGACCGAAAUAAAGACUAUUCCUAUUCCUUAUUCAAAAAGAAGUUGAGCAUGUAAUACCAGUUGGCAUGAUAUCCUUUUAUGUCAGGCUUGCACAUGCGAUCUGUUCAGCAUUUAAGGGGAGCAUAUAUAUAGCUAGGCAGAAGAGACGAUUGGUAACUCUAAAUGUAUAAUGUAUUCUCAUUUCUAGAUGUGCAUGCUAUGUUUGCAAUGAAGUUGCAUGUUACAAGCAUAAAGCAUGUUGAAUUGUAAAAGGCCUUUCAAAAUUAUUUAGGCAAGGAGAUAGGUCCAGCUGGCCGGCCCAAGGGUACAGCAUGUCGUUUUAAGAGUGCACAUAACACCCACCUUGAAUCCAAGACGAUUAAAAAAAUAAUGUGCUAAUGAUUGCCCAUUGUUAAUAUUGAUGAUAUAUUGAUAUGUCACAAUAGUUAUAAAGAGAGGAGAGAGGUGUUUCAUCUAGGUGAAAUACUGAAAUUGUGUGUACAUUGCUUCCAAAAAAUGAAAAGUAUUCCGCGUUGGCAUUGUGGGUAAAAAUUUUAGUUCAUCCAGCAAUCCCCAAUCCCAAAAGUCAUGCAUUAAAUUAUAUGGCCAGCAUAUGAAACAAUAAAAUGACACUAUGCAUUGGAGGCGGUUGUUUCAUUCAUAUGCUCAAAGCACUCUAGAUGAUUUGGGGUUUCUAGAAACAACAUGAUAAAACUUUCCUUUUGAGAUCGGCCUAAUUCCUUUGAUAAAAAAUAUAAAAUCUAUUUGGACAUCAACACGAUCUCCAACAUAACAUUUAACAAGCAAUAUAUAUAUAUAUAUAUAUAUAAACAUAUUAUCUUAGAUGAAAAUAAUUACUCCCUCUAUUGUAAGGGGUAUGCUAAAACAAUGAAGUUAGAUUAGAUUUGGACACAAAUUUCUCUUACAGUAUAUUGUCAGUUGCUACAAAAUUAACAUUAUUCCAUAAUUAAUUCGAAUAUGAAUCUGUUAAUGUAAUUUUGUACACUAAACAUCAUAUAUUUUAACUAAUUCUUUGUCAAAAUUUACAAAGUUUGAAAUAUGGGUUACAUUGAUAAAUGAAGGUGGUAUAUAUUAUGAAAACUAUAUUUCAUAAGAAAUCUAGUCAUAUGAAUCUUAUAUUCUCAAUUUAUAUAAAAUUUUAAAUUCAAAGGUAAAACAGGGUUGACUAAGAUGAACUUAGGUUAACUCACAUCUGCCAUCACAGAAAGCACUUAAAACCCUUCACCGAGUACACGAUCGCGAGUAGCUUAAGGUUCCUUCCAAGGGAGAUCUAGGUGGUAUGGUACUAGGGUUUGGGAACAAGUAGAGCAGUCGAACCGAGAGAAUUUUGGUGGAGAUCAUGCAUGCAGGGAGUCAGAUUCAGGAGAGGUACUGAGAGGUUGCAGGAGAAGCAGGCAAAAGAAUUUCUAGUAGGGAGGUGCAAGGUUAUGUAUUGCUGCUAGGAUUUUGUAAUGGACGUACUAUGUUCGUAUGCUGGGUCCACAGCCCAGCCAGUCAAACGCCCGGCACGGCCCAUGGCAAAACGUCACUCAUUUUCUAAGAAGCCAUAAACAUUGAUUACAUAAACUGCAUAGUAAGCAUAUACCAGUGUACAAAAGCAAAUGACACAUAAAACAGCAAACAGCAGGUAGAGGCAGCCAAACACCAGAAUAUUGUUCAUACACCGAAUGCCUGAAUCCAGUCUUUCGCACUGACGGAAUAAAAACUAGUAAUAGCAGAUGCAUAACUCAUCAGCAAAUUGCAGACUGUCAACAAGCACUAUGAGUCCAUGACAAAUAUCACUACAAACUUAGGGCCUGUUUGGCAGAGCUCCAUGUAGCUCCAGAUCCUGAAAAAUAGCUCCGCUCCCGAUUUUUCCAGCCAAACGGUUUUAGCUCCAGCAACUCCACCGCAGAGCUGCUCCACGAAAACGGUGGAUCUACCCCCAGAUCCAUGGAUUUGGUGGAGCACCUCAGGGGGUGCUCCACGAAAUCAAAUUUGGUGGAGUUGGAGAGAAUUACCCACCACUGCCACUCAUUAGUGGAAAAUGACCGGUUCGUUCUAUUUCUUUUUCUUCUUCUCCGUGCGACACACUGGAGUCCUUCCUCUUCCGUCGUUGUCCACCCCUGCCCGCUGGAGCGCCGCCCGCCCCUACCUGCCGGAGCCCCACUCGCCUCUGCUCGCCCCGCUCGCCACGCUCGCUCCGCCCGCCAAAGCCCCGCCCGCCCCUGUUCGCGCCUGCCCGCCCCUGCCACUGGAGCCCCGCCCGCCCCUGCCAUUGGAGGCCACCCCGCCGGAGCCCCGCGCGCCCCUACUGUCGGAGCCCCGCCCGCCUCUGCCACCGGAGCCCGCCUCUGCCGCCGGAGCCCCGCCCGCCCCUACCAUUGGAGGCCGCCCUACCGGAGCCCCGCGCGCCCCUACUGCCGGAGCCCCACGCGCCCCUACCGCCCGAGCCAUGCCCGUCUCUGCCGCCAGAGCCCCGCCCGCCCCUGCUCGCCCUUGCCGAUGGAGCGCAGGAGAGCAGCGGGUCCGCAGGCGCGGCAACGCUCGGCAGGGAAGGCAGCGGAGGCGUGGAGAGGCCACACUCGCCGUGAAGAAGACGUUUUUUUUUUCUUUUUUUAAUUCUGAUGCAUGGGUCCAAAUUGCCAGUGAGACAAAGAUAAGAGUGGAGCUGUACCAAACGCUUUUUGAGAUUUCAGAUCCACGGUGGAGCAGCUCUAUGGUGGAGCUAGGUGGAUCUAUGGAUCUGGAGCUGUUUUUUCAGAGUUGGAGCUCUACCAAACAUGCCCUUAAGCAAGCAGGAGAGAUUAACAAGCGCUAGGAAAUGCAUAAGGAAAGCAGAUGGCACAUAGCAGGUAUCCAGCAAGCACCUUAAUAAAGUUCACACCGAAACGAACCACCACAAAGGCAGCAAGCGCACACAUUAAACAGCAAAUAGCAGGCAGAGGCAGCCAAACCAGAAUAUCGUUCAUACGGAACUAAAUGUCCUAAUCUAGUCUUGGAACUGACGAAACAAAAACUACUGAUAGCAAAUGCAUAACUCUAUCAACAAAUUGCAGGCUGUCAGCAAGCAUCAUGACAAAGAUUACUACAAACUGAAGCUAGCCAUGGACACUGAUGAAGUUUACUUAACAAGCGAUAGGAAAUGCAUAACAAAAGCAGAUAGCAUAUAGCCAGGUCUCCAACAAGCACCUCAACAAAGCCCACACGAAACUCACGACCCAAAAGACAGCAAGCCCACACAAAAGCACACCACGGCGGCCUGCCUACACUUCGCCAGCCGCGCUGAUCCUGUCCAUAUUGUUCGCCACCACUUCCUUGGAUUGGCGAAGCAGGACGAUGCUCUUCUUGAGGCGCUCCCUCUUCGUCCCAGUGCUCGGCGACGGCGCGAGCAUCUUCUCCACCACGGCGAGCUUGUUAGCCAGGAGCUCGUUGCCGAGCUCCUCCUCCAGGUCUUUCUCCACCAGCAGCUUGACGCUGAGCAAUACGUGCAGCGCCAGGCCAUCAACGAGCCUCAGCACGAUGCUCUUCCAGUACGCGGUGAGCCGCGCCCUCAGGUCGAACGCCUUCCCUGCCAAGUCAGCAUGCACCCUCAGAUGGGACACGUCCACCUCGCCAAAGCCUUCCAGGAUGAUCUUGGUGGGCUUCGACCUGCAGGGCCGGUCCUGAAGGUCCGUGACGAAAGUAAAACUCGGGGCCCUUUAAUAUAAAUAUUAUAACAAAUAUAUAUGAAAUGUAUAUGAAAUGUAUCUGAAAGUAAUACUCGUAUCAAAUUAUUUAUACAUGCUAUCUAAAAGUUUUUUCUAACAUUCCUCGAUGCAAAAUCACUUAUGAUAGAGUUGAUGCCAAUCUCAUCCAACAAUUUCUUCUCGAUGCAUAACGUUGCCAAACCAUUUAACCUCUUUUGAGUCAUUAUUGAUCUCAAAUAGUUCUUCAAUAACUUUAGCUUUGAAAAGUUUCUUUCAGCCGAUGCGACAGUCACAGGCAAAGUAAAUAAGAGUCGGUAAGCAAUGGAGACAUUAGAAUAAUAAUUCAUAUUUCUGACAUGCUCAAAAAUCUCCAUAGCAGACAUUACGCCAUCUGGCAAAGUAAAUUUCAUAAUCUUUAAUUUAAAAAUAAGAUCAUAUACCUCAACAUAAGAUGAACCAUCAAAAGAAAAAAAAAUUUAUAAAUUUAGUGCAACAUUCUUCAAGUUCAUUAUCAUUUAAUGACUUCAAAGUGCUUGAGCUCAAUAAAAGUAUGAAGAUAUCUUUAAACACCAUGACUUCUUCAAAUCUGUUCUUCACAGAAGUGAUCGCCAUAUCAAUCAAAAUAAAAAUUAACUUCAAAAGGCUUCUCAGCUUCAAGAAUUUCUUCUUGGCAAUUACUUUCAUCAAACUAUUUCUUCCUCGUAGCAUGACGUUUUUCUGAAAAUGAUGCCUCUACACCCAUUUCUGUGGCAAUACCUUUGGCGAUGAUCAAACUAGAAGAAAACCCCUUAUUUCUGUAAUUCUCAAAGUAUUGCGUUACACCUUGUAUUUGCUUCAAACUAGAGUCAAUGCACAUGGCUGACGAUUGCAACUUUUUGCUCACUUUAUUUAUAGCAAAUAAAAUAGUAUGCCAGAUAACCGUACCAAGUAGAAACUCAAAGCUGUCAAGUGCAUCAAAUAAAUUUUUUGCAUAACUUUUAUCCUUAGGUUCAAUGUCAUAAGCAUGAUGUAACUCAAACAAAGCAAAUCUUAAUUCAGUAGCUUGAUAUCUUAUUACUGUAAUAAUUUUGAUUCGACUCUCCCAAUAAGUAUUGGAUAAUGGUUUCACAGUUAAACUAGGAACAUGUUUAAACAAAACAUUCCACCUUUUCGUAGAACUAGCAAAUAAUACAUAUAUACGUUGAACAAUUCUAAAAAAUGAAACAGUUUUCCCACUAUAUUUUGCCAUAUCACAAAGAGUAAGAUUUAGACUAUAGCACGCACAUGGCAUAUACAAUGCUCUUUGAUUGAUAUCAAUUAACCGUUUUUGUACCCCUUGGUGUUUUCCUUUCAUAUUAGAACCAUUGUCAUAGCCUUGAGCCCUUAUGUCACUAAUAUUUAGGUCAAAGGACUCCAUAGAUUCAAGCAAUACAUUAAAAAGCUCCAAACCAGAUGUAUCAUCCACCUUCAAGAACCCCAAAAAGUACUUCUCAAUUUUUAUCUUACUAUCAGACAAAUUAACACAUCGAACUAAUAAAGUCAUUUAUUCUUGAUGACUGACAUCAGGGUACAAUCUAGGAUAAUGGAGAAAUACUUAGCUCUUUUAACAACCUUUAUGAUAGAACUUGUAAUAUCAGAAGCCAAAAGAGAUAUCAACUUAUUCUAAAUUUUAUAACUGAGAUAAUGAUAAUGAAUUUCUUUGUUCUGAAUACGUCCUUUGUUCUAAAUACAUCUAAGGUGGUCUUACAUUACCAAGUCAAAUUCUGCAAUCCUCUCAGCACAAGCUAAGAAAUUACUAUUAUUAUUAUCAUUAUAAAGUUGAUCACUGCUUCCUCUAAAAGCCAAAUUGCGUUUAAUAAAAUUUCAUAAUGGCUAUUAUUCUUAACAAAAUAUGCCUCAACCGUUCUUUCUCCUUUGUAAUUUGCUACUGCAAUUUUUUGUCAAUUAUUUCCUUUUUCCACAGUCUAGCUCUCAAUUCAUUCCAACUGCUUUUUCCACAGUCUAGCUCUCAAUUCAUUCCAACUAUUCGUGUUACUAAUAUGCUCGACACUAUUUUCAUGUUCUCUAAGAUUCUCAUUGAUAUGCCUCCAAUUUUUAAACCCAUCACCUGCUAAGGAACUAGGACUCUUGCUAAUGCUAGACUUGAAGAUCUUACAUCAGAAAUAAAAAACUUUGUCAACAUGCUUCGAAUAAACUAACCAUUUUCUAUCAUGUACCUCUCCAUUGCUUAAUUUUCUACAAUAAUGAGCAUAUGAAAAAUAUCUUGAAGCAGCAUCUAGAGGAAAUUUGAUAUUUUCUUCUCUUGUAGGCCCUUUCUCGACUAAUAUGUCUCUUCCUUUAUUAUCAACAUUAUCCUAAUUUCUUGGAUUAUAAAUAUCUAAAGUGUAAACUGGUUGCUCAUCAACACUAGCAAAUUGUGCAUGUGCACCUGAUGCAUUUACUGUAUUCUUAGAGUCACUUACAUUGUUAUCAUCGACGUUGAUGUUAACAUUUUUUUCCUGAUUCCCAUUAAUUGGUUCAUCCACAACAACUAUUGCCAACCCAUCUGGGUUCAUCAAAGCACCCGUAUUACUAUCAGAGCCCUGAUUACUCUUGCAAAAUUUAUCCAUAGCUCCGCUCUGUGAUUCUAUCAACUCAUCCACACGUUUUUUCUUUUCCUUUUCUCGUUACCUGAUUCAUAUUUUCUAGAUAACAUGAUAUCCCACAAUACUAAAAUUAUUAUAAAUAUACAAUAGUUAUAAAUCAGUUAAGAUUAAAUAACUUGUGAUAGUGAAUUAAUAAUUAAUGGUAUGGAGAACUGGAGAAUUAGCAAUCGAAUCAACUGAUCACAUAAGCGAAUUGACGAUCUCCUAUCUGAUCUCCACCCAUCCGUCGUUCCGCGUGACCUGUCGUUCAUACCCAGAGGUUAUUCGCCAUAUGAGGAGAGUCCAGAAUCCUUGCUGAGUAGUGAGUACUACCUACGCAAGCGCCAACCGCAAGCAACAAGCUGAGAACCAGUGGGCGGCAGCAGCCCUAGCCCCUGAGCGGCGGUUGAGUACAAAGUACCAGGCUCGAGCGAAGGAAAGGAUCAGAAAUUGGAUCUAAUCGUGAUUAGAUGAUCGAGUCUAUUGAUCACCUCAAUCGCGUCGUCUACUCGUCUGUCGAGCUGCCGCAUGCGUAAAUAAUUACGGCUCACCGAGUCACCGACCUUGAGCCAUGUUGCCAUGCUGCAUGCGACUUGCGCAGCAGGGCAAUAAUUACGGCUCACCAGCCUUGGGCCAUGCUGCAUGCGACUUGCGCAGUAGGGCAAUAAUUACGGCUCACCAGCCUUGGGCUAUGCUGCAUGCGACCUGCGUAGCAAGACAAUAAGCACACCUAGGGUGGAGCCCCUGGGAUUUAGGGCCUGGGACAGCCGCAACCCCCCCCCAGGCCGGCCCUGUUGACCUGUCCUCCACAGCCUCCAUGAACUUCUCAAACCCUUCCAUUAUCUCUUACCAUGCUUUCAUCUUCCAUUAUCUCUUACCAUGCUUUCAUGUAGUUGGGGUUGGCGGUGUAGUCCCCCACCAGCUCCAUCGCUAUGAGCUCCUUGACGUGCUGCGCCGAGCGCACCCGCACCUUGUCCAUCAGGCUCUGCACGGCGCGGCGGCACGAUGACUGCAUCUGCGGGAAGUUGUCGGAGCGCUUGAGCAGUUCAUCACAAGGUCCUUGACGUACUCCCAGACGCCGUUGACAAGGUCUUGAGGAACCUGAUCGAUCGUCUCGACCUUCUUCUUGAGCAGGACCAGGAACGCUGAUCGGGGUAGGAAGUUGGGGAGGUUGAUGCCCUUCGCAUCCGCUCAGCAUCUCGGCGAUGCGCGUCGUGCCAUGGAACUCCCGUUCAUAAAGAUACUCGUCGAACUUGCCUCUCACCAGCACCUUCUCUAGUAAAUUGCAGACCUGCUUCACGUUGUGGAAGAACACCCUGACGGCAUCAGCGAUGUUGUUCUGAUCCUGCGGCAUCUGGUUCAGCUCGGCGAUGCUGCGGCUGAGGCAGUCGUUGAUCUGCUUGACGAUGUCGGGGAGGCACUUGGCGAUGAUGCUGGCUUGUGUCUGCAUAAGCCUCUGCGCAAGGACUGGGAUGCCGACCAUGGACUUGUCGAUCUUGGAGAGCAAGGGGUGGUACUUGAAGAGCCGCUCCUCCUUGACACGGGCCUGGUCGUACGUCUCAUCGCCGAUGCGGUUGCAGACGCAGACGUAGCCGAGGCCGAUGUUCACGUCGUCCAUGGUGACCUUCUCGAGCAGGCCCUCGGGGGCCUUGUCGACCUUGGUGACGACGGCGAGCGUGCGCUCCCCGGUGCGGUCCACCUGCUGCGACAUGCGGAUGGACUCGCACGUUGGGAAAUCCACCGUGGCCGACAGUACGUUCAGGAUGAUGCUCUCCUUGGGGGCUAUGUACUCCAUAAUGAUCUUGGCGACAAGGUUGUAGAUGUCCUCCGGUUGGCCCUACACGGAGACGCGCGUGAUGCCGGGAAGGUCGAAGAGUGUGAGGUCCGGGACGCCCCGCUUCCGCACGACGAGGGUGAUGGGCGCGUCAGAGAUGCCCUUACCGCUCCCGACGAUCUCCACUGUGGCGGCGUUGAUGGCGUCCGCGACCUUGGCCUCAAUGGUGGCCACCACGCGGCCGCUGCCGUACUCGAGCUGGAGCUUGGGGGAGUCCGCGAAGGGGUCGUCCUGGAGCCGCAUGACGAGCGGGACACGGGUGCAGAUGCCCUAGCCGCGGGGGAGGCUGAUGCCGGCCAGGGACUCGAGCACGCUGGACUUGCCGCUGGACUGGUCGCCGACGACGACGAUGGUGGGCAGCUGGAUGCCUUCCUGCGUCACCUUGAGGUGGCGCAGCCGGUCCACCGCGUCGAGGAGCGGGCGGAUCUGGUCGUCAUACGAGGCCGCGAUGGCGCUCGCCGUCACGGCGCUGUCCACCGUGGCGCUCUUGGUGUCGGCGGCAGCGUUCGCCUGCUUGGCACCCAUCUGAAGCUUCUUGGACAUGUUGGAAGGAGAGGUGGCGGUGGAGUGUGGCUACUACUACAAGUUCGUGGCGCGAGUGUGAGAGGCUUUGGCCGGCUUCUUAUAUGAGCAGCGAGGCUAGGGAGUGUUUCCACCGGAAGGCGAAGGGGCGCGCUCCCCAGCUCAGGAGGCGAGUGCGCAUGGGAAAUCGUAGCAGCGCUGCCUGCGGGAGUAGUAGGCCAGGAGGCCGUCGUUCCGGCUUCCGACGCAGGAGCAGGACAGCCGUGCGCCCGUGCAGCGCAUUUUCCAAUGCAGCAUUUAUGAUCGGUAGCCGUUGCAAUCGAUCCUUGAGCUGCUGGUGGUACUGUUGCGAUUUAGAGCAGACUCCGCUCCUAAAAAAAUAGCUCCGUUUACGGCUCCUCCACUUCCUCCAGUGAAGUAGUUUCUGGGAUGGAACUGGAAUCGGUUUAAAAAAUAUUUGGCAAAAUGACUUCUCCUAUUUUUACAUGAUUAGAUGAAGAGGUCAAAUGUUCAUCGUACCCCCUCACCAUCUUAUUGUGAUUUUCAUCAAUUUAUAGUGUGAUUUGUGGUGAAACCAAAAUGAUUAAUUAAUACAACUAUAUAUUAACAUACCCGAAAAAAUAAUUAUAUAGUUACUAACAAUUUUCCUUUUUCUAUUUAAUUCCCUUUUCUGUUUUCUCUUUUUUUUCUUUCUCUCUUUUUAUUUUUUCUCUUUUUCCUAUCUUUUUAUUUAUGAUCGUUCUCUGUUUUACCUUAUCCGAUCCCAUCUGUUUCCUCCGCCGCACAGCUUGUUCCUCCGUCUCUUUCCUCCCCCGCGCGCUUUGCUCCGACCCCGCUGCUUCACUGAGCCCCGCCCCGCGCCGGGCCACUACCACGCCGCAUCUCCGCUCCGCCAGGCUGCUCACCGACGCCCUACGCCCACGUGCUCCGUCAACGGCGCUGCUGCUUCACCGAGUUGGCGGCGGCGGCAGCCCCGACCCCGCCUCCACGCCUCGGCGGUGCUGCCCCUGGACCUCAGCGCCGCCCACGUCCCCUCGGUUCCACGACGCUGCUGGUCAGCGCGCCACCAUCCGCAGCCGCUGGCGAGCGCGCCCUCGCCGCUCCACGAGAUGCUGAGGACACACCAUCGACAUUUAACGGGUGUGACGUCAGGAGGAGCCGAAGAAGCCACUUCGUUCUCACAGUGGAAGCCGUUUUGGGCUUCUUCUCCGGCUUCAGCAGUGAAGCUCCUUUCCAAGGGAGUCCUGCCAAAGGGAGCCUUAUUAUUUCGGACAGGUAAUGCUUUUGGAUGGACGGCCCAUCCAAAAAGGCCCGUAGCUACUGGGCUCAUGGGAUGGACCGUGUAGCUCUCGAAUUGAUUUUAGCCCAGGUAAAAAGUUCGGUGGGCAAAGUUCAGCAAGAUUAGACUAUGUAGGCCCUCCAGAGCCCAGAUGCCAGAUGUCAAAUUAUUGCGUCAAUCGUUUCAUAACUAGUGCCUGG
rnacentral:lncRNA from 1 species